UUUAGUUGUCUACCUCUUUAGUUGCCUAACUCACUUAAGUAUGCCUACCUGAUCUCGGCUUCAUUAUCACAUAAAUGCCUGCUGAAACAAAGGAUUUUGGAGUGGCAGAGCUCAAGUAUCAUAUUAUCAUGGUGGUUACCAUUGCGCUAGAAAGCCAGAUGAGAAAGAGACACGAAGAGGUGGCAGGCGGAGGACGUUGAGAGCUAUCUUUUAGGAAUAGGAGGUCGCUUUGCGCUCUUGCUGCUUAUGCUAAUUUCAAAUUCCCAGAGACAGGGUUACUAUUUGAACCCACACGUAGAUCAGUUUAUGAUUCCAAUGUUCUAUCGACUGACUAAGUUGGUCCUUAAUUUCCAAUGAAGUUUUUGUUUUCUCGAGGGACGUAGCAAACUGUUUGGUUGGCUCCGAGCAUUAUAAAAAUAGAGUCCUGCCUGGACAAUGUUGAUAACGGGAAAUCUCUAACCUCCGUGGUGGGUGUGAAGAAGGGUACAGCUAGAAAGCGAGAGAAUAUCUUUAUGGAUAUGAGUCUGAGGCAGAAGUCUCUGAAUGCGGGCCUGACGAACCUUUUGUAUCAGGAUCAUCAUGAGACUCUGUUUCUGUGGUAGAUGACUCAAUAGGUAGGGCCUAGAACCUCUAANNNNNNNNNNNNNNNNNNNNAUAGUGCUCUUUAGAAGCGUAAUCCGUGCUUGAAACUCCUUCACUAGGACCCAAAAACCUAUUCUUCCGCUCUGCCUCACCAGGCAAUGCUUACUCUUCUCGAUCAAGAGGGCUCUUUCUUUUCCAAUGAUUUAGGGCCCAUACCCCAAUAAUGAUGAUGAAGAGGUCUUCCUGCUUCAAAAACAGGGCUUCCUGACCCGAUAAAAGGGUGCACAUGGAAGUAGUUCCGCUCAAUUCUCUAAUACGACUUCGGGUGUGACCCCAACCCCACAAAAUGGUGAUCCUCGAGACCAACGGGCAUUGAACGAGAGAGAAGAAAAUCGUCCACAGAGAAUUGGAGUAUCCGGCCUAGUGAUAGUUAGAAAGAGUUGGCCAAUACAGAAUCUCAUGCGCCUCUCAUUGAUGAACCCCUUUUUCCUUUAUCCUCUACUGGUGGCUGAUUGAUUGAGCGCCGGUGUCACUCAUUCUUUAUGAGCGGAAGCCAUGCACCUAUCACCUAUAACCGGAGAAGUACUAUACGGCAUGGCACCUUCGGCGAGGACUCAACUCAACAGAGAAUGAUUUGACAAACAUUGAUCCAUGCUUGGCCUUAGCCUGAGCUCAACUCUGAAAAAGAAAAGUGGAGAAUCUCUCUAGCUUGUGGAAUCACUUCCCUGGAUGCUUAGAUAGCUCGAAAAAGUGCGCCACUUCUCCCUUAGAGCCCAUCUAUCUAAACGGGUAUAAAAACAGAGAAAUAGGCUCAUUAAGUGAAGUGAGAACAUAACUCGAUCUUUGCUAGGCGUGAGAAGGAAGCCCUCGGUAUCCUGAUAUUUCUGAACUCCGCGAAGAACAAUUCCAUGAAUAUGGAUAAGCAGGAGUCUUUGGGCUAGAGCGCACUAAAGAAGACGAAAGUGAUGACUUGCCAGCGUUGGACGUUUCUCUCCUCUAGCUCUGUGCAAGCUGAACUCCUUGGCGAAAAGGGAGUAUGCCAGUGGGUAGCUCUUCUAUAACCUCCGUUUGAGGUGUUGAUGUACGAUUUCCUAUGCCGAUGCCGUUUCUAUACUCAGAAUAAAAGCCUCAUAGCGAAGUCGAAGUAGAUUAUCCAACCGAAUGCCAUUGACUUUAGUCUUUAGUAUCUGCCAGUUCCGGGUAUGUUGAAUCUCCAGAGGGAUUUCCUCGAGGCGAAGGGCCAGUUUCUCCGAUUGAUCUUGAAUUUGGAUAUGACUGCGCUAGAGCAAGGUAAACCUAAGGCCUAGGCCUGACGAUGAAGGCCAAAAGUGUCAAUUCUUUCCUAAUGAGCCUGUGUCCGAGGGCUUCAAAUAUGUGUCCCUCAUACCUGCCGAUCCUUCCGCAAAAGGAAUAUGUUUUUCUCAAGCAAUGCGUUAUAUCCAGAUCGAUGAGACAGAUAUGGGACUUCUACUAAGAGAAAAAAGUAUGCGAUUCUAAGGCCUAUUUCUAAUGGCGAGAAUUGGCGAUAGGGACCCUUGACGAUAGAUCGGCUUACCAAUGGUUAUAAUGGUAGUAAAUAAGAAUGCAUUCAUUAUAGGUUACUCGAAAAGGUAUGCAAGCCCAGAUCUUUCCGUAGGAAAUAUUAUCAAUUGGAUGGCUGUUUACAAUUACUUUCUUAUCACCUCCUGCCUGCCAUAACUGUUAUAAGGUUUACUGACAUGGUGAGUGGAGUCUCGAAGCAAUAGAUAUUCAUAAAUCUUUCCUUCUCCUGCUCAUCCCUUGCUUGUGGGAAGUGCCAUAUGAAUUUGCAUGGGAAAGAAAAGGCACCGAUUUCACUCCCUUCGGUCGGGGUACGCCCGAGCCAGUGAAAAACGAAGUGCACUUUUGGAAAUGACGAAAUUCUUCAGUCAACUAUGGAAUUGUGAGUGAAACAAGAGAGCGGCGCCUAAGGUGGAUACCUAGGCAAGUCGCAGUCAGAGACAAGGCAAGCAAGAACCCCGGUAUCUGCUGCUUCAUCGUUCGUACUAACCAAAAGAUCAAGAUGAUGAACUAGCCUCGAGGCACAACUUGAGAGGUACGCCAGUACCAUAGCUCGUACAAGUAAGAGGUUUUUCAACAUGGGCAGCAGAUUAAGUGAUUUAUUAUUGGAAUACGGGUAUUAUACACCAUUUCUUUGUUCCAUAUUCUAUGCUUUGCUGGUGAGAAAGAGAAACUACUUUGGAUCCCCGACAACCAUGACAUCUUCUCAACGAAAUCCGCUUUUGAUCAGGGGAAUCCUUAAUCGAACACUAGGUUUUCCCUCAAUCUAACAACCGGGGACCUAUCAAAGAUAUCACCUAUCCCUAUUCGAAUCAGCAUUCCUUUCCUUUAGUUUCAAACAACUAUGCAUUCUAAUACAAACAAGAAUUGUAGUUGCCUAAACUAUGAAAACUUAAACAAGAGGGCGUAUGGGUUAAUAGCUCUAUAUUUAUUCCAUCGAGGAGUCAAGCCCUGAAGCUAAGCCACUAACAGUAGGGGAGCGCUCGCCACAGCCAGUUGGAAUUCUUUGUUCCCUUCUCGCGCUAUCUCAUCCAAUAUCGACAACCGACGCGGGUCGAACAGCCAAACAAGUUCUAUUCCUUCCCUUUGACACGUCUUCAUGCACUUUACUUGUUUUACAAAGCAGACCCCAUUGCAUAGUAGAUAAUUCACCAUGGUCCCGAGAUCCGGUAGCUCAGUAUCAUGCACGGCAGCCAAGAUAUCCCAUCUUUGACAAGUAAUUUAUGACAAAUGGAACCUUCCAACUAAAGGCGGGGACGUGGAAUCAAAUGAUGACCAAGUCAAUAGCUCCCGAACAAUCCGAUGAGCGAUUCAAGAUAUGAGAGGCCAUGCACAUUUGAAAGAAUUUCCACACACAAUGGGAGCCAUUCCAACCAUUUCUGCUCGAUGUUGCAAACUAGGGGGCAUAAGCUACCAAACCCCUGGCUAAGAAUCUAUAUCAUACCUAGCAAUCAUUCCGUCUUCUUGAGAAGAAAGAACGCAUGAAUCCUCGCUUUGAGCUCACCUAUGAGUGCACAUAACAAGGUUUUCCAGACCUAAUAAACGUUCAUUGCAAAGAAAUGUUGACCUCAGAUUUAGAGAGGGUCAACCACAGUUUGAGAAAAGAAAAGUGCACACCGGCAUUAUGCCUCGUAAAGCUACCCCCAUUCAUAGCUUUAUUCAUUGUCUGCUCGAAUAGCUUCAUUUCAAUGUUAGGAUGACCCGCAAGGUCGUCUAAAAUAGCUUCCACCUAUCUAGUUUCCAUGUGGCACGCCAACCACAAUCACUUCAUCCCUUGGCUUCUUUAUCAUAGCUGCCUACCUCUUCAGAUCAAGGAUCAAAGACUAUAGUAGCUCAAAGUUAUUGUCGCAAACUUCCAUCUAGGAGAUGCAUGUUAAGCUAUCCCUUGGAUUAUAGCCUAGGUGAUCGAUUGGCAGGCCUUGUUCUAUGAAAAGAGUAUCCUUAUGGUUUAGGAACCCCAACAUCUAUUGAAAAGUAUGAUGCACCCCUCGGUUUACCAACAUUUCCAUUCAAUCUCAUUUAGAUUCUAUUAACUAACAAGCCGGGAUCCAAUUCCAUUUCAACCGCUGAGGUCAUUAACGAACUAGAAAAGAGCUAAGGAACUAUUUCCAGAUACCUAAUCGGGUGCUGAACGAACUACUACUUCAAUAUGUCAUUGCAAUUUCAAAUGGGUUUCGAUGGCACUCAAACAACCUCACUACUUCGAUCUCAGUAACCUAAUGAUCUCCCCAAACCAACUCAUUCUCGGAAGGAGACAUGGCCAAGGGUGAACAAGAUAUGAUGGCUGAGAAUCUCUAUUCCUACAAAAUAACAUGAUUCACAUGCUCAAUACCUAGGACGGUGGUUCCUCCCUCCCGGCAGGUCUAAGAAUACAACCCCUACGACAUAGUUGAAACCAAUUGUCUCUCACUUCAAAGAUGGACCCUCUGUUCCUUUGAAAUGCCUUUGAUACAUCAAUUCUGCACUUCUGAAAGUGAAGAUCUAGGUCCAAGAGGAAUGAAAUGAGCAUACCAGGAGUUGUCUAUUCACAUGUCAUAUGAAGAAUACUUAUUUUCAAAGAGUGCCUCCAGGUUCUCUAGUAGCUAUAUCAAACCACAACUCUGUACUAGCAAAGAGGCUUCGAUACUAACCAACACACCAGGAUUCAAAGAUGCAAAAAGAAAAAGGAAGAUAAUACCACUGCUGUAGAUGCACGCCCUUCUCUUAGUUGAGAAGAACACAGGUAAGAAAGUCUAGAAAGUUCUGAGACUGGGUAGGUGAAUCCAUUGACCUUGACGUAGGGCUUUCCCCUCCACCCGAUGGUGAUUGACUUACCGAAGACCGGCCCUAAGCCAUUAAUGAAUUGAGCCUGGUGAACCAUUGAUAUAGCACUCUGCGGGGCGAAGGCUAUGCUUAUCACGAUAGUGUACAGAAGCUCUUUCCUGACCUGGAAUAGACGAAUCCUAACAAGAUUCUAGACAUACGCGGGAUGAAACAACAUCUACUCGAAAUUUCAUUCACAAAGCCAUCAAGGCGGUGCUCAAGAGAGGUUGUUGUCUACCUAAUGCCAUCCCUUCGAUCAGAUUGUAAUGGAAGUAGCCCCGGUUUCACGGGUUUCGAUACCCCAGCAAUGUGCAAGAACAUCCUCGAAAACGUCUGCUGUGACUUCACCUGAAAGUGCAUCUGGAACCGCUCCGAGUGCUGAUUUAGAUGCUGUAGGAACAAACAAAGAUUGUGGUGCUGAAACAAACGGACAACAUGAUCUGUCCUCCAUUGGCGUUUGAUAACUCAUUUCUACCUCGCCGCAGGGAUGGGGAGAUAGACUCUGACCCAGAUCUCGCUAUAGCCGCCAACAGAUCAAUUCAUUAAGGGCACACCCAGGCAGGGAAGAAUUCUCAAUUAGUUCAUUGAGUUUAGGAAAGGAUGCAAGUUUGGAACAGUUGCUGGAGCAUGGUGAAACGCGCUCAUUUGGAGAGGCUGAAACAGAAACGUACUCGAGAGCUACUCGUCUUCCUAAAAGCUCUAGCAAUGCAAGACCUGUCCUAAUGCAAUAAAUACCGAUGCUCUCGAACUCAAUCAACACAGGUACAGGGCCAGGUGCUUCUCCAGCUCUUGGUACCGUCUCUUGUGCCCCACCUGUGUAGCUAGGGUUAACUAACCCAUUCAGGAGAAGAUAAGAGAAACACCAUCUGGUAAGGUUGGAUCUAUAAAACAACGUUGGUUGAUAGAGCUAUCUUGACAUUAUAGGUGGGGUCUUUGGAUAGCAGGUAUGCUGUGUCAGAGAGCAUUGGUGAGAUUAUCCAUCUUAUAACCCCCGUUAGACCGACAGAUGAUAGAUUCCCUUCCAAGCCAUUGAAACCUCGCUUUUCUUAUCUAGAUACAGGCGUUAGAAUACGUUUUUUGAUUGAAUAGGUUCUAUCUGCUUCCAUUCAUUAUCCGUGUGCUUGUGAAUUUAUGAUAAUCCAUUUCAGUAGGACAACAAGGCUCUCGCCUAGCUGAUUCUAAAGUGGAAGCAAUUCAGGUAUCAGCAGAUACGGGUACUAAUUCACAUUUCUGUCGCUACCCCGUGGUAUUGGAGCUUGUAGUGAUAAGGAUUUUUAUAAUAGAUAGUUUGUUUUAUCCUUGAAGUAAGAGCACUGAGAAUAGCUUAGCUUUCCAGUCGAAAGAAAGCAUAGAGAACCAUCAAACAAAAACUGGAUGGAGAAUGCACUCUUCGUUGCCCAAAGGAAAGGGUGCAGGUCUAGUAAAUAUCGCCUUUAAAGGGCUAUGUCUAUAGACAGUUCUAACAGAGAACGUAGUAAGCGGAAGGAAUGAGUGCCUUGAUCGCCCUCUUGCUUUUUGUCAAUGGAUCAUGAACAUUUUCUAUUUGUUUUAUUGAUUCAUGCGAAAUGAAAUAUGAAUAUUCGAGUGCUUAGGAAGUAGUUGGCGCGUACUAUAGAUACGCGAAAGAGUACCUGUAUCCUUGCAGGAUUUGGUUUGAAGGUUUGAGUCAGUACGGUGAAGCAUUGAAGGAAUCGAAUGGAAAAAGAGCUUAAAAUAAGGGAUUUUUAAGCUCCGUAAGUACUAACUAGAUGCGCAGGGCAUCAGAGGCUUACUCAAAUGGAACAUACGAAUCCAACCUUGCUUGACUCCAUUUUUCAUACUUGCCCUCGGGAUCAGUGGUAGAUUCGUAACGUUAUUACUCAUGGGUAGCAGAUGAUGGAUCCAUUUCUGUUGAAGCAGUGGAGUGAAGAGGAGGGUUGGGUCCCGCCUCACAACGAGCCCGGGUAGAUAGAUAGGUAGAUAGUAGAUAGUGGCUGGUGGUUUCGGGAUCCCGUAGAAAAUGCGUCUUUUAUGCCUCGGGUAUUAGCCACAGCUCGUAUUCAUUCAGUAAUUCUACCCCUUCUUCAUUCUUAGACCUCACUUCUGAAUAUUUUGACUCUUCCAAGCUGUGUCUUAGGAACCUUUUCAAUACGGUCCGGAUUGCUAGCUCCCGUUCAUAGUUCUGCUACAGACGAUACACGAGGAAGAUUUUUAUGGCGGUUCUUCCUUCUAAUUACAGGCAUAUCUAUGACUUUUUUUACCAGAUGAAGCAGGAGGCAUCGGUCCGUAGAACCUAUAAAAAAGAGAUGGUUGUGGCGCGAAGUACUCUUGUGCACCUACGUCAUCGGCUCACGCGCAACCCCGCCCCGUUAUGUUAUGUUAUGGAAGAAUUUAGCUUCUUGCUGGGCUGGUUAUUCAGAGCCAGCAACUGGCUGCCGGAUUUCAUCCCGUCCGUAGCGCUUUGGAAGUCACUCUGGCGUGGCGCUGCUGGAUACUUCUGAUCAAUAGGAAUAAGAGGGAAAAAGCUUAUGAUGAGCAUCUAUUGGAGUCGGUCAUUUGCAAGAUCUAAUUCUAGUUUCUUAUUAUGUAGUGGAAACGCCUCACAAUCUUCAGUUUUACGCUUACGCUUAAGGGAAGAAAUAUUCUUGGUGGAUGCAGGCCCUGGUACCCCAAAAAUUUGUAUGCAAGAUGAGCUUACAGGACUGGCAAUCAAGCGAGCCACCAGGUUUGAGAAUAAGGUGGGAUCCAAGAAUGUAGUGGCUGGUGAAUCACUGAUCAAAAAGCAGAUUUUUGAGAGAUUCUUCAUCGAUCUAGUGGCCGGUGAAUCACUGAUCAAAGAGCGAGCAGCCGCCAGGUUUAAUGAUUUUGUGGGAUCCCUGGAUGUAGCGGUUGGCGAACCGCUUCUUCUUCCACAAAGAUUCAGACAAAACCGAGCUUGGAUAGAACUGAAGAAGAUUUGGCGAACGAAGAAAAAGGUCAAAGGGUUUAUUAUAAAAAAUCAAAGGAGGUUAUUCAGUAGCCAUCACGGGUUUCAUUACUUUUCUUCCAUUCAAAAAAGCUCUUCUAAAAAAAGGAUAGCGAAUGAUCGAUUCACCAUUGAUAGCAUUAACCCUAAAAGGAGGGAUAUUGUGAUAAUAGCGGCAGAUCAAACAAGAACUUGAUGAAAAGAUAGAAAAAAAUAUGAAAAAUCCGAAGCCCACCUUAAUCCAUUUUGUUGAGGAUCUUGCACUUAUUCUGGCCCUAUAUUUACAUAGCCAAGAAAGGCUCUAGCGAUCAUGCGUGACUGGCAGAGCGCCUAUCCUGAGUAAUUACUAAUAGCAUGUGAUAGCUGCGGGCGAUGAUGGACUGAUGCCAUGCUAUUCAGGUACCUGACAACGCUGGCUCCGACGGUGAUGAGUCUGACGGUGGCUCAGAUGUUUCUCUUCCCGAUCCUUCAAGGUCCCCCGUUCCUGACAUCGUCCAAAGGCCGUUGGCGCUCUCCCAUCUGACAAUGCGGGCUCUGCGUGUCGCCUAUGGAAACACUACCCGAGUGGUCUAUUGCAUAGUGGAUCCGCGGGUACCCCGUCGCUGCUUCAUUUUUAUCAACAUCCGGUAAGCAGAACGGACAGAGAACUGUCCCGAUUUCUCGUAAUGCCAGGCCCAAAAGUCCUCCAUCCGCAUAGCAGCAAAAGUAGGCAUUUCUUUGAUACUUACUCACCUGUGGCUAGAUUUACCACCAUUCGAGUACUACUAUCACGGGCUGCCUCACACGAUCUUCUUGUUCAUUAGAUGGGCAGACAUCUUUCCUUAAUGCGGAGUUGGAUGAGGAAAUUUACAUGGAGUAGCCAGAUCAAGAGUACCCGCGCAUUCGCCUAACCCCGGGUUUUUUCGAUCAAAAUGAAGAUUUUUGAGAAAAGAAGCCCAAAAAGCAUCUGACCUUGAAAAGAAUCACCAGUUACUUGAUCCAUCCCUGCGGUAAGUGGGAACGAAUGUGACAGCCGAUGGUAGUAGGAUUUCCACAGGUUGAGCUCCUUAUCUUUUGACUUUUCUAAGGAUAGCCGAGUAGAUAUACUACAAUGGGAUGAAUCGAGCACGAGAAAUCACUAGGCACAGGGGAGCCGUAAGGAAGAGGAGUAAUAUUGUUAUAAAGUUCAUGAAUUCGAUUCAUUUUGGAAUCGAUAAGUGAACACGGAAUCUCGUCUUGUUCCCCUUGGUUCCGAGUCGAUUUCGCUUGUCGAAAUCAUUCAAUCCAUAAGUUUUUGUUUUUUCGAUCGGAAUUUGGGUCAGCUGAACACUUAUUUUCUCUUUCAAAAGUGGUGAUGGUGUGGGUAAAUUCAAUCGAUAUCUUGUUUCCCUUUCCGAUGCAAAUAUCGGGGAAAUCAGUGAUGAAUUGUUAGAAAGAGGGUUGAGCUAUAAAAUCUAUAAAAUGGAGCUUGAUCGGUAGCUUCGGCCUCCCAGACCCAAAUUAAGUUACCAACACGGAAUGACAUUUUCAACCUGACUUCCUGUUUGUCAUUGGAAAGAACGGAAGAGCAUUGUAUUCCUCCUAGGAAAUAAUACAACAUGUCAAAAUAAGAACGGAGAAGAUUCGUUGAUACAGAGCUGGUCCAUUUUACAAGCGAUCCCCUAUUCUGCAUCCCGAAGAUCAUACGGCCCAGAGCCAAAGCGAUCAUUACAGAUAUAUAGGGACAGCAAGAAUCAGUAAAUACCGGGGAUACCUUACUAAGAAUUUCCUAGAUCUUGAGUUAGGCGUAGCUACUUCCUCCCCCCAUGUUCUCCUGAUUCCCCAUCCUUCCGCUGAAGCUAAACCAGUAUCAGUUGAUGGCGAGCAUAGUAGAGGCGGCUUUAUCGUUAAAAAAACAACCGACUUUCGAGUAAUAAAUAACUUAUAGAAGCACUUGAGCGUGGUUUCGGCCUAUAGCCGGAGGAAAUGUUUUUAAAAAUUGACCCGAUUUUGGGCAUUCGUAGAGGGGAAAGACAACCAUGCGAUAAGAGAGGGAGAGGUCUGUCUUCCCAAAGUAGCCAUUCAAGGAGACAAGUUCUACCAUUGUACCCUGACCUGUGGAACUGGAGAAGCUCCUUUAUUGCUAUAGUUCUUGUUGAACCUUUUCUAAAGUCAACAAUUUCUGCAAUCAGGGAGGAGGCAUCGCCUUACUUGCUAUACCUUAAACCUUAUCAAGAAAGUAAGCCCAACGAAACCGCAAUCCCAAUCAAAUAAAAGAUUAGACGGGCUGAUCCCUGAGAUCGAUCACUGUUAAUUUUCUAGUUUUUUAGCUGACUUGGGACCUUCCAUAGAAAACCGAGUACGAGCAACGGUCGGGUCUGCUGCCCCUUCCUUCUCAGCAUACAACUGCAGAUUGGAUAAAUGGUUUAUCUUCGAAUGUAUGCUACAAGAAAUGGGCUGAACCGAUCUACAGGGAAUGCAAUAGCGAAAAGAAUUCCACUCUAUCUUAGAUUUUUGUAUCCUUUUCAAGGGCCAACCCUGUCCAAGGUGGCAUCCGUAUGGGCCUAUUGAUCUUGACCUCUUCAGUUGUGCAGGCACAAAUAUGAACUGGUCUAAGUUUGUUCUUGACGAUCCCCACAAGCUUCUCUUAUCUACUUGAAUGCAAAUCAGAAAAGAGGAAGUCGCAAUGCAUUUUGUUUUUCUAAAGAAUAAAAGACACGUGGAUGGUAUCGAUCAAGAGACAUGGCUAAAGGAUGGAAGUGAAUUAGAAUCAGACGGUCGUCGAACGAAUUCCCAAUAAAUGGAAGAUCUACGUGCAACGAAUUUCGUAUAAAAAGUAAAGUAGGCGAUUUCACCAAGAGGCCUAUUGAACUAGCUCCCAUGCAUGGAUCUGCAUUGUGUGCUUUCGCCGGGGCGAGAGUGAAAAAGAAAUGUACCAAGAGUUCCGUAUGAAUUAGGUUUGCCUUUCCAAAGAAAUGAGAUAAGGAGCAGUAAGGCCUGGUGGCUCUGCCUCAGCCGUUGCCUUGCCUUGCAGAGCGUCAACACCGACACAUUGUAGAGCAACGUCUUGCAACUAUGUACAAAGCCUCCAUUCCCCUGGGUGUCGUGUUUGAAAGCACAGUCUUUGUCAUAAACCGAUUACCCUCCACUCCAAAUGGCUCUACCAAGGAUCCCACAAAGUUCCCGAAACCAAGUUUCUCAGAAAAGGCCUCGUAUCCAUCUACUCACAAUAAUUUGAAUGUAGAACUGAAGAAGCACAAUUUCCUUCUUCGAGAGGAAUCCAACCGAAGAGAAGCGAGCAUCAUAAUAGCUGGAUAAAAAGAUAUUUAGUAUAAGAGGACGUUCGCGUCAAUUAUCACGCCUCUGACUGCUGAGGACGAGGUUCGGGUUAAUGAUAUUGUGAAAGGUGUCAUUAAACCGGGUCUGCCUGUGUUAGUUACGAGGUAUAUGCCAUGGAUCUCAUCUAUUCCCCUUAAACAAGGGAUAACGUGGGUUCCGACCUGGAAUCUAGACCCCCAAUUAUAGUGUGUUUAAAGAGAUCGGAGGAACUCUUCCUCGGUCUCUGUAUCCAAAGAUACUGGCAAUUAGAGCUUCAAGUGUUCGGUUCUACUCUCCGUUUUACUCAUAGUAAGGGAGAGAAGUUCAGUCCACUUGCUCUUUGGCCGCAUCGGUUGAGGUUUGCUCUGUUCAGCUCAGUUACAGAAGAGAUGGUAUCUUGCUUGUUUCAAUUAUCCGGGCUCGCCAUCAAUAGAUACUGGUUUCUCUUCCGCUUUGGCCCAAUUGACCCACUUAUCUUACAAAGAGCGAAGCCACUAACAAAUACUUAUAGAGGGAUUGUACCAACCUUAGCUAGGGAGAUAAAGGCCCUGCUCAAUGUAAAAAAAGGAUCUGGAAAAGAAGAUAGGAAUGGGGCACCAAGGAAGGAUUGUAGGUAGGGAUGCCCUUAGAUCCGUUCUCAAUAGCUUGUGAUAAGGCAAGAAAGCUAGUAGAUACCCUACCCUCGCAUUAAAGCAUCGAUCUAGUCCUCUAUUAGAGAUGAAUUUCCUGUUGGAAAUCGAGGUACAUACUCCAAAAAUCCCUAGUUUUUGCCUUCGGUUAGCAACUCGUCUAAGUUUAAGAUCGUAUUCCAUCUUCGUAAGGACAUAGAAAGGGGUUUCGGUAGUGACUGUCCUAUCAAUAGACCGAAUGGUCAUCAGUUGCCCUCAUGGCCUAACGCCGUUUUUGAGCUCCAUCACAUGCUUAAGAAGGACUUGCCACGGAGCCAAGGCCUAUUUAUGAGCCAGACCUAGAAGAUCACUGCUUUCGUGCUGGUCAUUCUAAUCACAAUGAGAACUUCUCCCAAAGAGGGUUCUUAUUUCAUUUCAGUAAGUAGUCGAUUGAAUCGGUUUCUAACCUAAGGAAUGUGUUAUUAUAACCAAAUAUAUCAUCCAAGAGACGAUCUCUUUUUCAUUAAGUAUCAUUAACAGACCGCUUGCUUACGAGCUUGGUAGCCGCCUUGGAGCCGAGGUAGGCGGAGGAACCUCUCGAACCUGGAAUCCACUUUCCACUUGUCCUUCAUAUGCUCGGGUCUGCUGUUUGACCAGUAUCUACUGCUAUUUCUUACUUCGACCAGACGGGCACUUUCGCAUUACGCAGUGAGAUCGCCUACUCCUCUCGAGGUUGGCAUUUUCUAGUUCAUAUUUCAUAGGUCACCAUAAAAAUUCCUACCUUUGAAAUUAGCAUAUUUUUAGGAACAUAUCGAACUUUCAUCCCGCAUUAUCUGUGCAAAAUUUUAUCAUUGUUUAACUACUUCCUCAAACCAUUCAAUGCGCUAUCUCCAUCCUCUCAUUCAUCUCUAUACCAGAACAAUUAAUUAGGCCCAACCCUUCUAUCAUCGGCCUUGUUGAACUAAUUACUUUCGUCUUUGUGCCACCUCAAAGAAGACAUUUGAUCAUGGGCUUUUUUUUGUGAUGAGGCUAGUUUGAACUAUGCUUUUUCUCCUUUCUACACCCCUCUUGACACAAGUUUCGCACAUCCAAUUCUCUUAUUAGAAACUCCCUAUAGAUAUACUUCUUACUGACUGAUUAUGGCUUCCCUGACUAGAGAAGGAAAUGUCGGGAGGAAAUAGAGAUCAUAGGACCACCUGAAUGCUGGAGAUGAGUGCUCGUCGUAUUCCCUCGAGGAAAGCGGAGGCCCUCGCGGAAAGAUCAAAGAAAAUGAAAAGCACAGCCGCCUCUACCUAGAGCAAAGAAGCUUUGCUAGUCUUAUCACCGGAUUCACCAUAAUCAGCUUUAAGGUCCUGACUCUCAAAUCGGAUAUCUCUUUAGUUCACACGAAUUUUAUAUUAUUUAUGAUUGGUGAUUUGAAAUUCUUUUUAUUUACUAUUUUGAUGGAAUUCAUGAACGAGUAGAUCAAAGAAAAGAAAGCAAAUCAUUCACUCCUAAACUAAAGAACUAAUCUACUGAGCUAGCCUCCCGUUAUGCGCCAAUGCUUGAACAGGACCGUUGACCUUUACCAAGCCAGUUUCCUGUAGUUGACCAAUACAGUUCGACCGAUUGAGACAGCAGGGAGGAUGUGACCGAUAGAUUUGAAGAAGGAACUCAUUUUUUACUGAUUCAGACCGUUUACCAGAAGAGCGGUAUGGUUCAGAAGAGGUACUCAUAAUACAUAUAUGGUUUAACGAAUUGCCAUAUUGAUUACCAAUUCAGUAAGCCUACCUAUACCUCCUCAGGUUCCAGCCUACCUGCUCAACCUGCGGACCCAGUACAGCAGCCCUUGACCCCUGGUCCUGAUCCACUAACUCCAGCACCUUCUACUUCCACUGAUCCGACAGCAUCAGCCCCCAUUUCAUCAUCUCAAUCCACUCAUCCUACGAUUACUCGCACACGGGAUAAUACUCGCAAGCCUCACGCCUUUCCCGAUCACGUUGUCAACAUGGCUACCUUUCAUCCUUGGCCUCUUGAGUCCUCACCAACUAAGCCCACGUGUUUCUCUAUGGCCAAUAAAUGUUCCAUUUGGCGUUCAGUUAUUUGCAUAAACUUAAUGCUUGCAGAAAAGUGUUGAUUAUAAAUAAGUAUAUGAACAAUUUACUAUACAAGCAAAUCUUUGCUUGUUGUCAUCGCAAGCAAGUAGGUAACGCAGAUUUCAAUUUGCAGUCAAUAUAAUAAAUGUACGAGGCGAAGAUAUAGGAGGUAUGAAACAAACAUAAUGUCAGUACAUGUCAAUCACACUCAAGGAUAGAUAAUUUAGCGUUCCAUCACAACAUAAACUAAAAACAAAUGAAGAAUAUAGCUAAUAAAUAAGUAAAAACGACGCUCGGCAAGCACAGUUUGCUGCGAUCGUGCCAGCGGCAUCACCGAUUGGUUGCACGGAUGUGGUCACAACAGGCAGUAAAACCCUUAUUAUAGCAGUUAGAGGAGUGGUUUAAUACAUGUAUGUCCACAUUAUACAUCGGUCAAAAAUAAUUAGACAUUCGAGAUAUGUCUGCAAGAUGGCAUACCUUAUUUUGCAUUCUGUUCUGUCUAGAACAUAAGAUGAAACAUAUGGCAUGUUAAUAAAAAUGUGUUAAAAAAGUAACCAGUGGAAAAGCAUAACAAAGUAAGUAAGUUUAUGUGUGAAAAAACAUACAUACCGCGGAGGAUCUCCUUCCAAGCUUGCAGCUGGAGCGACCAGCUGAGAUGUUGGAGAAUCUCGGAUGGAUUGGAUUUUUCAAAUAGGUUUUUCCGCCUUGUGAUGCAUUGCUCAUUUUUUUGCUCCAAUCUAUGACCAUAUGGACAGGGGCUGCAUAAAUACUAAUACAGUAAGUACAUUUUUGAUCAGCAACACCGGUCUCCGCAGCACCAGGAUACGAUCUUCCUCGGUCGUUCACUCCUCUUCCUUCGCACGGGCAUACCAAGCUCUAAAACCUACUUCUCAUUCGAUCGAUGCUUAAGUACCGGUUUGCUUCUACGUCUAUGGUUGAACUUGAAGGCCUUGGAUUCCGAAACCUGUAGAGCUUGCAUGGUGAAGAACAAGUACGUACUUCAUACGAAGAAAAGGUAGGCGGACUCCUCUGGUUUUCUCCACAGUAGGAGUAAGCAUAAUCCUAAAGCCGGCCCAAUGGGCUAUAUUUCUUUAGAGUACUCAAAAAGUAUGCUUUUGUCGGAGGGAGAUUGCCGGGUCUAUGUAGAAUAGAGAAGCAACAAAAGAAAAUAAAUUGAGUAGCCAAAGGCCUCGUGCACAGUAUGGAAGGAAGAGGAAAAAUGCGCGGUACACAAUGUAUGAUGAUGAACGUAUGGAGUUAGUUCGGUGGCUUCGUUGGGGAGUAGGGCCGGGGGGAUAAACUUGUCCCUUCUUGAUGGCGAGUAUAUGCUUCGACCGACUCUUGUGCUCCCUAUGUGCGUGUUCUUGAUCACCGAACAUGUCAGCUUCGUCUUUCUUGAUCGGUUCCUCGUGUUGCAUACAAUGAAGUGGUGUCAUGUGACGCUGGGCAUAAUCUCUGAAAACUCCUGACUGGUUCGGUGUGGUUUUGUUUAUUCAACACCAAUUGCCUUAGCUUUGUUUUUCUGAAGGAGAGAGAGAAGAGAGUAGCUAGAUUUCUUUUUCUAUUUUGAUUUUCAAAUGGCCCGGCUUUAUUUCAAAAAUGGUCCUUACUUUCCUAUCUUUCCGAGUCGGAGCUGGAAACCAACCGACCGAUGUUACUUUGCCACGAGAGCAGACAGGCUUAUGUUGACUGGAUUCAAGAUUCCAUGCUGAGCAGACAGGCUUAUGUUGACUGGAUUCAAGAUUCCAUGCUUUUCUUGAAUGUGUGAUUACCUACUUUUUGUGAAAAUAAUAGAUUGGUUAGCCUGAGAAACACAAUGGAAUUGAUCGAUUCUCUUGUUUGAUCUGCUUUCUUCCAAACUCUUGACUGGAAGAUAGGAAAUAUUGCCUUGCUAUUUAGUGGAAUUCCUCCCAAAGGCCGGAAACUUUUCUAUUUAUUUCUUGACUGAACUAAAUCAUUCUUAUUUCAGAAUCGCAUAGUGAUGUCUGUUUCACAUAUCCACUACUUGAAAACACUAGCUGAUCAGAUGUCAGCAAAAACAAAGGAUUCAGAAAUGACAUAUUACGGCAAUCGAGAUCACGUGCUCGGAAUCUCAAUUCGCUACAUUUGCGGAAACCGAUACUUCAAGAUAGGUUGGUCUUGAUUGAAUAAAAGUUUCAGAAGUUAGACAUCACUCAGAAAUCUGUUCGAGCCCCAUCAAAUCCGGAACCAACAAUGCACGGGAAGAGGCGAUCCUCGGAAUCCUAAAUCUGUACGGGGGUCGAUUACCACAGAUACGUCAUCCUAACCAAGCCGUGUAUUUUAAUCACUGUUACGCACCAUUGGUGAUCAGUCGAUGGCAAACGAAAAGAUACUAAGGGAAGACAAUAGUCUGGCUCGAGUGGGUAGGUGUGUCCUACUCACGCCCUACAUAGGGUUAAAGAACAUGUGUGUUUCCACUGUUGAAACAAACUAGAGGAUGUUAUGAUCCCGCUAAAGAAAGCAUUUGUAUAACCCGUCCACAUGCGGGCUCUUCGAGUCUUAAGUUAGGGAAAGGAAUGUUUGGGGGGGCGACCAAAGGUCUCAGAACAGAAGGAGAAGGCAAAUGUAGGGAUUGGGAACCACCUUUUCUCGAAGAAACCAAUACCAGUCAAGAAGUGAACGGUCUCAAAAACCGCUUACUUGUUAGUUUUGGUUUUCUAAGACGGGAGAGAAAAAGGCACGCGAGAAGAAGACGGUUGCUGGAAUCGGAAUAGUUGAGAACAAAGUGGCGAACGGGUGCGGAAAUAGCUAGAACUGAAUGCGGAAAGUAUGGAAAAACAUCUUGUAAUGCAUUUAACCAUAAAAUCAAUUAUGCUUCUACGGAAGUAUCUACUCGUAACGGAAUUUCAGGUGUCAAAGUGCGGAUCUCAUAUAGUAAAAAUAAGAAGGGAAGAAAUGCUCGAUUCUCAAAGUCCUAAAUUUACCAAGUCUUUUUGUACAUCUAGCGGGACGGCUCUCGCCGCGACAACUGUACGUUGAUUUAUUAGUAUUAAUCUUUUGUGCAAAAGUCGGGAUAAAAGGUGGAAAUCAGAGGACAUCAAAAAUAAAAUUGAUAAGUGUUUGACAUAUGAAAUCCUUCUUAUAUUGGAGACGGAUGGAGGAGAAUUCACCAUGGGGAUUUUUUCAAAUCAUGCGUCGAAACACACGUUUGAGAGAGAUUUAAAGUGUUCCUUAGCGCAAUUUCAUGUUAAUCUUUCUUUUAAGAAAGGAUGGCAACCCGUUUUGGAAAACUUUUUAAAUGUAAAUCCCAAAAGGAUUAUUUUCUACGGAAAGGCUGCGUCCAUAGAUGAUACAUUAAGAAUUGUAGAAAAGAAAAAAAGAGCAACAAUUAGAAAAAAGGGAAGAAAAAAAGAGAGCUACUUUUACUCACCUUUUAGUAAUUAUAGCUUACGGAGUUUGCUUUUGCGCGCUGCUUCAUUUCUAUAACAAGAAAUUACUCAUAAAAAAAGGAAGAUGUCACUAUCGCUUUUCCCCUAAAGACAGUGUUUCUUCAAAAGAAUUCCCUGCCUCAUCAGGGUCUUGCUUCGAUAAAGGUUUCGCUUCUCUUGGCCCCAAGUACCACAAGCCAACCUUUUUACCUCGAAUAUAUUAUGAAUGACUUCCUUUGCCGGAUUGGUGAAUGGAAAAGAUCAUCAGUCAACAAGGGAAGACGUUAGGUACUCUUUUCCCGUAGUAAAGGUCAUUUGCACAACCAUUUUCUCACUCCCUGCUGCAUCAUUUCUAUAUAUGUGACAUGUAAGCUCAUCUCGCCGAUACUACUAUAAGAUUUUUACUGACCCUAUCCGAUCAAGGCACUCAUUCCUGCUGCCAUUGCUAUCUAUUUGACUUCCCAAGUCAAUGUAAAAAGCCCCACAGGUGGGUGAUCUGGAUCCAUUGCUGCACCGCCCUAACCAAAGAAGAAUUCCCUGCCCCCAUAUCCGUCUAUCAGAAAAGAUAAGGAACUACCCGCGGGUACUAUUACGAUAGGGAAAGACUGGCUCAUUUUUAGAAAAGUGAAUGCAGCUCCCCGGCCAGGGGUCUUUAUUCUUAGGUCAAUGCACCGAAACGUCCACCUUCCAUCUGCCCAGACAGAAAGAUAAGUUCCAUCUUGCCAAUUUGGUCUGCAAGUAGAGAGUUGUAUGAGGCUUCAGCCCUAGAAGCAUGAGAAGAGAAAACCCAGGAGCCUUCAGGGAAGAAUGCCCACUUCCCCCACUACCGAAAUAUGAACCCUUUCAAACUCGACCUUUACUUAAGUGAGUAUAGUAUCUUGCAAGUUCACCCUAAUUAAGAUAACAACAUCCGCCAUCCUCUAGGCAACCCACAGCUGGCACCAUCCCCUAUAGGGCAGGGCUUAUUAACUCUGUUAAUUUCUCCUCAUUCAUCCAUUAUAAGCUGAAAGCGGUAUGGCUAUGUAUCCCUUUGCUUAGAUCCUUUGAUACUGUAGUUGGGGAUGGAGAGGCUAUAGGAAUUCUCCAAUAUAGCAUUAUUUGUUCCUGUGACCCCUUGUCCCGUAGGUUUGGUUUACCUUGAGCGCAUAGAAAUGAAAGAAUCCACAUUCCAUCAUUCCUUCAGCGAGCAUCUUUAUUCACAAGGACAAGUGUUUCCUUCAAUCGGUGUGCGCCACUGGAUCAGGCUACUUAAAUUCAGGCGCAAUUAGAACCAGUUGCUGGAAUAGGUGUUUUGGCCGGGUCACCAAUGCAAGGAAGGAGGCAAAGAAGGUUGUGGUUACAUGGACUCUAGGGAAGCGGAUCCUGACAAAACAACUUGCUCAGAAUACGCUUUACCGCCAACUGAUAAGUAGUUUCUAGCUGCAAGCAAAUAAGGCAGGCAAUCUAUAAAAUAAAAUAUCAUGCAAAAUUACUCCACUAUUGCCUUUUGUAAAGACUCGGUAUCUGCCGCCUCUGCUUUGGCAGCUUGUUCAGCUUCAUACUCGGUGUAAGUCCUCUCAUUUGAUGGUAUUGUGUACCUUACGCUAGUUUACUAGCGGCUAGUUUUUGUUUAGACACGGAUCUAUUGCGUUUCUUGAUCCGCUAAAAUAGGCCCGCGUGCGGGUGGCAUGAGGAAGAAGUCAGAGCCUAUCAGGCCCAAGCGAAGCUUUGCAGCGAGAGUAGUCAAAGAUCGGAUAGACUCGAACCACAAUUGCUAAGGCUAUGCCAGCUCAAAUCCUGUAACGAACAAUCAUCAACGACUUCCCUAAAUGCCGCCAUCCGCCAUUCUGCACGCUCUGUGACACUGAAUUGUUCACUUGCAUGGAGGGUUUGUUUCGUUGAAGUCACCCAUGCAUAGCCAUGGCAACUCAAUCGACAUGUUCUAUAUAUGCAAUCGCAGAGGCGAAGUAUUAUUGUCAGCCUGGACUCGACACCCAGGGCUGUGCCGAUCCGCUUGUCCCUCUAGCUCGUAUUAUAAAAAGUUGUAUUUCUAUGUAGCACAAGUGACUUACCAUCCUACCAAGGAUCCCUAGGAUUUCCACACUCAAUAAAUCGAAUCAAUUUAUUCUAGUGGUUGGUGAGGAGGGUAGCGCCGAUCGGUAGUCUAUAUCAGCGGACCCAACCCUCCCUUGCAUCUAAGGCACAUUUCAUCUCUGGGCCCGCCCCCAACAGAUACCGGUACCGGCCAUGAAGGCUUCACCCUUCUCAAGUGCAAGAAUGAACAAUAUCUUACAUAAAGAACAAGAGCACGAGUUGCGUCAAAUGACCAAAAACAGUCUAUCGAAAAGAGAAACUUGCCACUCAGCAGGAAGGGGCACUCACUAUCCAAAAUCGGUAGACAACAAGCAAGAGAUGGAGCUUCUUCUAGGCCUGGUUAUCCCGAAUCCUUUCCGCCCCUUCGGUUUGAGGUUAUGCUUUGGCCUACCUAAAAUUUGUGCUUCUAUAGUGUGAUUCAUUACGGUGCUCUCUCCCAAUAACAGAUAGCUCUAAUAGGGCAAUAGUGGAGGAAAGUCUUCAUGAAAAAGAUGGACUUGUUACUUUUGAAUGAUAAACUUAUUCGGGCAGCUGGGAAAGAAGAAGGAUGACUUUAGUCAAACUAAUGAAGCGAUCCCGCGGAUACAGAAGUUGUGUUUGAAGUAUGAGCUACUGCUGCUGCUGAAAACAACAUUUUUGCAUGGUUCUUAGCUCAUAGUUUGUGUGGGUGAUUUCCAUGAAAUAGAUACAAUUGACACAUUGAUUAUACCGAGUAUGCCCCUCGGCAUGAUCUUUCGUUUAGCCCACUGUAGAAGAUGAUCACACUUGGGAAGAGAGACAGUCGCUGUUCGACCUCAAGAAUUCCUGGAUAAUACGAGGGCUGAAAGCCUUCAUCGACAAGAGGACAUGGUUGCAUGACCGUGGCUCAAAACUAACAUUAAUAUUGGCUUACUCGUACUCUAGAGAAGGAUCUGUGCCCUUUUUGAUAGCCGAGAGGUAAGUAGGCCAUUGAAGCCUUAAUUAAGCCUGUAUUCUUCUAUCUACGAUAUUCUAUCCAUGAAAGGGAGAAGCUCAAGUCGAAGUGUGUACCAAUAGUAGAAGCAAGAAGCGUAGGUCUUUUUUGGCCACUGAGGACACAUGCGCCAGGAAGAAAUGCAUGAUCGUAUACGGAAACUGGAGCUAGAUCGUACAGAUCGUAAAAUUCACCAUGAAAGAUGCCUUAUGACCUAAACCUCACACAAGCUAAUGAAAAUGACUAUCUAUUUUGACAGGCGGGACUGAACUAGUACGAAAAUUGACCCUUAGGUUUGUCUUGGUCAACGGGACCGCAUAACGAUUAUGCUUUGAAAAUGGCUCUGGGUCCGUCAGGAUUAUGAGAAGUUGUACUCAGUAGGGCUCUUUUGGAGAAGUUGAGUAGCACCCUCGUAUUCUAGUUUGUGAGUAAUAUGAAAAGGAAAGGCUGCUGGAGGGAAGGAUAGAAUGGUUCAGUGGGAUUUAGAAGGUAUGCCUUUUUCUUCUUAUUUACUGGCUCGGACACAGGAAUUCUCGAGCAAGAAAAGCAAAUGUCAUUUCUCAAUUGUCACCGCCUGGCAGAAAAGCUUUUCUUUCUUCCUACUACAUACGAUAUUCAAGUGCCCGUUUUCCUUGUUCACAUGAGGUGAACGUCCAUGCAGAGGAUACUUGGAAUACCACCCUUAGCCCCGUCCGUCCGUUGGAAACGAUGGCUUAAAAUGAGUUCUUCUAGCUUAGCUCAGUAGAAGCAACGGACGAGCUGAAACUCUACCCACGAGGCUUGCUAUCAACCAUCAUGCCGAGGAUCUAAAUCCGUCCUAUCGGAUGAGGAGAGCAAGAGGGAUUGCAUGACGAAGUAGAUCUGCACGUGGAAAGAAAGGGGUCAAGCGGAUACACGAUUCCAAAUUACUCCUUUCCGGCUAAGAAGAGAGGAUCUACAGGGUACAACGUAAAGUGUUUUGAUCACAUUGGAAAAGACUAUCCAUACCGACCUAGAGUCGUCAGCCAUCACACUAGCAGGCAAGCCAAGUUCCGAUACAAUUAGAGAGAAGCCAGCCUUUGGUAUAAAAGCCAUCCAUCAGUCUAUCAUUGUUAAGUGACUCAUCGCCCGUGGGACUUAGAGAUGAUUGAUUCGAAACCGACCUGGACUCUUUCUUUUUUGGCAUGGAAUUCUUAAAAUGCAUAUUAAAAGUGAAAUAGUUGAUGUGAUGGAUGUGCCCGGUAUCGAUCAAUGAAACAUCGGCUCGACGCAGGAUUUCAAUAGAAUGAAAAACCUCGUAAGUAGUAGUAAUUGAAAGCCUUGGGACUGCAACCGGAACUACCCGAUCCGCUGAAAUACGAUACGAAGGAAGAAAGCUCAAUACAUGUUCGAAGCUUCAAACAGAGCCAGCGAAUCCACGCAUGGACAGACCGAGGUAGCAACACCACUAUAGGAGAUUAAACAAAUGUUCAGUGCUCUAGUGAGGAUUGAAGUUCUAAAUAAAGAAAUUGGCUUUUGAUAGGCUGGAAUCGGAUCAUUGUGCAAUGUUAUGUUUUUCAAUCCAAAAUUGAUUUGUUUCGUUGGUAGAACCCACGCCAACUCUUUUCUCUAAAUAAUAGAGAGAUCUUUUGAUAGAAGUUUGACUUCUAUCAAUGCAAUGAAAGAACUAUCCCUUCCGAUUUGUUUGUCCUAAUGAGACAAAAAAGAGCCUCCUUCUUUACCACUUUAGGGGAUGGGGGUGAAGGGGCGUUUACAUACAACCGGGGCAAAGUGGUUUAUGAUUGAAUCUCAGAGGCAUUCUUAUCAUUUGGUAGAUCCAAGUCCAUGGCCUAUUUCGGGUUCACUCGGAGCUUUGGCAACCACCGUAGGAGGUGUGAUGUACAUGCACUCAUUUCAAGGGGGUGCAACACUUCUCAGUUUGGGCCUAAUAUUUAUCCUUUAUACCAUGUUCGUAUGGUGGUGGGAUGUUCUAUGUGAAUCCACGUUGGAAGGGCAUCAUACAAAAGUUGUACAAUUAGGACCUCGAUAUGGUUCUAUUCUCUUCAUAGUCUCGGAGGUUAUGCUCCUUUUUGAUUUUUUUGGGCUUCUUCUCAUUCUUCUUUGGCACCUACGGUAGAGAUCGGAGGUAUUUGGCCCCCAAAAGGGAUUGGGGUUUUAGAUCCUUGGGAAAUCCCUCUUCUUAAUACCCCUAUUCUCCCUUCAUCCGGAGCUGCCGUAACUUGGGCUCAUCAUGCUAUACUCACGGGGAAGGAAAAACGAGCAGUUUACGCUUUAGUAGCAACCGUUUCACUGGCUCUAGUAUCCACUGGCUUUCAAGGAAUGGAAUAUUACCAAGCACCCUCCACUAUUUCGGAUAGUAUUUAUGGUUCUACCAUUUUCUUAGCAACUGGCUUUCAUGGUUUUCAUGUGAUUAUAGGUACUCUUUUCUUGAUCGUAUGUGGUAUUCACCAAUAUCUUGGUCAUCUGACCAAGAAGCAUCACGUUGGCUUUGAAGCAGCUGCAUGGUACUGGCAUUUUGUAGACGUGGUUCGGUUAUUCCCAUUUGUCUCUAUCUACUUGUGGGGAGGUAUAUGAAAGAAGGGAACGAAUAAGUGGAUUGAGGAAUAAAAGCUCGAAGACAAAGAGAACUUCUCCGGGUGACAGGAUCACCCGGGCAGCGUGGCUUCUCUCCCGAGCAGGAAGCCACAAAAAGCAUUGUGCUCUUGUAACUGAUCUUUUAGUAGGCGAAGUUGCCGAAUUCUGAAAUCACUACAGGCAUAGUGUAGGAAAUUGUGAGUCCUAAAAAACAGAUGCCCCAUGAUCAUUGACUUACAUCACGAUAUCUUUUUCUUCCUCAUUCUUAUUUUGGUUUUCGUAUCACGGAUGUUGGUUCACGCUUUAUGGCAUUUCAACGAGCAAACUAAUCCAAUCCCGCAAAGGGCGGAUCUCGACGUUCUCGUCAUGGCCAAAGCGCCUAACGAGGGUGACUUUCCCCUAGACCAACCUCCCGUUGGCGGCUUGCCUGACCUCCGCGAGGAAAUAGCCAGGACUACCCCUCAUGAAGCAAUUCUGUCGGAGCUAAGCUCCCGCGUCGAGACAAUUUUCGAGGAAGUAGGAACCCAGGUUCCUUUAGAGGAAGGGCAGUCUUUGCACGAUUUCACACAAACUCAGGUCUUAUGGGAUGGAGAGGGCGAGGGUGAAGAUACUCUUCAGGAUAUCUUUCGAGCCAACCUGGAAGAGGGAGAGGAAAGAGAGUUCGUUAGAACCGCCGCAAAUCUGGCAAGAAAAUAUCGUCACGCAGAGCUAGGAGAGCCUGAGACGCCAGAUCCCGAGGAUCCCGUGGUCGAGCGUGAGGCUCAUUCCAUGAAAUCCCUUGAAGGCACAGAAGCAAAUGAUGGGGUUAAGGAGGCAGGCCCGUCUUCUUCGCGGAAGUGUAAAAGGUGGGAUGAUGAUUCGGGGUCCGAAGAUGAUGAUUCGGGGGGAUCUAGGGUUUCUCCGGAUCCCGUUGAGAUCAUUUACGAAGGGGACGCACAAACCUGUCCCGCAGAUGUAGAUAAGAUGCGGAGUAGGUAUCCAUCUUUGCAAAUCGAGAUACUGAGGCCUCCUAUACCUGUAGGGUAGAGGGGGGAUAGAAGAGAGGGUAUGUGGGCUUCUAUCAAAUAGUGAAGACCCGGGAACGACAGUCGCUCGACGUAAGGAGAGGAACGAAAUAUCAAUAGAGGCACGAAAACUGCUGGGUAUGAAAUUUGGGUAGGGUUGGCAGGGAAAGUCCAACUGACACUUUCUUUGAUGCCCUUUUUUCUCCAACUGGCGCAGAGAUUGCAUUUGCCCUUAACCUCCUUUGAAUCCAUCGUUUAGACCCUCUCAAUUGGUAUUGGCAUUGGCUCGAGAGCAAGGACCUUAUUUGAUCGCUUAGAACUCUAUGGAAGGAAACUCACUCGCUCGAGAUAUGCUUAAGCUAGCUCAGGAAGAGUACUAAUUUUAUAUGCCUUAAAGAGGGGAUUCAAAGAACAUUUAAGUUUGAAGUGAAAACAAAACAAUAACUAAAAAAAUUGACUGAGGAACUAUCUAAUACAACUAUUACUUUCGAGGACAAGAAGGAUGCUCUAUAUCUUUUUCCAAUCCUGGCAAAGGGAAAGCCAGUAGAGUAUGCCUUGGUUUAAGAGAGGAGCUAAGGUCCAUCUUGUGCUUACAAUACAUCUUAUUUAGCAGGACAUCUUGGGCUCUUUAGAGAAAGGCGAAGUCUCUACUUGUUAACCAUGGAUGCCUGUUAUAUUUACUUAUAGAGUGAAGAACAAGCCCACUUUCCAUAUCUCUUUCGUCCAUAUGAUCGAUUGCCUUAUUCUUCUUCUAAAAUAAGUGCAUUUAGCCAUUGUGUUUUUCCAACUUUCGUAAUAGAUCUGGGCAUGCAUGGUUUUCAAUAGAUAACCCUAGGCCUUCUUCGUUUCCCCACGGGCAUUCACUUCUCUUCAAGCUCGGGAUUAGCGAAACAUGGAUCCGAUGCCCAUCUCUUUUUCCACUUUGCAAGGCUGAGAGACUUUACCAAUUGAUAAAAAAAAGCAUGAGCGGUAUCAGCAGAGGCAAAAUCGAAUAAAACGGAUUAUUUGCACCUUUCUUUGGUAGGCAACGAAUCUCAAGGAAUGUGGGAAUCUUUUACAGAUGUGAAUUCUCGCUUUAACGCUUCGAUAACAUAUUUAGAAUUAGGUAUCUUCGGGACCGGGGCUCGCCCUCAACAUAUAUUGUCUUUGCUUCCGCUGAUGUGGCGUCAAUUGCCCGAGGGAGCAUAACACUACAGGCCGCAAUGAACAUGCCCGCCGCAUCUCGGAUAAUUGCUCCAGUUGCACCAAUUCCAGUAUCCGAGACAGAAAGCAGCAUCCACGUGAACUUUGACUGUUCAUAAUAUGGGAAAUUCCGAGGUGAAGGAUGCCUGCUCAGGUCAUGAUAUCACUGAUCCAAACUACAAAAUCUGAAUCCUGACUAGUUAGCGAAUCGUGUGCUCUGUGCGAAUGUCUUUAUUAGUCUGUUUCAUUUAAGCCCAAAGGAUCUUCGAAUACCGACUGGUCGUCCCAAUCCAAUCUCCCAUCUGCUUAUUCCAAUUUCUCCUAUUCCUAGAGAAUCAACUAAGAUUUCUGUUCUUCCAUCAAGAGGAGAUAGUUAUAGUUAUCGAUAAAGCUAAAAAAACCUGUUGACAUCGAUAAAGCUAAAAAAGUUGUUGACAUAGAAUGCAAUCGAAAUAGAGACAACUAGGCGAAAAAAAGACCGAAAACAAUAGAAACUUCUACUCCCUAGGUGGUUAUUUGCCGCAUAAGAUAGCGGUGGAAGCUGAAGGAAAGAGUCGGCUUUGAAUCUAGGUAUGCUUUCUAAGGAUUGUGCUGCGCCUAGCCUACCUUUACGAACAUACCUCUGUCUUUCAAACAAAGCCCUGUGUGUGGAACUACUUAUAUUUGUUUUCUAAUUGCUUUUAUCGGGCCAUCGAGAAGUCAGUCAGCGGUUGGCUUGAGUCCUCAAGUUGGUCUUUAAGACUUAGCAGGGCCCUACACACAGUACACCUUAGUAGAAGAUAGAUUUCUCUCACCCUAUGUGCAAUCAAGCUCAGAGACUUGAGCCGCAGAAUCCCUUAUUUCUUUUCUUCCUCAUCGAUCGAAAAAGGAUGAACUAAAAUGACUUGAUUCGAAGCCACUUCUGACUUGGAUUGAUGAAACGAGAAGAUUAUUGGAUUGGAUUGUUGGUCUUUCACUAAUGGAGCAUCUCAGCCCUAGCCUUGAAGUUGAACAUCCGGGGAUAUCUAAAUAUUGAACUAGUGAUUCAAAAGAAUGGCAAGUCAGCGGUUAUGUGUUGACUUCAGAAACAGGAAUCUUGCCACUCCAAAGGACGAGUAUCCAAUGCCGAUAGCUGACCUACUGGUAGAUUCGGCAGCUUGUAUUGAGCCUCUUGGAUGCCCACUCAGGAUAUAACCAUGUGCCAAUCGCCGAAGAAGAUAUUAACAAGAAUUUAGAUGCCCUAGUCUAGUUGGUGCCUAUGAUUUGUCGAUCAAUUCCUCGGGUCAAGGGGCGCACCUAUGAUCUAUAAUCUUCACUACUAGUCAAUCCAGGGAAAUAUUCCUUCUGGCCUUUUAUAGAUGGAUACCUUUUUCUUAGAAAAAAUCCCCUUUCAGGUUUAAUGAUCAAGGAGCGGGGUACCGAUUAUCCUCUUUUUGCCGGAGGAAGCAAGGAAACAGAGCUAAUGGAAUUUCAUUGUAAAGAAAAUGACUCAUAAGGAGGUGAGUCAUAAAAUCCUUAAACACUAGAUCAUGACUAUAUACCCGGAUGUCAUUCCUUGAAAGAUCCCAGGUCGCUUCGCUUAAUCAAAGAUAAGAAAUAUCAUAGCUGCUUAUGAAUGCCAUCCAACGAGGUAGAACCACCUUCUAAUCCUUAUGGAGUUUAAGAACAACGUCCACUUGGAUUUUCUAUACUAGUUAGCCGCAGAAAAAGACGAAAGCGAGCCAAAACAUGUAAAUCAAAAAACAAAAGAAGGGAACAUCCACUGUUGAAAUACACUUGCAUCGUCGUUAAACAGGAACUCAAAAACGGCACUAUAGCAUUGGAAUUAUGGAAUUUGAAUGGAUUGAGUACAUCAAGAUGAAGAAAUUAACGUAAUAAGAGAUAUUCUCAAAAGAUUCGGUCAUGCCAGAAACCUCAGUGUGCAUGGCACUAAAAAAGGGUACAAAGAACCUGAGAUGCAAGUAAUGGCUGAAUAGCUGGGGAAACACUAAAUAAAGACAAGUGUCAUCCGGACUUACUUGAUUGAUUGAAUCGAGAGAUGGAAAUGCCAUUGAGAGAUUAGAAGGGACAGAGAAAACGUCAGAUAGAGGUCGUGCUUCUGCUCAGUCCAAAAGAACAAUCUGAGUGAGGAUAAGGUGGUUUAUGUUAGGGUCCGAGAAAGCAACUUGACAUGCCAAUCCUAACAAGAAUUCCACUCUUUCUGGUCAUGUCAGAAACCACCUCUUGGAAAGCAGAUCGAAAGCCAAUCGUUUCAGAAGAUGAUGACCCUCUUGUGCUCCUACGUUCCUGCUAGUUGGUGGAUGAAGAAUAGGAGACAACUUGUUUGAGUAGAAGAUAACCCGCGAGAAGGAUGUUUUGUAGCGCUUUCUCAUACAAAAGGAAAAGGCGUCACGAAUGAUCGAUAAAUAAAAGAACCGCAUCGCUGUCGCCCACCCCACUUUGGGCACGGGGAGGCGAGAACCACCGCUUUUAGGAAAGAGGCCUACAAUUUGAUUCUCGUCUCGUUUCACUUGCAUUUUCUUUCGUUCAGUCUCGUUUUGAGAGUGGAAUCGAACCACUCACUCCGUUUGGAUUUCGAGUCCAAAGGGCCCAGGCAGCGAAAGAGGAUUUACAGUCCCAGCAGCCUGCAAGAACCUUUUUCUUGCUUGAUUUUUAUACAAUUUUUUGAGCAACUAGCGCGAAAGCCGUUGCGCGUUAGCGCAUCCGUUUUCUUGCUUGAUUUUUAUACGAUUUUCUGAAGUGAUCUGUCCAACUAAGUAGAAAAGGACACUAGAGUGUGGCUACACGUGGUACAGGGCUGCUCGUCCCGCCUCGUGUUGAGAAAUGACAUCCAAUCUUUCGGUACCUAGAAUAUAUUCUUGGUGGAUAAACUUAUUUUUGAUCAACAUCAAUGGGAGAUCUGAUGUUUUAGAAUGACCUUCCCCCGAUCAGAGAAGGGGCUUUGUCUGGAACAGAUUGAGACGGAAAGCGGUAAUUAAUCGCCGCGUGGUGGAACGCUUGUUGGAGAAGGGUAAGCGCCUCCAUGUCGUAGGGGUGGGUAGGCCAAUAGAAGACUAGGGAACUUAGCCUAGCCACUCAGUUGUGCCCCGAGCCAAGUCUAUUUAGUGUCAGCUAACACAUACCACUAUCUAUAUAUUGGUUUUUAUUUUUCGUAGAGGUUGCUGCUUAGGUCCUUGGACCCUUCCUUCAUGAAGCUUGAGGAAGCACUCACUUUUCUAUCCACGACAUUCUUGGUUCUGCACUUAGUCUUUAACCUGUGUUGGUUUGGGACAUCAAUCACAUUCGUCAGUGGUGUGUGCCACGCACUAAGAUUGCUUUCUUCUUGCUGUCAAAUCCCAGUCUAUCGUUCAAUGAGCUUCCUUCGCUUGGAAUUCAAAGUCCAAAAAAAAGAAAGAAAGCGUACUGUGAGGUAUGAAUGAUCAAAUGUCUACGGGUGUCAUUGAAUAUCAUGGGGUACGAAUUUCUAAGGUCAUGGCGUAGGGUAUUGGAUAGGCUGGUCUACUGGUCGAAGUCAUUGCACGGUGUGCUACGGACAACUAUUGUUCCAUGGCAUUUCCUUUCUCUCGUCAUCAGGCCAACAUACACAAGGCUUGCCUUCACAGGGCCCCACCUUGACUUUCCAUCAUGGCUACACUCUUUUCAUCAAAGCAACUCUUCUUAAGAAGACCCCUUGGUCCCCACAACGAAGUUCCUCCAUAGAGAACCCAACUGCACAGCAGCAUCACAAAGGUUUCUUCGUAACUCGAUUAGUCUCACUCAAGAGAACUCAUCUAGACGGAAGGUCUUUUAAGUGCCAGUUGUACCCGCACAGAAGUUCUGCGCCCUCAACUACACCAGGAUGCCCCCUGCAGUAGCAUCACAACUUUUCUCACCAUGGACAACUCGCUAGUCUUCUUGCAUCAGCCACACCUAAUUACAAAUGACCUUGGCCUCUCCAUGCUCAUCAUUUACAUUUAAACUGCACACCCCCUUGUUGAGGUCUUACUCCAAAGGUACGGCCUCUAGCACAUGACCAUUCCUCACUCAAGUCAUCGACACCCUCGUCGAUGUACGUGUUGAAAGAAUAAAUUCCACUAUCUCUCAAACGAAAUGAGAUUUUUGAACUCCUAUAUAACAGAGUUUCAUUGAUGCCAAAGGGGGUUUUCCUCAAACGAUUGGAACCAGAAUAAAAUAAAAUAAAGAAUGAAAGAGUCAAUCUAUCUUAGUCAAGGCGCUCGCUCUGCCACAAAGGGAGGCACUGGCAAAAUCUAAAUAGAAAAGAAUAGUGUGGUUCAGCGUUGCUAUCCCCCGGUCUCCCCAAUCAAGGGCUUAUAGCAACCUCUAUCAACACAACUAUCCGAACACCUAUUGCUUGCUUUAGCUCCAACUACUGCUAGCUUUAGCUGCAACUAUCUUCCGACUCUCUACUUGUUCGUUGCCCGACGCGGCUCUGCCUCUGCCUGUUUUUGAGCUCAAUAAAAGAGAAAGUUUCAUGCCAGUAUGGGCGAAAACCAUCAAUUUUCACAUUCCCCUAAUAAAUGGGUGUUUUUGAGGUCCUUUUUCCGAUCAGUUUCAUGCCAGUAUGGGGUCAAAGUAUACAAAAAUCACAUUCUCCCCGUAGAACGCUGUUUUUAGAGCUCUCCUUUUUUGGAAAAUUUCAUUGCGCAUAGUACGAAAACCAACAGAAAUCCCACUGGCAAAGGUGUUGUGCCGGUUGCCGACCGGGCGAUCGACCAGCUUCUGACCACAAGCGUUGGUCCAGUGAGGUGAGCCACGACCAGAACAGAGCUGUUACAAAGGAAGCCCACUCCCUUAUGUUCUAAUGGGAAAUAGGACUAGGAUCUGUAAUAGUUGUAUCUGCUUUCCUUUGGUUUGCAUGGGCACGUGAUACAUUCCUAGCAUGACGUUGGAACAAGCAAGGACCCAGCGUGAUGCAGAGGGCAAGCCCAUCCCGGGUAACUUUGUAUCCUGACCCAAGCCGGAAGUUUGUCGAACUUGUAGUCUAGGACAUUGGUAGGGAUCCGCAUGGGCACGCUGAACAAUCCGAUGGCCACCCACAACACGAAACAUCGGCCCCGCUCGUAGCACUUGCCGAUCAUCCCUAUCUCUACCGGGCCCGUAUUCCCCACCUCGCUAAUACUUAUUCAUUUCUUUGAAUCGAUAAAGAUGGGUAUCCAUGCCUCUUAGUUCCGGGGAGAUACUGGUUAUGCCAGUGUGGACAGGUUCAAAUGGAGCAAACCCGCAAGAGCAUGGAGCAUAGGAUUUGAAUUAGCCCAGGAGGCGCGGGCGAGCAACUAAAGCCGACUUCCUUCCACUGAUUGGAAUUGGUUGAAAGGAAACCGGAACUGGAAGAUUGACUCGGGGAAACAGGAAAUCCUUAAUGCCGUGGGAAAUCCAUUGAGUAUCCAAGGAAAAGGCAAGCUCAAGGUAUUCUCCCCAAUCUUUCCCUUUCGGUCAGACAUCACUCGUCAAUAGGAUCGGGUGGGCUGGACACAUAGCCGGAGAUAAGAAAUGGCAACAAGGCUCAACAGAGCAGAGAGACAAGAAUACCUAUAUAGAGACAUGAGAAAGAAUAAGCCAAGGACAAAACGAGAAUUCCGCAUCCGGUGAAAGCUGAAGUCACAUAGGGAAGGGAGUUUCUGCAGAUGGAGAAAAGGGAGAUAUCACACUGUGUGUGAUAGGUUAUUAGCUCGAGGAUUGAGAUUGGUAUAUGGCAUUCAGGUAGUCCUUCUGAACUGAAAUCAUGGAAAGACUAGGCUCACCAGGCAGGGAAAGCUAGAUAUAGCCUAAAAAAACCCCACUUACGGAUUCACAUACUAGUUGGUAUGUUCAUCAAGUUCUUGAUUACUACUUACGGUGCCCACUGACUCCCUUUAAUGGUACGCCAAGAUAUCGCUCAUAACAACUUCAAAGGCAUAUUUAUUAGCCAGCUGUGGGAUACUGCCCUAAAGGUGAUGUUCCGGUGAUUAGGUCAAAAUAGAGUUCUUUCUACAAGAGCAUCUCAAGUUGGUCAUGCGUCUCGAGGAGUGUUUCGAUAUCAGCAAGCACAUUCUAACUAUCUAUAAAUGGCAUUUUGAGGUGAGAGAGAGUUCCAGCAUAUUACACAAAAGAGUGGGUAGACACAUGCGUUGAGGCAUUCCCUACAACAGGUGGAUAAAGCCGUUUCUAGGCCAUAGAAAAACAUAGCAUGUGACAUUUAUUUACAUAGGACCAAGCAUAAUCGUUUUAGAAAAGAAUCAAUCAGCAUUUGAAAGGCAAGCACUUCCUUCCUUGAAUCCUACUCUUGCCCUAAAAAGUACUAACUAAAGCCAAAUCGAAUGAAAUAUGCCUCUCUAAGUGAAUAAGCAGAAGUGAGCCCAAUAGAACAGAUCAGGAAAGAGUUUACUAAGCUAUCGCGCGUAGUAAAGAGAAUACCAUAUCUAGUUCCUGGCUAGCUCCCAUCUUUGAUGCAUGGACCCGACUAACCGGAGAUCGGACUCGUGUGCUUGAAUCAAAAGAAAAUACCGGUAUUCUGUUCCAAAUUAGGCUUGUAAUUAGAGUUACCAAUGGUAAGGAUUGGCGUGGGUUUAGAGUGGGUAGCCCGCUCGCUAUCUAUGUCUUUCAUUCCCAUGGAUUGGAAAACAUCUUACUCGCAAUGGGGCGAAACUUCUCAUCGUCAGCCUAAGUGAUUGUUUCUGUAAGCUCGAGAGAAGUACCCUUGAUUGGGUGCUCCGAACGCCCUUUGGGAAGUGAAAGUGAAGGUUGAUCAAUAGCUUGAAUCAGGACGAUGCCACUUAGAAAAGUCUUCUUUCUUCCUUUUCAUUGUGACUCAAAAGCCACAAACAAGGGUUACUAUUCAGGAGUGGAAUUGCAUUCUGUACAAUGGGCAUUUUCAUUUCUCUUUCUGUGCUAUGGAUAUGGUUGACUUCUGUCUCUCGACAUGUAAAGAAGCUGAUCAAAAGGAAAUAGUCUUCCAGAUGGCAAAUAUAUGAACCAUAAACCGUAGAUUUACCACCAAUUGUGACUCAGGGAGAUGAAAGGUAGAGAAUGGCUUAUUCGUAAAAGAAGGCUCCCAGCCAAAUAUAGAAUAGAAAGGAAGGGGCAUCCCCGUGACAAAACCAGGUGGUGUUACUUUCCUGCUUCCACCUGAACCUGCUUGCAGGCCUUAUAGAAAAGUCUUGUAUAAGAUAACUAGCUUGACAACAGGAAUUCUCUAACUUACUUGUAGAUAACGAACUUGCUGAAGGAGGUUAAGAUAGUUUUCCGUUAAUGGGGAGAGAGAAAAAGAGUCCUCGCUUUCAUAAUCGGUAAUCAGAGUCCAGGCUUCCAAAAGCCAUAUCUUACGACAACCUCUGAACCGACUAACUCAACAGCUGGCCUUAGAGAAACUGUCCUAACUUAUCCAAGUAGUCCUAAUAAAUAGCCAUGAUGAAAUACUCUUCCUUUCCCUGCGGCACUCGCUUGAAGGACUCGAAAGCUGACUAAUGCUGAUAGGAAAACAGAGCUUCCUUCAAACGCUGAUCGAUACCAUCCACCAGAAGAAAACGUGAUCGCAACUACUUCCCGAAUCAGCACCUUAUGGAGGCUUUGCAUCUGUAUUUGGAGCUGGGCAUGCAUCCAUUGAUUCUAGCACUUGGAGCUUUGAACGCUCGAAAGAGAAAUACAAUCUCCGCCCUACAAGUGGAUUGAUAGGUUCAUACAUCUUGUAGUCGGUGCAGUUCUGGGAAGGAAUGGGCUAGUAUGAGUUCUGGUUUAGUCAGUAGUUCAUUUCUCCCUUCUUGUCCGCAAACAAAGCAAACUAGAAACCUGCUUUUGCUGAAGACAGUGCUCAAUGAGAGGAGGUGGGCAAGUAUUAGUUAAGGGAUAUCAGGAAGGAGGUCGAAGAAAGGGGAAAGAGCUUCAUCAUCGAUUAGCAAUUGAAAGUAGGGGAAACUAUGAUUCUAUCGCAUGUGCGUAUCCAUUGGGGCUAGUGAAAGAUUACGGUAGGGGAACCCGUUUCACUACUGACUUCGUGUAUGAGUGACAAAAAGUAAGGGCAGAAUAGCCCCUUCAAAGUAGGGGCUUCACAACCCGCUUCUCUUCCUUAAUUUAGUGAAUGGUGGGUGCGCAAAGUCUUGAGUUUUGGAUCUGUUACGGACAAAAGGAGAAGACAACCAUUGUACCGUUCCACUACUUGAAUCUACGAGGACUAGUUUAGUCGGAUCUAUUGUUUUACCACUCACUAACAGGACUUUCCUGCUUAGGAUUGAUAAGAUAAGAAGAUCGUUUUCUUUAUCUUGCUCUGUAUAAUAGAAAUAGUGUACUAAGAUAAGUUCCAUUAAGUUAGGGCUGGUUAGUGAAGUUAAGUAAGAGGGAGUUCUAGUUAAGUAUGCCCAUAGCUCUUGCUUCUAAUUGGUUAGCGCAGGAUACUACUCUCCCCGUCCAGUUCUAGAGAAGAGAAAGGUUGCGUUCCUUCUUUUCUUUCAGAUAGUGGGAUGCGUUGAUCUGCUGAAUCAAGAAGAUCAAGUCCUCCCGGGCAAGGCGAACCUAGUGGUUUCUAGUUCAGUGCAGCCUUUUCCUCAGAGCUAUUUGACAAUGGGCCCAAUGAAGACUUCUUCCCCCCGAGGGAAAGUCGAUACUAGUUUCUGGUCUGCUUUGGAGAGUAGAAGUCGAUAUUUGUUUCUGGUCUGCUACUGAACUUCGCAUCGCGCUAGGUGAGACGAGAAGUGCCAGCAAAGGCCUCUGUUACGGAUUACGGGAAACAAGCAAACAGAACAAGUUUGAUAACUUACUCGGGUGCCGGGGCCUCGGAUGCAGAGGUUCCAGGAAGGAGGAAGGCUCGUUUCAUUAUCGAAUAUCGUGUAGAAUUCACUUGCCCUGCCUUUUGCUAGGAAUCCUAUUGUUAUGCUUUGGUCGGGUUAUCCCAUAAAUCAAGGGCCCUACUAUUCUAUUAUUUUUUGUUCAGAUCUGAAAGGACAGAUAGAAAGCUUAAACCCAGCUUGUGGGAGAAAGAUGAAUCUUGGCGAGAGUAAGGAAUCGCACCCUUAGCGUGAGGGGAAUAGCCGGUUUCCUUUCCUUAACUAGACUACCUUACGUUAGCUCGACUGGGCACGUCAACGUAUGUAUUCUGUCUUCCCAAUCAGACAUUAGUCAUUGCAGCUAUUUCAUCUGGUCUACUAGAGUAGAGAGAUCUCUCACUUCACUGCACAUCGCACUAACUAAUAGCUAGCCGCCUCACAGAUCACCUUAUUAUGUGCAGCUAAAGCGGGGUGUGUGCAUUGUUCAACUAGAGCCGAGGAGGACAAAAGAAUAAGGAACAAUAGGUUCGCUACCCGAUUUCAAUAGUUUCCUUGAUUUGAAAUCAAUCCAAUAUCCUUUCGAGAAUCUAGAGUGAUAUCAACAACCUCCUAGUUGACGUACAGACGAGGAAGCAGCCUAUUAGUUUCGGUCCAGUCCAGGAAAGGAGCAAAGCAUAUUGAUAUAGCUUAGCAGAGCUUCGCCAUGAUAACAGUUUGUUUUAACAAGUAGUAGGAAUCCGUGCUGAUGUGCCAAAUCAAGGUUUUCUCCUUGAUCAAUCGACUUGCGUGCUUCCUUUCAUCUGGCCAACGGUUCCUGUUUCAUUAGCUAGAUCUGUUAUGUCAACCUCAGAGACAGAUGCUUAUGUAAGAAGAAGGUAUCCCGAGGGGAACAUGUCAAGUAUCUGCCUCGCAUCGAACUCUAUUUUCUGUAUGUUAAUGAAAGGUUUAGACUAAAGCGGGGUAAAGGAAUUUGUCAACUCAUCAGGCUCAUGACCUGAAGACAGCAGGUUCGAAUCCUGUCCCCGCCUAAUCACGUGUACGAUUCAAUGAAAUAGCUAUUUGGAGUCCACUGAUGAUUUGCUAAUUGUUUGAUGAUCCUUGACUAGCUAUAUAGACCCUAGGAACUUGCAUGUGCUAUUACUGUUGUAUAAAGGAAAGGUGGCUCACGUUAGCACUCUCCCCUAUUCCUACAGGAAGGAAGAGUCCAUCAAAUGCAAGUCGCUACCAGUUUCCUAUUUUGGAUGAAUACCAUCGCACCAUUUGACCUCGAAGUAACGAGUACUCAAGGAAUCCUCUGGAAUUCCAGUCAUGAUGAUCAGGUACCCGGAGUACAUCACCCUCAUCAGGAAGAAAAGAGAGAGAAGUGGAGUAAAAUGGAUUCAAAUGCCGCAUUGCAAGUGAACAAAAGAAACCAGUGGAAAUAGAAAGAGAAUGAACAAGUGUAUCAAUUCAUGAGUUAAGGAAUACUAUUGGGAAGAUUGGGUGACUAAUAUCCUGAGAAAACGAUCUCUUGCUUCCCUUGAAACAUGCUAAGAGGACCAUUUCGAUUAGUGAGAAGCUCAGUUCAUGGGUCAUGACGACAGAUCAUAUCGUGUACCAGUGCACUGUUCUUUAGAGAUCUAUGUUCAGUGAACAAGAAUGUAGUUAGGGGUGCUACUUUAGUGUUAUUCCUAGACUGAUGAAGUGAAGACAUUAGGCCUCGCUAAUAGUGGACCAACUAAGAAUGUUUGUUUCUCUUUUCUGUAGAUAUCUCGAUAUUCCUUGAAAGACUUAUGAAUGGUGGCGAGGAUGUGGAAGAGCUAGUCCUAUAGUCCUUUAAGCUUGAUUCCUUUUAUCGGUUAGCAAGGAGUUUGAAGCUUGAGUACUUUCAUUCAGCUUUCGUUCCUGUGGAAUGAAGUUGGUCCAGAGGUCUCAAGUAGAUCUUCUCAGACAGCGAGUAAUAUCUCUACUACACUUUCCUUCCACUUUAUGUUGAGCAAGUUCACCUGUUAGCUUUCCCGCCAAAGGACAGCAAGUCAGUAAUGUGAAUCAUCAUAGUUUUUGUUUUCAGACAAGUACAACGUCCACCUUUAUCAUAUUAGCAAAUAGCCGAUCUUAAGAGAUCUCAAAUAAGGGACAUACUUUUUCGUAUUUUCGAAUGGAGCAGAAUAGUCAUUCAACUGAUGCUUUGAAAGUCUUAAACGAGGCGAUGUGUUUAUCUGUCUUUCCUCAUUGCAUUCCUAUACUUUCCUGCUUAGUAUCAAAACCAUCUAUGGUACACUAUUUUGGCUAGAACUUGAUUUCUCUAACAACUCAAUAUGACUUUCUUUUUCGUGUUGAGAAACAUGUUCGGAUGCAACUUUCAUUGAAAAAUAAGCAUAAUGAAUUAACUGGCCAAUGGAAUUUUAUGAAAUGAGGGCUCUCAGGAAAGCAAGACUUAAGGAAGGUAGGCAAUUUCAUACCAAGAAGAGCAUUUAAGAACAGCUCAUAAGCAAUUCCAAGUGGCAGAGAUGACUCGAGGGACCUCGUCAGAUAAGCAAAUCCUAUAGUAAAUGUGGUACCUGGUCCAGUCAACUUGGAAGUAGAAACUCACCACUAGUGGGUGUCAAUUCAAAAGUCACUUUGUGGCUAACGCUUCUACUGCUAUCGGCGGGGCUUACUCUCUCGUGGUUCAUUUCCACUGGAGAGCAUCUGUUUGAAUAAUUAGCGUAUAUAGUUGAUCACUCUAAUGACAACGGAUUCGAUUCGCAAAUUUCUCGUGCUUGACUGAAGGAAAGGUUAGCGACUGCUCUCCCUACGGAAUCUCAAGUAGAUCCAUUGCAUAGCUGGCAGACACGAUGGGCUCAGGGUUUCGACUGCUGUUCAUUCCGAUCUUAGGUAUCGCUCAGCGAAUUCAGAAGGGUUGGGUCCUUUGUCAAUGACUAACUUUCCUAGUAGCAGAGAUGCAAGAAUAACUACUCUCUUCUGCUAGGCUAUUCUUUGUUUUUGAAUCCAAGAUAAGUCAUUGCCCAGGGAAAAUCUAUAAUGAGCAUGAGGUAACAAUUGCAUGUUGAUCCGAAUCAAUCCGUAUGCUCCCAUCUUUCAGAGAUUCCCGCUAAAAGCAUACAUGUACUGUCCCGUACUCCGAUUAAGAAAUAAAUGGAACCACCUAGACUUUGGGAAAGGGGAGUAGCGGACCUUAGGCCGAGAUGUGCAAUCCUACGGCACAUUCCAGUCAUCAAAUAAAGGAAAUCGCAAUCCUAAAUCCGGAAAGGUAUAAUGAUUUAGGGCCUGGUUUUACUAGAACAAUACAUUCCCCACGAGAGGCGGGCAAUGCCCACUAGAGACUAAGAAAGCAUGCCUGUGGAGAAGAGGCGUAUGCCAAGUCAAUUGGUCCGAUUGUACAGGAAGAUCGAUACUUGUUUCUGGUCUGCUUUAGGCAGAGGGCAGAAUCUAUUAAUUGAGGAAAGGAUUGUUAUCCUACAUACAAAGGAAAGAAUACCCGGCAAAGUCAUUCAAUCUCCAAUUCUUCCUCACCUGGAUCAAGCCCAAGGCGAGAAAUACAAGCUUCUUUGCUCUCGGCCUAACCGGUCUUAGCUUUUCCUAUUCACGACUCCGAUCUUUUUCAUCCGUAGUUCUUGCUAAUGUCUUCACUUUAAAGGGAGAGAAGGAACCCGAGCCAACAAGUCGUUCGGUUAGAAAGCGCUAGCGGUCUUACUUAGCUUAGGAAAGAUGCCAUUUCUCUUGUUUUAGCCAAGAAUGAAUUGCUCAAGCUGAAUCAACUGGUAGUCUUUCCCUGGCUUGUAGUUUCAGCGACCGCUGUUCUAUGUCUAGAUUUGACACAUCGACAAGUUCCUCCACUCACAGAUCCACUUUCUUUUGGGGCCAUCAAUAGAAUAGUUCUGUUCUUUAGCCGAUGUUUUUCCUUGCCGUCUAUAUCCGAGCGGUUCCCUUUGGCACAUUUCACUUGCUUUGCUACUACGGUACCCACAUUCUUGAAAGAAAAAGGGAUGGAUAGUUGCCCUUAGGAGACACAUGGUGCCCAUUUAUCCAUAGAAUAGGUUCAAGAAGAUGAAACGCAUUGAUGUUAAUGAACUUGAGGUUGAAGUUCUAGUAAUCUUAAGCAUAGGUUUAGGUGCACAAGUGGUAUACCAAAAUACUCGUUUAACUACUCCGCAAUGGGACACCCUUCUCAAGGUGGGUCCCCUUUCGUACGACCUAUUCUCUCUCUCUGAAAGUAGCAAUAGAAGAAGGAUAGCUUCAUGAGUUCGUUCUGACUCCUAGUUCAAAAGAUUUUGCUUCUGCUUGGGAACUAUCUUAUCCCGAGUCCUCUGUGGAGUGAAGGAAGUGAUGCCAAUUCUACCAGGUCCGGUACCCACUUAACAACGGAUUCCAUUUCUCUUGACCGAUGGUGUUCUCCCACUAACUUGCUAAGGAAGAGGCUAGUUCGCGUGGACGCUGCCCUACGUGGUGUUGCUCGUUUUUAAUGACUCUUAAAAUAGUUGACUAAUGAAUUCCAAAGGAUUUAGGUAUUUGACUAGCAGUCAUCUUCAUCAGGUCUAGAUAUUGCUCUGAAUAAUUGUUCUUUCGCUUGAACCUAUGGAUUGGCUUAAGCAAGCAUGGUAUCUUUGGACCAGACCUCGAACAUCUGCUUCUAUAGGAGUUCAUGUGUGUCAACAUAACUAGUUUGAUCCCCCUUCCUAAAAUAUACAUACAACUCUUUUCUAUUCUGAUAAUAAGUAAAGUCUCCCUCCUCCACCAGUCGACGAGCCUGCGUGAGAAUCUACGCACUAAAGCCAUACUGCAGGAUUGCCCCCCAUCAUUCCAGCUUUAACUGCCUAUUCGGCUUCAGUAGUGGGUUUCCAAAGGCGCUCUUCCCAGAUAAAAACGGUUUUUAUUCUAUCCACAAGGACUUUUGCUCCAACUAUAUUGAGCACGAAAUCCAAGGACCUUGAGUGACCACAAAGCCGAAGGGCGAGAGCAAACGGAUCAAUCACUAGAGACAACUUUGUUUCUUGAUAACAAAGAUAGCCUGCCUUGACUUGAAUUGAGAUAAAGGAAGUAUAGGUAGUACAUUGAUAUCGCUCCGCAUUGAAUUGAGAAAAAGCAUUACCGGAUUGUGGAGGAUCAAUAGACUCUGCCGUCGAUAGACAGAAAGACGCUUCAAUUGCCCAAAAACUAUAGAAAUUCAUUAGCUAGAGUUUGCUUACAACAACUCCUAUCACUCUAGCAUCGAAAUGGCACCUUUCGAAGCACUCUACGGGAACCUUUGUCGCACCCCGAUUUGUUGGGGUUGGCACGUACCGACCGACGGGGCCACAAAAGAUGAAGGAGAGUGCCGAGAAGAUUCCACUUAUUCUAGAUUAAAAGUAGUUCAGGACCAGGUACGCCGACCACGAUAUUUGGAGUUUGCAGUAGGUGAUCUUGCUUGACUUCGGCUUGAACCUACAAUGGGUGUGAUGCGUUUUUGAGUGAAGGAUUAGGUAUAGCUGACCGAUACAUCGGACCUUUCUUGGCCCACAUCCCCCUAGCCCUUACUCCCUUGUUUCGGUGGUUGGUCUCUACCUUUUUCUGUCUGUUGGCUAGUUUGUCUUCCUCUUCUUUUUGAGGGUAACGUAGUAAAAAUCCUUUAUUUCAGGGGAUUUCCCUUUUCUUUCCAAAUGAAUUUAUGCUUAGUCUAAAAUUGGUAAAUACCAAAUAAUAGUAUAUAUAUAUAAUUAUUAUUAUUAUUAGAAAUAUGUACCAGUUUCCUGAAACUAACAAAUAGAGUUAUAUCGAUAUAUCGGAAUAAGUACCCCUUUUGUAAUAUACUUCCGCAGAGUGAAUACUCGCUCAAUGAUGAACCUUCAAAAAUGCGAUAUGCCGCAAUAGGUACUAGUAUCAUUAUAGCAAGUUAUUUGACUUCGAAUGCAAUAAUUCCGCUAACAUCCUCUAUAAUAGAUUGAAAAAUAAAUGAUCAAUUCUAUUCCACGAUGUAUUCCUAGUUUGAAAAGAGAUGAAUGAAGGGCAUGAUCAUUAUAAAGUAUACCCAUUUUUAUUUAUCCCAGCUGGGUUCUUGUUGAAUACCCAUAGAGCUCGGAUUCCGACGAUACGAGCAAAAUCUAUGAAAGCAUUAGGAAAGGGACACCCGCCUCCAUUUUGGAUUCGGCCUGUUCCAUCUUUUACCUUUGGGAAAAUAAAGGGAUUGGAGCCGCAAAUCCUUGUUGAAGAGGAUAUCGAGCACAAGAGUGAAGAGUGAAGAGUAGAGGGCGCAUUGGAUGUGCGCUCCCUAUGAACGAUGUCCCACUAGAAAUGGAUCUUCGGAAAGAAGAGUGUUUCUCUUGAUAUUUCUAUUCUAUUCUAUUUCUAUAAGUGAAUUAUUGAUCAAGAUCAAAUGGAGAAAAUGUAGAUGUGAAACUAUGUUAUUUGAACACCUUCUUCCAUGCUAUUGAAGCUGGCAAACAGGGGAGUGAGUGAAGAGAGAAGCCAUGCCUCUUUCGAUGUGAGGCAAGCGAUGAACGAGUAGAUGGUGCCCUUAGACCAAUUUUCUCUUUCGGUAGCUGACAUCGAGAUUGGCUAGGCUAGGAAACCUUAUUCGAGACGAUAGGGAUGGUAAACAACGCGAUGGGGUAUACAUACGAAUUGGAAUACAAAUGAAAUCAUUGCCUAUAAUGAUGAACCCGUUAGCGUAUAGGAACAACAUCAUAUGAAAGUUGGGUGGAUACUCCUAUUUAAUUGGUUUAACCAGAAACAGAGGAUAGGAUUCGAAAAGUCAACCGUGCCCUAAUCCUUAUUUGAGUUCAAUACCGCCACUACUAGUAUUGGCAUUGGUUCGUAUGUAUACAUUCGUAUUGGCUUAGCGGUGCACUUCGUAUCCCGCCACAUCCGAUCCUUUGCUUUGCUUCCUUCUUACUUUUAUGAUUUUAUUGACUACUCUUGUGCAGCUGGGUAUAGUGAGUUGAGAAAGGAGAUAGUGAAACUUAACUAGUCUUUGUCAUGGAAGGGAGCAACUUCUCUCGAGUACGUACAAUACCGAGGAUUUACGAAUAGGCUAACGUUACCAGUACAUAGUGGAUCUAUGAUAGUGAUGUAUGGACCACACCAACCUCUCUUUCUAGCCGUAAUCGAUAAGAAAGGAAGAAAUAUCAUGGCAUGUGAAAGCAAUAAAUCCAUAAUAAAAUAGGUAAAGAAAGGCAAAUACUCCGGGGUAAUUGGCUUAUACCACAAUGUUACUCUGACAGUAUCCUUGACAAAAUAGUCUUGGCUUGUAACCCAGUAUUUAUUGGACAAUAUAAUUGGCUGCCGAAUACGCGCGGCUAUCCUGCUAAUACUGGCAACCAAAGACAUGAGGUUCUUCAUACCAACAUAAUCAUUCUCCCAGUAUUGGAAACAUACUUUUGUAAUAACAUGAAUGUCUUUAAUCUCUGUGUACCUUCCUAUUUGCUCUGUCAGCUCAUUAGCUGCUGCAAAUAUUUCUUAGCUAUUAGAUCCUCUUUCUUCAUGGUAGAACUCCAAGACAGAUGAUAGCUCUUGCUUGUCUUCAUGAAAAAGUGCAGAAGCCUGUAUCAAUGAAGAGUAGGCCGGUACCAGCAGAAGAUAGUAAAUAGUGAGGGAAGGUUGGCUUGACAGGCUUCGUUCUGGAUGUUGUAAUCUCUUCUCAUGGUCUUUGUUCGCUUUAUUAUCCCGUUGUGAGAAUGGCUAGGACUGUGGAUCCACACGCCCUCUAGUCAGUACUUUCCGAGUAGCGCAAGGCUUCUUCGUUGGCAAACAAACGAAUUAAUGAACUAAUUUCCUAAUAUGACGUGAACUUGAACUAGCAUUGAUCAUGUCCAUGAGCUCAUAAGAAGGAGUUCUUCACGUGAGAAAGUCCAUGGCUUAGCUUAAUUCAAUAAAAAAGAAAGUAUCCAAUCGACUUUAGGAGCGCCAUAUGUUUCUAUCUGAAAUGGUAAAGCGAGGCUCGCUAUAAGGGUCAUAGCUAGUUCAGGAUUGGUAGGAAAGUAAUACAAAUGAUUGUAAUAUGACAACCCCCAGGGGAGCUAGCCUUUGUGUUAAGAUUAAAAAGAAGAGCCCUCUUGUCAUACGACUCGGUGAUUCCAUUGCUCUAUCCGGCCACAAGAUUCGAUCGCGUACAACACGUGCACGAGAUGGGUUGGGGACUUAGAAAUGAGCUAUGCUCCAAGAAUUGACCCCUGAACUACCUUUGCCCGCCUUUUCUUGUAGAAUCCAUUCCCCCUCUUUUACAUAUUUAGAAUGCUUUUAGGGCUAGUGGAAUGAGGCUGGAACCCAUCAAUAUCGCUAAACCGGGAGAGUUGCUUGUGUUGGGUUCAAAGUUUCGCUCUACCAAGGCAAGAUAUAAUAGAAUAUGCAUCCAGCUUUAGCUGAAUAUAGUGAGUGUUCAGCGAAAAAGAAGCUAUCCCGCUAAAUCUUCCCGUGGGGCCAAGGUUUGUUUGACAUAAAGAUAGAUAAGUGACCUUACUACACACCCAUGGGUGAAACUCUCACUCCGAUUUGAUUACCAGGUUGGGGAUAGGCAAACUACUUAUCAAUGCAUUUGUGUUGCUCUGGUGGCCACAUAUAGAAGAGUUGUUAGUGAAGUUAGCUAGAAAGGGUCCUCAUUUCCCUACCAUUCAAUCUUCCACCUGCCAGAUUUAUCGUCACUAUUUUAUUAUAGUGGGUAUCAGUAUCCAUUGGAUAAAUCCCUCCGCAUAACACUUCAGCCCUGACUUUUAUUGAUAAGACGAAUGUCUAUUCUGCGUGGUUAACAAGAGUUUUCCGAAUCAUCUAUACCUUCUCAGCAGCCUCCUGGACAAGAUCCGGAGCACUUCUCCCGAUGGACUUAAGCUCUUAUGUAGUAUAUAGUGACUGUAAGGAAUAGAGCUUAUGUAUAGUGCCUGUACGGAGCCACCCACCUCAAUGGUGAAAUGGUAGCAACUAUUGUGUUGUAUGCGAACUCCCAGCUGAUAGGCAAGAGAGGGGGCGGCUAGCAAGGGAAAGGAAAGCCGUAUCUUUGGCUAAAGUAUGUCAUAAGACAAUAUAUCAGUGGUCUAUACUGCCUGAAUCUGAGCCUGAACUGGUGCUGCACAUACAUGACCAGGAUAAUAUUAUUCUCCACACUUAUAACACAGACCAUUAGCCCUUCUCUUCUAUAUUCCUUCAACUAUUUUGCCCCUUGUCGAACUUUGACUGAGACAUAGCCUUGCUGCUGCGGGGCAGUCGACUUAUAAAUUACUGUCCUUCUUGUUCAUGUAGUGCAUGCCUCUCUCCAAAACUCCUUCCCGCACUUGAUUGAGCAAAAGAUGCAGCUUCACUAAUUGAGUUAGGCACCUGCACUUCCACUGCAGCUCUGAGUUCAUUCUUCAGACCCAAAAGAAAUUGUGUCACCAGCAGCAGUCCUCCUACAUUCAGAUCAUACAAUUUAACCUAGCGGAGUGGAUUCAACUACUUAAGAUAUUCUUCCUCAGAGCCAGUCUCCUCUCUAUCAUCAUCUAUCGUCUAAAUAAGUAAAUAAUGAAACCGAUAUAGAUCUUGUUGAGGACCCCCAUCCAAGCCAUAGGAAAGAAAGCCACUGGAGUGCGACGCUCAAAGCAAAAGUAAGUAAUAGGGAAACAAGGUUCUAUUAGGCUUGCAGGGCUGUUGCUCUUUGAAAGACGAGGUCUAGUGGAAGAGGCGGGUCAGGCAAGAUGAGUACUCAGAUUCGGCGCUUGCUUGACAUCUCUCUUUGAAUCUGAAACUUGACAUGACCAUUGAUUCCGCCUCCAUUGCCGGAAAGGAUAACGAUGGAUCUUUAGCUAGCUCAUAGGCAGAGGAAAGGUAUACGUUAACAGAUAAGGAAAAGUGGAUCCGCUACCAAAUACGUUGUGGAGCCGUGUUCUCUAGGGAGGUUUGAGGGUUCUUGGGAUGGGUUCUAUGUUGCUGCCCAUUCAUUUCCUAUUAAUAAGAAGAUAUGUAAAGCCAUUCAUUCUAUUAAAGAGAACUUCUAGUGGCAGAUUUUAGAUGGUAAUUCGGUGCGAUUGUUAUAAAACCCUUGGCUCGGUGGGACUGCAUUGAAUAGAAGGCCUAUUCCUAUGAACAUGUCAGAGCUGUUGGAAGGUUUGUCUCUCUCCCACUAUCUCAUUCCUAACAGGGAUUGACAUAUUUGUUUAUUAUCUUUUUUUCUCCCUGAUGAGGUGGUGCGAGAAAUUUCAGCUGUACCAAUUCCUAGAAGCAUCUGUUCUGAUACUUUGACAUGGGGGUCUUCUGUUCACUCUGACGAUUAGGAUGAAGGAAGUAUACAGGGAGGUCUGCCAGCCAUUUAAUGAGGAAGGUGGUCUUCAUUUCUCUUGCGUAUGGAUGCUUAAGGUCAUUCCCUGCAUUCCAUUUUUUGCUGGAAAGCUUAUUGGAAUAGACUUCCGUGCAGAUAACGAACUUCUUGUCUCAAGGAAUUUGCUCCCAUUGUCUGAGUGUUUUUUUAUGUUUGUGAAGGGGUAGUGGAGGACAUAGACCAUGUUCUGGUGAAGUGCACAGUAGCUAAUCAAGUGUGGAUGGUUGGUCUCCCUGAACUCUUUGAGCUGGAGCUUUGGACUCUACGAGAUAUUGGGUGCUUGCCCUAUUGAGAGUAUCUUACAUUCUCUCUUCAUCACACAGAUAGACAAAUAGGCAAUCCGAUAGAAAGAUUAUGGCUUUCUUACUAUCAGCAAGCUCCCACAGGCGAUGGACUGCUUCUGACUUCUUCAUUCGGUUUGUAGCCAUACCGUAUAGAGUGAAAAAUGCCUUUUUUGGAAGUAGCUAGAUUCAAGCAAGCAUCCUAGCAAAACGAUCUUUUGACAAUGGGCUCUGCCUAACACUGGGACUGACUGACUUUAUACAGAGAUAGAAAAGGCAGCAAUCCAAGCUCUUUUUGAAUCGGAUAUUGGAUAGGCUAAGCUAGGUGUAGCUCGCUUUCUCUACGGUUUUGCUGAACUUGUCAAGCCCGGGGGGCCUUUAGGGAAUUUUGGAGAACGAUAGAUUCUAGGAUAACACGACACUAAGGUUCAAAGGGAUGGCAUGGGUUAAGCAUCUUACUUUGGACCUUCGAGCUAAGUUAUUUAAUAAGGGGCUUCUCCUACUAAUUAAUUGGAAAUCCUUUUUACAAAUAUCCUCCUCAGAGCGCCCUGUAACCUUACCUUUUCUGAAUGGUACACUUUAAGACGUUUGGAAUAGAAGAAGAGCAGUCGUCGAUUGAUUGAAAGUGGAUUGACGGCAUUCAUCAGUUGAUUGAAAAUGGACUUCUCUUUUCUGAUCGAGCGAGGUCCCUUUUGGGCUUAAAAGUCCUUUGAGCCGUUGAAUCCCUUUUGUCUUGAUUUAGGAGAAUAGGCGCAUUGAUUAGGUUACGUGGUUUGAGAAAUCUGCAGGAAGUUUCUUUUCUAUUUAUUAUAUAUACCAUUCAUAUUCAAGUAAGACGGAUAGGGCAUAUUUGACUAGGAAGCAAGCAAAGCAAGUCCCUCCAUACCAACUAGCAGUCUUGUUUAGGGAGUAUCCUUCUUUACUGAGUCAGGUUCCCGGGUGCCUAUGCGAUUAUUAAGGCAGGGUGCUACUGUACCCGUAGUAGAGUGGCUUGAAUCAAAUCGUUUGUCUAGAGAGGGUGUAGCGAUAACCAAAGCUGACUGUACUAGAAACUUGAGAUCCUGUACAGGCAACUGGCCUUAGAAUAGUGUAUUGAACUACAUGACAGGAAUGACCCAUAAUCAUUGGCGAAGAAGGCUUGGAAAAGGAUAAAACAUAUUGAAGAGAAGCUUUCACAAAGGCCAAUAGCCGAUAGCUGAUGUCACUAGCCUUAACUUCUUUAUCUACUUGAAAGUUGAUGAGAGUACGGCUUUCUUAAAGGAAGUGCCCGUGCCUAUGAUAUUUUUUCCUAGUAAAGUAAAUAAAAUUGGAUUCGCCUUUUUCCGUAUAUAUAAAGGCAAGGGAAGCUCUUCGUCGAGAUUCUUAUCCAUUGAAGAAAAAGACAGACUGAAACAUUAAGACUCAAACCUGCCCCUUUAUUAUUAUUAGUAAGUAAGAUAGGUUGCUUGAGCCAAUCCUUAAAUCGUGGGAGGAAAAGGCAUAAAAGUGAGCCCACCCGACUAAAGGGGAGAAAUACAGAACUUCAAAAUAAUCGAAGAGUGGUCGGAGGUUUGAUAACCCAAGGCAAAUCCACUUCACAUUAUCUUGUUCCUGGUCAAGCUCCCGUACCCGCUCCUUAGUCCCAUCCUCCUCAUCGAAUUAAAGUAACGUAAGGUUUCAUAAGAAACAAUUCAAUAAGCGUAUCAAAGAGAAUGAGGUCUAGCACUCCGAAAUACCAUCGAGAAAGAGCAAUAGAACAAGGUUAGAAUAAGAUCUCCAAAAUGGGUGGGACAACCAAAGGUAAUUCAAUGGAUAAUCGGUCUACUUAGUGCGUAGGCAGGCCCAACGGUAUCCAAUCAAUGUAGUCGGCAGAACAAAGGAAACAUGAAUGAGAGAUAAGAAAAAAAUAUAAGUACCGAGAGGAAAAUAAAGCUCGAAUCCAUAACAUUCUCCACGCACCCACCAUUCAUUAGCAGCGACCUUACCACACAUCAUUACCACCAACCAUUUCACUUGAAUCUGUAGCUUUGCUACCUUCGCAACUAGAGGCAAUGAAGAUAUUCUUCCUUUAUUUGUCUUUCUUGGCAUCAAUAACAAAAAGAACCAUAGGUGCACCAACCAAGGCAGAGAUUGGAGAUACUACAAUUGGAGUGCAGUGACCAUACCCGAGAUAGAUCUGAACCGACGGUUGCGGAGAAUAGAAUAGGUACAACGGAAAACCAUGGGAAUAACGAGAGGGUACGUAGGGAACAUGGCUGACCAAGCUCCUUUUUCUAAAGAUUGCAAAAAUUGGCCGGUGUUCUUCCCAACUGCUCCAAUAAACGUGCCUACACCCCAUUCCGUCUAGAAAAUGAUAUGAUUGACCGAUAGUACUUAUGAAACCCGGCACUGAACUAAGGGUUUGAUUUGCGACCUCCUGAACUGUUCGCAUUGCUCUCCUCAGUUCAAGGCUAUGAUGAAAGUUCAGAUUGCCUUCCUAAUGUACGGAAUACGGAAUUUAGUCGAUGCUAAACCUCUGUUCUAGCUGAGACUAAUGGCACAGAUUUCUAGUGCUAUAACAGAAACUGCCCUUAACGCGCAAAUGAAAGACCUCACAACACUCUUUACCUGCAACUGCUCCCGCUUAUGGUAGUAGAUAAACAGGUGGUGGACAUGUAUCUGUAGCCUCUGCUGCUGGUAGAUUGACUGUUUUAUAUGGACUGAAAAAAACAGAGGGUAGUGCUUGAGAAUGCUACUCUAUUCCUGGAAUUAGCCAUCCCCUUCUUUGACUAUUCGACCUGCUCCUCGAAGCAAGGAAGGGAAUGAAGAUGGCAUUGAAUGCCCUUUCCGCAAGAAGGAUAGGAGUUGGCUUACCGCAUCUACCUUCUCAUCGCGGGAUAAGGGCUGGGGCGUUAACUCAAGUACUAAAGCUGCUGGAGCGGCUGCCUUCGUUGAUUCCCCACGAAGGAAUCGGAAUAUCGCUACUUCCCCUUACUGCCCUAAGCGGGGGAGAUGGAUUAAAAACCUUGUGUGAAGGAAAGGCUGUCAAAGUCGUUGACCAUUAAUCCGGUUGAAGGACAAAUGGAUAGUGAAUCAACGGAAUCGAGUUGUUCUAAGGACUCGGAUUCGGCAGUCGAGACAUCUAUAUCUAUGGAAUUUCAAAAGAGAGAGAAGGAUCCGAAUCUGACCCGAGGACGAGCUCAAACCUUAGGGUUUGAAAAUAAGAAGUAAAUCUCUCGUUUACUUCAAUCAAAAAAGGUAGGUCAUAACACAUAUUGAAUUAGACCUUACUCAAUCACUCAUCGCUGGAAAAAGUAGAGCGAUUUCCUCGCAAAAAAAGCACGAGCGAGAUAUUCUUCCUUAACAGGGAUCUCAAUUGCGGGAAGAAGUACAAAGGGCAAAGGCAGAAGUGGAAGGGUCAAACUCCUCUAUCGGGGAAAGACAAGAAGGAUAAAAGUGUAAAAUCACUUGUUUAAAACAUCUAAAAAAUAGAAAUGGCUAUUAGAAGUUGUAUUUUUGGUGGUCAAAGGGAAGGAAUCAGAAAAGAGGGAAGCGCUCUCAAGGUAGAAUCAGUUCCAGGCAAGUAUGUCCAUUGAAAGGAAAGAGUCCCUAAACAAAACAGACAGGUUUUCAGCAAAUAAGACGGGUCCUGGUCUUCGGCAACAAAAGAAGCCGAAGCGAGAGCUCGAACAAAGAACCUUUAUAGAUCCUCAUCAUCCUCAGGUUCUGGAUACACAACGAGAAGGGAAUCUUCCUGUUCGAAUGGAAGAUUUUUGAAAGAGAGGGGAGAAAUCAAUCACAUGCGUGAGCGGAUCGAGCUAUUAUAUAAUAAGUAAUGGCUGAAAAAGCUAUUCUUGGUAGAUCCACUUGUCAAGGCGCGGAAAGCCGCGUUCCUUCUCAGCUCACGCUUUCCUGAUUGAUUUGAAAGACCCUACACACCACCAUAUGCUUGGAUUUCUUCCCACUUUCAAAGAAUUUGCUAUCAUUCUUUCGAUUCUAUCUCCUCGCUUUAGGUCUUAUGCUUCUUAUUAAAGGGGUUAUGCCACUCUGAGUCCAUCAGUGUUGAAAGAAUGGACAGAGACAUGCAAAUACAAAGUACUAAUUUGACUACCGAUAGAGAGCAGAGCUAGAGACAAGAUGCCUAGGACCUGGAGGAGAUCCAUAAGAACCAAGUUGUGGAGAAGAUAGCAUCAAACUGGAGAUAAUAAACCUAACUCUCCAUGCUUUAAUCGAGAAUGGAUACAGGGUCGUCGAGCGAAACCUUUAUUAGGGGGUAGACCUACCUUGUUUUGUUGACUUAUUGCUUUCCAGCAAAGCGUGCCGGCCCUAUCUCUAAAGCACCAAACUUCCACAUUUUAGGAGAUGCCCUAUCUUCCCUUAAAGAGCCAGCUUAUUGAAUAGAGCUGUCACUCCUUACCUUACCUAAGACCCCUUCGGGAUAUCUUUUGAAAACCUUUUCUCUGAAAAGAAAAGAUGUUUGCGAUCCCUUGCCCGCUCGAUUAAAGAAAGUGGGAUCUGGCCUUGCAUUUUUUAGAUAGGGCUCCCUCACGGCAUUCUUGCUCUUGCAUUUGAAAGUCGAAUCAGGAUUCCAUCUAGAGAAAGGUUCCGAUUGGAACUAGUGAAUGUGUAUGCCGAACGUAGGCAGGUAUACCUGACCUUUGAUAUUAAGCUAUGAUCUCUCUUCUCUCUCUUGAAGUUCCCACAAAGCGACUCUGAACCUAAGACCGGGUUGUGGGAUGUCUUUUGAUAUUCUAAACUAAGAAAAUCGCAAUUGGAUUUCUUUUUAUAUCCCUAUGAUAGGAAAUGAAAGAAAAGGCCGAGCUUAAGCCGAUCCCAUUGCGGAAAGAAAAGAGGCUCUCCCAUUCCCACCUGAUACGUCAAAAGCAAUUGACUAAUAGGGGAACCAACCAGUCGAAUUCGAUUGAUUAUGUCACUCCGCAUUACUAUAAAAGGGCAGCAUCUUUCUACUAAAAUGGGCUUUGGCACUCCUUCCGCUAUUACUCGAAAUAAUAAUAAUAGUGAAAGGGUAGUCGAAUUUGUGACUACGUCAAAGGCUCGUUUCACUUGAAUUUAAAGGCUCUAACUCCUACUUAUUUAUAUUAAUUAAAGCUUGCCCAUGGCUGCUUUCUUCCCGUUUCUUUCUUCUUUCCACUAAUCUAAUGGUUUCAUUCUCCCAUCGAGAGGUUACGAUACUAGCAAGAGUUCUAUUCUUCUCCUCUUGAUCCUACCUUGGGUUAUGUUUGACAGGGAUGGUCAGUGAACUUCUAUUGGUUUCAGAGGAGGAUAGAGAUCCAUUGGGGAAGGCUCGAAAGGUUAUUCGAUAUCAAGGUUGACCCUCGACGCGCCGCAGCCACUAUUUUUACUCCUUUUAUGCAAUUAUGAACGAAACUUUCUUGAUUCCAAUGCAACUUAUCCUUUUGGAGUUGACGUAACAAACUACGCGAGCCUCCCGAUGAAGCCAACAGAAAUGCUAUCCGAAUACUAAAAAUAAAAGGCAAUUUCAUUAUGGUGGUAUACCAGCCGCCAGUUCUGGAACUUCCAGUUCCAAUCGGAGCAUAUAGAUCCGUAAAUGGAUUUGUAUGUAUAGCCACUUCAGUCGUGCUCCUCGUUUCUCGAAUGAAAAAAAAGUAUCUUCUUUCUGGGAACAAGCUAAACCAGAAAUUAUUACGUUCGUGAUUCUUCAUCCACCGAUGCAGAAAAUCUUCCAGUUUUCCAUUCUCAUAUGAGGCAGGAAAGUUUAUGGGCAACAGGUCGGCAUGAAGUGAUUCAUCAUGUUCAAACAUGAACCUUUCGCUCGUUGGGGACGGUUUAUAAAUCAUCGAAUUCCCACAAAUGGAAUGAGAAGUGGGUCCAUGUAAAUGACCGAGACCUCACAAACAACAACGUUCCUUCCCCAUAUGGAGUUCGGGACCCAAAGGCAAUCGUUGAGUGAAGUGUAUCUUAUUCGUAUUAGUUGACCUAAGCCGCACCAUUAUUGCAGGGGUGGGGCUCGGCCUCCGAACCGUACGUGGGACGAGUUUCUGCCUCAUACAGCUCGGGCCGAAGACCGGGGAAGUUGAGGAGAGAUGGGGAGACCGAACUGCUGCCGGUCGGGACGGACAGGAAAGGGGGCGGGGUAAGCUUGUGAAGAAGCAAGCUUAUUGCCCCACCCCCCAAAAACAAACCAAACCCAGCAAGAAAAUGUAUCCGCUUUAGCAACAAAGCGCUCAUCCCUUGCUUGCUGCUUCGCGUUCUUUCUAUUCCAUCCCAGUCCAUUCCGGGAUAGGCGACUAAUAUAAUAUGUGCAGUAGUCGUCGUCUCACCAAUCGGCCCGGACACCAGACCGCUUGUGCUCGCCCAUUCUGUCUCGCCCUAAAUGGAAUGGCUCUCUUAGUUACGCUGUGCCCCGACCCGAGUCCCCACGUCCGCUUUUAUCCGCCCGCAACCUGGCCAACACAACAUUAGGGCCGUCCCCCCCCAUUCUAUGCUGACCCGGGCCGGGGCUCGCUUUUUAGGAAGCCCGUUCCCACCGCGCUCACUGCCCGGCUGGCCUGCCAGCGGUAGUGGGAAUUCUCCCGUUCCCUGGUCAAAAAAGGUUGGUUGGAUGCGGGAUCUACUCCACGAGGAGCGGUACGGACGUAGAUGAUAUCAUCACGAGCUCUCUUUGCGUACCGCUAGGGAUGCUUAACGCCACUUCGCCAACUGGCAUUACUUCCGCUUUCAUGUCUCUCAGUGUGGUUAGCACUAGGUGUUUCCGAGCAGCGAGGCUUACACCCAUUCGCAUUAAUUCAUACAAAGUUCCUUACCCUUAUGCACGAAUUUUGGAAUAAGCCAUCUUCCUAUCAAGGUUAAGGAGUCAACUGAGCAUCUCAGCGGCGGGAUUGAAUACCCGGAUCGAAUCAGAGUUCACGCCGCCCGCCCUGAACAAAUAGAAUAGGAGGCGUGGGCCACAAGUCGCACAUAAGCCAUCGGGUCGCACGACAGAAGAACACCCAACAUAAAGAUGCACACUCCUCCAUGUGAAAUAGAAAGAUUCAUCUUCACUUUUUUGUAGUAGUCGUGACCAACGGCCAUCAGCAGUCGGCUCGUUAGUAAGGUGAGAGCUUCAAGCCCGCUUUCUGGUGGCACACCCCCCAAACAAGCACCACUCGACGAGCGGGGGGCGGGGGGGGGGGGGAAGCUNNNNNNNNNNNNNNNNNNNNNNNNNNNNNNNNNNNNNNNNNNNNNNNNNNNNNNNNNNNNNNNNNNNNNNNNNNNNNNNNNNNNNNNNNNNNNNNNNNNNNNNNNNNNNNNNNNNNNGGGGGGGGGGGGGAAGCUACAUGCCCAAAACCUUCGACCCUUCUUUCUAUAUGGGGGUGCGUGGGGCAUCUCAUCUUGUCAUUUUUUUGCUCAUUCCCCUUAGGCCAAAGUGUUUGGCCUUUACUUCGGAGCGCCCGCUCACGCUUCGCUGACCUAUCGCGUGGUAAAGAGAAGAGAGUACGAAAGAAUUGUAAACAGAGCAGACCGCAAAAAAAUUCUAAAUAUGACAAGUCCCCCAUGGAUUCGAUAAUAAGGAAAUGAAGAACGGGAACAAAACGAAAUAAAGCAUUUCUAGCGGAUGAGGUUCUCUCCAUUUUGUCUGGUAAUAGAAUAGGGCGGCUUGCUUUGACCAACACUCCACUUUUUGCUCUGUCCAUGGAGCGUAUGAAUUUCCUUAAAUGUAGAUAGACCAAAAAAGGGAAUAAAGGGAUAGGAAUAGGAAUUAUAGUACCAUUGGAAGAAGAGGCACCAGUGGGAACAUCUCUACUGACGAACCAUUUCAAUAGUACAGGUGCUGCCGUGCCACGGGGCACGACCAUGGAAGUAAUGAAAAACAAGAAGUUCUGUAGUUGGACCAUCUGCUCUAUCCGUUCGAUUUGAGCUUCUCCAGAGAAGAUGAGACGAUAAAAAUGAAAGUGUUCGCAACGCAUACCGAAAAAGGGUACCUAUGUUGCCGACCAUUAAUGACUAGUUUGAAGACCAAGAGCAGGGGCACGAGCCAAGAAAGAUUUGUUACUUUCCCUAUGGUUUUCGAACAUUUUCAAUGAAACCUUCUCGUAGAAGUAUUUUCACAAAGUUUUCGGUAAUAUUAGUAGAUGCUAUUCGAACCCUUCCUUUUAUUAAGAUUAGAAUUCUUAUUCUUAUUAUUAUCUAAUUAUUCUUUUUUUUCAUGUAUAUGCGUCAGACACAAUCUACUAAUUGAUCUAUAUUCUGAUACCCUACUAUAUCAUAGUCUCUACUACUAGUAUUUUUAAUACCUCAGGAGCUCAUGAGACUCUUUUAGUGAAAUUCAUAAGUCUCAAUUCCCGAGCGAUCGCACCAAAAACUCGAGUUCCUUUUGGAUUUCCUUCUUGAUCAAUGACAACCGUCAUCAUAUCGUAUUAUCAUACCGUUGUCACGUUUGAGUUCUUUACAUGUACGUACAAUUACAGCUCGUCUUACUUCUGCCUGAUCUUUCUAGAGGCAUUUUGGGCACUGCUUCUUUGAUUACAGCAACAAUAACGUCACCAAUAUGAGCAUAUCAGUGAUUACCAGCUCCUAAGAUUCGAAUACAUAUCAAUUCGAUAGCCCCACUCCGUUGUUAUCCGCUACAAAAGGGUCUGAGUGAGAUGGAUCCUGGAAGUCUGGUUUUUGAUUGGAUAGUGAUCUCGGGCACGAGUGGUUGAUCUUCGCGGGCCGUGAAUGGCCAUGGAAAGGAGUAUUGAUGUCAAUAUGUUCGAUCGAGAAGAUUGGACGAUGAAAGACGGAUCCUUUGUGGUUUGAGUAAUAGGCUGUGGUCUCGAUAUUGGGCUAUGGGUUGAUUGCUUUAUGUAUGAGCCUCUUGUGAUUGGGCUCUCGUGGACGGAUUACCCGAUGUGUACUCAUCUUCCAAAAAAGUGGAGAGGACAGGGCUACUACUGGUCCACGCAUAAGAGCUCCUCUAUGUCUUUCCGAAAAUUACUUUGACUCGCAAAGGUGAUCCCAACCCACAAUACAAUCAGUAGUUUACUUAACUGAUAUAAAGAGUUUCCCCUGCGUGCCCCUACUAUCAAUUGAUAAUACAUAAAUGAUCCGGGGCUAGUGUUGGGUAGACGGGCCCACUAGAAUUCAAGUGCUUCUUAUCGAUUCAAUACGCCCUUAACGGAUCCCCGUGCUUUAUCUCCAUUGGGUGGAGCAAGACCCUUGUCCUAUCUUUUCUUUACACAGCAACAGAAAUGAUGGUUUCCCCUCGCUGCACUUACCAAUGAUAUCUCAGAAGAGAGAAAGACUUCUAUAACUUGCCAAUGAUAUCUAGUGGGCACUACGAACUCCAGGCAUACUGUACUUGACCACCCUACUUUGCUUUGUCCCUAUUAGGCGAAAUCAAUACUUACUUUCAAUUGGUAGAGAGGAAGAAGAGAACUGACACUAGUAAUAGGUUGAUGACUCCUCUUAACAGAACUGACACUAGUAAUAGGUUGAUGACUUCUUUGACUUAAUAGCUGGCCGACUUCUCUUCAUGGAUCACCGUUCUAUAUAGUUAGGCGCAACAUCGCGUUUAACCACCUAUCCCUAUUCCCUCAAUCGAUACCGUCCAACUAUCCUUUUAUUGGGACAGCAGCAUAAUUCUCGUUAGGGACAAUAGUUCCUAUACUUAACUAACCUCUGUGCGCAAUCACUGUUUGACACUUCAUUCUUUCAGCUUUACGUUCUUGACGACUCUGUUUGACGGAGCCUGACCUUGAACUAGCUUUUUGCAACACAAACCACUAUCUUUACUUUCCUUUAGCAAUAGUAUCUAACUAUCAAUUCAUAAGAGUCAAACGGGUGGGUCCAUCCCAUCUAUCAACAGGUCCUGAUACCGGAUCUGGGAAACAAGCAAUACUCGCCGCAAUCCCUUAAUGAAAAAAAAGACCUAUCUUCUCUUGAAAGACUGUCCUUUCCUCGCUUGUUAUUGUGAUAUCAAUGAAAGAAAGCUGGAUACUGACUUCUUCCCAAGAGCUCUAUCAGCCCUGAAUUCCUUAGCCAUACGACUCUUCCUUAGUUUCCUAAUGCUGGUGGCCCUAGCUAGUGGUGAGACGGGGCAUAUACUAUUCUCGGUCUUAUAACGAAGAGGUUGCCUAGUUUGAACCGAACACUAUACUUGAUCUCUCGUCCUAUCACAAACAAGUCUCUUCCCCCGAGUCCUAGUAGACUAGUCCAAGUAGUCCGGGACAAUAGCGUCCCAUCUCUUCGCUGACCCCUGGCACACAAUCACUAUAAGACAAAGAAAGACAAACCUCUCUUAUCCUUCUCGGCUAGAAGUUACAAGUUUCCUGUUCCAGUUUCGGCUUGAGGGAAGUGCCUGAAAUCGGUUCAAUUCUUAUCUCCGAUUUCGAACUCCGGCUGGUUUCUUAUGACCAAGAGCUAUUUUCUUGGUCAGAAGAAUGGAAGGACAACGAGAAGAUGGUUCGGUUGCUCCUGCUGGAAUAUUCCAUUUAUUUAAUACUCCAACUCGCGUAACCCCGAAUGGCAAUGUUGUUAUUGCGGUUGGUCGGAUCAAUAAGACAACAAGGGAGUCAGAAUAUUCUGAUAAUAGCAAAAAGGGCUUUGGAAUCUAUGGAAGGAGCCUUCAAUGCUUCUCCAGUGUCAACCAUUAGUCGAUAACAGAAUGAAAUGCCACAAUUAAGUUGAAAAAGAGAGUCAUUAAAAAGAGGCAUGCUUGAAAAAGAGUACAGAUAAUAUGUUAUGGAUGUGAGGAGCCUCACCCAGUACUUUUCUUACUAAACUAAAAAACUCUACUCUCCUUUCACAGCCAACCCACCCAUUGCUUUUUCGAGCUCGAUAAAAAGGAAAGUUCACGUGCCAAUCCUUACCAUUGGUAACUAUAAUUACCAAGCCUAAUCUUUCACUAAAUACCGAGUAAAGCAAGCAAGAAAGAGGGAAGGAGCAGCUGUUUUCGAGCUAGGCUCGAUCCCUUUUUCAUCCACUUCUCGCUAUUUUUAAUUCUACUUGAACUAGUUCUUCCUAAGUUUAGUGAGGUCAGUACUGCAUCCAUAACUAGAGGACUUGCUUUUCUGCUUGGCUCCCACGGGAAGUUGGAUUGGAUAAGAGGAAUUGAAGCGCAAGGAAGGCAUUCGGUAUUCAAACAACUAUUCAGAGUUCCCAACUCUGGGUAAAGGAAAUCUGUACUUGACGACUGAACCAAAUCCUUUGCCUUUAUUUAUUCUAUUAUUUUUAUAUAGAUCAGCUAAAAACAAAACAAAAUACUACUACGUUGGGACAAUGACCCACCUUUCUCUGCUCAACCUGUCAUCUUCUCUCCUCGCUCCCUGGGACAAAUAAGACUAUUCAUUAAGUGAUAAACAAGAGAAACUAGUGAUAUUAUCUAAGCUUCUGGCCAUGUCUGAUUGGCAUUCAAGUCUGCCUUCCAUUGCUUGAAAAGGCCUAGCACCGUAAGUAGAAAUUGGCUAUGUCCAAACUCAAACGUCGUAUUUUAUCUAAGCACAUGAGUUAUAAUAAGGAAAGAAGACAUAAGAAUGGGAAGUAUCCGCUAGUUAUAACAUAGUAUAAAGAUAGCUAUUUCAUGGAUCUUGGUCACAAUAAAAAGAAUCCAAUAAUGAUCUAUCAACUAAAUGAGUUUAUUAUAUAAUCCCGUAUCUUCAAGGUUGUUAAGAUGAUUUAGUAGAUGUGUCGGUAUCGUUUUCAUCUGCCGUGGGGAGUGACUGCUUUGCUAAUCUAUCCUUUUAUCCUUCUUUUCGGAGACAAGCACAUAUUACCGUAACCUAGUGAUUAAUAUAUCCCGUUGGUACUACUUCGUCGAGCAAUCAAUCCUUUUUCCAUUCUUGUUCUGAGGUUGUCAGCUUCCUCCGAUGGCACCACUUGUACUCUCUGUCGGAAUCUGUAGACAUAGUUUCUGGGCGUCUUUAAAAACUGAUCGACAUAGUUGUCACACACAAACCUGCGCAACGGCUUUGGAGUAAAAGAAUCUCCUGCCUGGUCACACACAUCAUCUCGAGCACGGAAUCUACUACUCUAACAAGAUACUCGGCUCGGGUAUAUCAUGCUUUCGUUAUGCGAGGAAAGUGAAAGGAAAGAGGGAAAGGGAGACACUGAGCAAUCCGGAAUCGAUGAAAUCACUGUUUUUCGCCUUGUAAUAUGUCCGGUUACAUUCCAAAGAUGAAUCAGAGCAGGAGAUAAGAAUUUGAAAAGUAAUGAUCAACUUUAUGGAUCCAUAGGUAGAUUCACUUGUGAAGCUAUGGGAUGGGACAAGAUUCAAAAGUACCAAAAGUAAGUUAAGUGGGACGCUGAGUUCAUUGCUGCAAUCGAGGGUCCAAAGCUUUGGGAGAAGAGGGGAUCUGUACCUUCAUCUGAAAACUAUUCGCCGGUUGUCCGCAUUCCUCUCCUCGAGCGAAAGGUGUUCCCACGCAAUCGCUAUCGCUGUUCCUACGACGUAGUCAAUACGCAUUGGAAUAAUGGCAUCCCCUCCACCAUAGUAAGAAGUAACGGGUCUACGCCCUGCUUCCUUGUUCGGUUCUGGUUACGGGAACGGUUGACUUUCGAAAUAAAAUACCCUUCUUCCCUGUUUUGCAAAUUCACCUAGAGCUAGCGAAGCGAGUCCGUUUCCUAAGGACGAGCGAUGAAGAGCUUUUUAGAAUUAAAUAUUGGUCUACGCCCUCCUUUGAUGCCCAGAGGAAGAAAAGCGAAGGCAAAGCAAUGGCAUGGGCAUGAAAGGCUACGUGAAUAAGUACUUCCCCGAAAGAAAGGGGGCAGUCUAAGGCGGGACCUAUCCACUACUUGUGAAGUAAUAGAAGAGAGGAUUUCUCAUAUCUAGCGGAAGUACCACUACAAAUGCUAGGCUCCGUGGAAAGGACAUCGGCUCCUACGCAUCCUACGCAUUAGCGAACCUACGAUAAAUGAAAUACGAAUUAUUAGCGCUAUUAGGGACGAGCUCCUGCUUCCUCCGUUUCCUAUCCGAUCAGAAAUCCUAUCCUUGCUAAAACCAAUCCAAUCCACGAAAAGCAUCGUAUUGUAACACUUGUUAAAAAACAAAAAGUGUUGUGAAUUCGAUUGAGUUCGAAAGCACAUUCCCUUGCUAGAGAUAUUCCUUUUAUUCAUCCCGGAUUGUGUGAAUGCGUUCACACCUAUCCCGAGUGGGUAUAGUUACGUGGUUAAGUAAUCCCUUCCUAUGCGAGGUUCAUUGUAUGAGAGAACAUAAGGAAAGGCUUGAUACAUCCAUGUCUAGCUCAUGUCGAUCUUCGUGUCAUUUUUCUUUCAUUAGCUUAGUAGGAUAGUCCACAUUGCUAGGAUGUGUGGGUCUAGUCAGGUUGUGACCCUCGAUCAAACCAUCCUAGCAAUGCCCUCUUCUCAAAACAGGCGUUCGAUGUACGGAUCAUCGCCGCUUGUCUUUGGGGGUGGGAUUUUGGAAUUGGAAGGUUUGACAGCGCGGCAAAUAAGUAAAUCUCUUGGACAUAGCUAAAGAGAAAUCGAGAUUGUGUGUUUGGAGUGGUGUAGAUUGUAGAUUCCAGCCGAGAAGACCAGGAAAGAUAAGGAUAAAGAAUCUUAUAUAACUCAGGAGCUAGAUCACUUCCCGAUGAACAAGUCAGAAUUGCCUCAACAAAAAUGGAUGGAAUUGGACCGAAAAAUCCAUUCAGCUUCGUUAUCGAUUAGGUAUCAGUGGGAACAUCAAGAUGAAUGAGUUAACUAAGUAUCAGAUCGACCAAAUUGAACAAAUGAUAGCUCAAGAUCAUGUUGUUCAUUGGGAAUUGAAGAGGGGAGAACGAGCAGACAUCGAACGAUUAAUUUCUAUUUCUCGUUAUCGUGGAAUUCAUCAUCAAGAUGGAUCGCCCUUACGCGGUCAACGAACUCAUACUAAUGCAAGGACUGCUCGCAAGCAAAUUCGGAAAUGAAAGAAGGCUACCGAAAGAACAAGCAACGGAUUUCGCGCUCAUCCCUUGCUAAAACGCAUACAUUUUCUUGCUCCUUGGUACUUGUCUGAUCAAUCACACUGUUCAUUAGUUCACUUGAUUUUUCGUUCGAUGUCUUGAACCGCUUACUAGUCACGUAUACGUAUAGUAGGCCCCCUUCGCCACUCCACGUCUGGCCCGUCUUGGUCUCGCUCACUUCACCCGCCUAUCGUAUCGGCUCGGCUUCGUCCGUCAAGCGACAGCUUCUGCCUCUGACGGCUUCACUAUCGCUCAUGACUGGUAGUAGUUGUCUCUAUGUAGUAGUCGGCCUUUGUUAAGCUUCGCCAGAAGCGACUAGUCGCUUCCCGAAUGCCUCUUUCAUGUACUAAUUAAUGUGUAUGGUCUAGUCUUUCCAAUGCCUCCUUCCUUGCCGCCAACGCACGCUAGAUGGAGAGUAAGCAAGCUACCUUUCUUGCAUUGCAUUCGUUAAACGGUAGCUUUUGCGCCCUUCCUGCCUGCUUCAAUUGAUGUGAAUGAUCGUGUCUUCGACAUCAAUUUCAGUCUGAUUAGAUAUGUCAUUGAAACAAAUCUGUUUUAUCUCUAUUUUCUUGUUGGAUGAUGAGGAUGAGCGAGCCGAUCCUAACAUAAUUUUGGAGGAGUCGGACGACGAAGCCUCAAAAUCAGAUAAAGAUGUCUCCGACGCGAUCGGACUUCCACUAGAUUUUUAUAGGGGUCAGGAGGGAAAACAUAUGCUGUUUUCUAUCAGUCCCAAGCGGAUACUCCCCAUCUUCCACGGUCCGCUUACCGAGGAAGAGAUGCGGGAGGACCCAGGGCCAGAGCAAGUUGGGUUGGGGUAUAGAGCCGUAAGCACGGUGAGGGUGAUAGAGGAUGUGCUCGUACGGUUCAUAGUUGGGUAUGAUAUUCUCGUGGAUUGUUGGGAACGUCCUCUAUAUUCGAAAUAUACCUUUCUAGGAGCAUUACGAUCUGCAACUCAAAUGGUCCCUUAUGAAGUCUCUAUUGGUCUUAUUCUUAUUGUGCGCCUUGUGAGCACGUUUGGAUCCGCGAAGGAAAUCGCUCGGAUCUUCCCCUAACCCAACCCGGGAACGGACCGGAGGGAACCGCAGCAUGAGGAAUGUCCGCGUCUCCUCGCAAGGCUCAUUUUGGGUUUUGGGUCAUAGGGCGGGCAGUGCAGUUCGGGGCACAAGGGUCCUGGUACUACCCAGGUGCGAAGAACCCUGGAGGCGACUGCAAUGAGAAAAAAUGUAACUCACCAGCCUAAACGACGAGCAAACACUCGAACGUGAGAGCAAGGGAUCACCCAAUGAAUGGACGAGCUCAAAGGAGGGAGGAGAUAGGGAGGCAAGAACCAUGCUUUCAGAGAAGUGGCGGUCCGAAUCCACUCUGACAAAAUAAAAUAACAGACUAAGCCGUGCCAUAAGGGGGGCAUUCUCCACACGGGACGGGGCCAAGGCCUUCAUGUAUGGGUGACAGAUCGGCCAUAGGAGCACUCCGGGAUAUACACCAGGGCAACUAAUGUCGAGCAUACAAUGAUGCCGCCCGUUUUCAUUUCGUGAAAGUCCCCGGCAGAGGAAAGGGCUGUAGGUGAUGGCGCGUUCUGCUUCUUAGGGCGUUGAAAUCGUUCCUAUGGGAUCGUGCGUGGCAGCUGGUAUAGAUGAUGAUGAAAGGCGGGCCGCUUGAACCGGGACCUAUUCUCAUAAUAGGCAGCAAGCAAAGCUAAAUAGGAAAGGGGGCGACUGAUGACUGCCUUUUUCGUCAGAAAUCAAAAAGGGUGGAAUGUGGAGCCAAUAUGGCUAGCUACAAGUAUAGCCAAAGAAAGAUGAGACGAGACGGACUAUCAGAGGACGCAGCGGGACUACCAGGGGAAAGCCCACCCCCUCUAGCUAACAUAGAUAUCUAUUCUCGGUGCGCAUAUUCGAGAUUUAGAACCUCUUUCCGACCAGGCUAGGCCGAAUCGGGCCACCACUUGGGAUGGGAAUGGCUCAGCCCACAUGCAUCAUUUGAUGAAAGCACUCCAGUCCAGUCGCCUCCGAUCAGUGGCUUGUCAACCACCGGACCGUAGCUCCUCACCAAAUGCCCCUGCGUUGGGGCAAAACAGCACAUGACCAGUUCGCUCAAGGACCACACCCUCUCGAGAGCAGGAUGCCGGCCGAGAUGGAGCGCUAACCUAGACUUUCCUUGGGCUUGCCUUGCCCCAACAUCUAAAUAAAGGGCGGGCGCCGAAAAGGAAGCAGUGACGCCUUUUCGACGAAAGCUUAGCUUGGUAGGCGCAGCUUACUCACCCUACUCCCUUAGACAAUGCAAUGCUCUGAACACGAAAGUUUGCAGUUCCGCCCUCUUCUCCCAUGCAGAGUCGCAGGCAGCGCCUCGGAUAAAAGCACGGACGAGCCACAUGCAGGGAAACUUGCACGUGUGGUUCUGGCCGGGGACCCCGGUAUACAGUACUAAUAUGUGUAGGUCCCUGUAAUUCGAGUGAGAUUGUCAUGGCGCAAAAGAAGAUAUGGUCCGGUAUUCUCUUGUUCCCCGUAUUGGUUAUGUUUCUUAUUCCUCGUCUAGCAGAAACUGAUCGAGCUCCCUCUGUUCUCCCAGAAGCGGAAGCUGAAUUAGUUGCAGGCUAUAAUGUAGAAUAUGCGCGGGAUGCAAUGCUUAAUAGUUCACUGUUGGCGGAAGCCAAUGUCUCGGGGACUCAUUCUGACUUAAACAAGGGGUGGGUCUUUACCAACUUCCAAAUCCAAGAUUUAGGGAAAAAAAAGAGGGGCAGGGCACUCUUCAUUCUUCAUUCGAAACUCAUGAAUGUCGGGUCGGAGGUUUUUGCCUUGUUAUCAAAAAGGGGAGUUGGGUAAAGCAAACUCCCUCCUUGGACGAGCACGGGGCUUAGUCAAGUAGAACCGGGUUGCGCUGCUUGAUGCUCCGAUUGAAAACAAAUCAGUGGGGCCAUGCCGGUACGACAAAAUAUGCGUUAGAAAUGUCAAUCCCUCCCCCCUUUUUGAUUUUUUUAAUGAAAAACCGGGCCGAACUUCUGAAAAACAGCCCACCCGCUUCCAUAGAAAAAUAUCGCGGCAACAUAGACCUAAGUGGAUUUAUUGGAUCCUAGGGAACCAUCACAAGUACGGCCAGCCUAUAGAACGAGAAUGCCGUGUCGUCCAGCGGAGUUUAGAAGAAGGUGACUCGGAGCCUAAGGAAGGUGACUCGCGCAGACAGCUGACUCCUUUUCAAUAGAAAGGAAUAGCCAAACCUACCCAACUGGCUGGUCAAUCUCAGUGAUCUUAUCGGCUGGCAAAGCGGAGACGACGACCACGGUCCCGACCUUACCAGCACCGUAGGUUUACUAAUCAAUGAAGCCCCUCAACCUACUAUCUUUUCUUACAAACUAAACCAAGCCUAACCAAACCCCAUGCUCACGACAUGUUCUUGAUAUUGUUUGAGUAGGAGGGACUCAGAGACUACCAUGGAAUGCUUCCAUAGUCACCCCGGUGACCUUCGUCACCAAAGCGUCACGACAGUUUCCAAGACCCCUCAUAUAAUCUCCAGUGGGGAUCAGUCGGAGCACGUAGGAAUGCCAACCACUACAUAAGCAACGUCUGGCUGAGGCGAGCAGCAAGCGGGGGAGAGUAUUUUGAAGUACAAGAACGUUGGGGUGGGACGCUAGUACUUAAACUAUGGUUGCAUCUUAGCGCUAAUCUUGCGUUUUUCAGCAGUUAGUUGUAGCGCGCCUUCCCUCCUUCUCUCAUUUCGGAAAGAUUUGGCAGUAUUUUCUUAUGAUGACCUGGUCGAGAGAGUAUGAAACAUCGGUGUAAAAGAUUGAGUGGGAUGGUUAUAGUAAGGGGCGAACCAAGUGCUUGCACGAAGAAGCGAAUCAAUCAGAAUGGAGACAAGGAAAGGAGGAGAGGCGAAACUCAACAAAAAGGGAAAAGGGAACUAGACUGACUAUCAUGAGCAAAGCGAGGGAAUUCCUUCUGAUUGGAUCCCUUAGGAGAGAGACAGAAGGUAUUAUGAAAUAGAAUCAGAUCUUUGACGAUCCAGUAUUAGCUACCAAGUGUAUGGACUCAGACUUUGAUGACUCCCUAGUGGCCAGGGAAGCGUUAGCUUCACCCUUUGAACGUCUCAUUUACUCUCUCUAGCUCUCGGCUUUACGUAUAGGAAUUUCAGGUACAUUGGUCGAUGAAAGUGAACAUCUAUCUUAUCUUAUCUUACGCCACUUACUCUAGUUUUACUUUGUGGAAGACGUCUGAUUGAAUGAUCUCCAGUCGGUUCUAUUACCAUGUGUACCCAGGCCUGCUUCCUUCUUUUUUACUAGCCUCUCUGCUUCUGUCAGUAUAGAGGAAAGUCUUCAAUCCCUUGAGAGAAAUCAAAAAAUGGCCAAUAAAAGAUACCUAGCAUGACACAUCAGCUAUGCCAUCCGAGCCUGUCCACUUGCUAGUCAGGAAAAAUAACCGCUCCGUUCCGUGGGCUUCUUUCGCUGCUCUCUUCACGCUCGCUUUACGAGUGCAACCAAGUUCAAUAAACUGUUCAUGCUAAUUCAUAGACUAUGCUGGUUUCUAUCUAAGAGUCCUGUGAGACGCUUCCUUCUCAUACACAUCUGAAGCAACGUUUGAUUAUCCGCAUUAGAGAGUUUUGCAGGUCCUUGAGAGAACGUUAUCCAAUCAGUUAUGAUUUGACCAUGGUCUGAGGUGAAAUUGGUCUUGGUCCAUAAAACGAAAGGUGCUGGGCAAGCGCAGAGAAGUCGUCUGAAGGGGAGUUCCAUAGGAAUGUUCAUCUUCGAUCAACCUUGGUUUGGUCCCAUGCCUAAAAAAGAAAUAAGGUCCAAAACAAAAUAGGGGUGAUAUAACCCACUGCUCUCCUAAGAAUGUACUGACGUAAUCCCUACUAUGGCUCCCCGAAGGAUCCAGCUGCUAAGAGGGUCCGAGCCAUAACGGAUUGAUGUGACCGUAGCGGCGACUGGAAUCGAUCUGAAUGAGGCAGUUAUGGGACUUUUCUUAUAUAACAAUAUAUAUGGAGGAAGGAUUCAAAAAAGGUGGGGGUCAAGGUGUAUAAUACGAGCUCCACUUUCACGCAAUGAGCUAGCUUAACCCUGAUUGCUUAAGGUUUAAUACAGUCAUGUUGGAUCUGCUACUAAGAAUGGAAGAGAAAGACUGAUUGCGACAGCUCAACCGGAUGAGACAUCUCUUAUUUACAGAACUGUGCCAACGUGUGCCUACAUUGUUUGAUUUACCAGUUCCGGGUAUUGGAUUUUGGAAUAGAAAGAAUGAAACUAGUACCAGCUUAUCGCCAACCGUGCUUUCUACCAACUCCGCCGACCCCAGAUGGGAAUAUUGAUUGCGAUUUAGCCGCACCUGAGCCCGCAACUGCUGCCUCUACUCCGCCUACUUCUUGUGCCGACUUCGCUAGCCUCGCGGGGUACCGAUUUCCUCCUGCUUUGUGUGCGUGCCAUUGACUCCUUUAAUGGGUCGAAACCUACUUAGUUCUCAUUUUUAUUUUGUCCAUACAAGAAAAGAAGGAUUUGUGUUUAGCAAGACAGAGAAUUGAAUAAGUAAAAAUAAAGUAGUGUGUACCCUUUACCGAAAAGCAAAUAUGACAGAUAAGGUACGACAUAUUGCUUAUUCCUGAUUGAUCUAGUUGAUGAAAGUUGCCUUGUUGGACCGAUUGUGGAUUGGAAUAGAAGUUUCUUAUAUAUAGAUAUUCGUGUUUACUGAUUUCGCAUACUGGGAAUGGAACUUGAUGUAACCCAUUGGAAACUCUCUUUGACACUCAUUAUCUGUUAUAUACGACAGGCUAAUUAAGUCCUUAAAUUUAAGAAAGGAGUCUUUCCUUACUUCCUUACACAAAAUUGUUAUGUUGUUAUGCUGCUCGUGCAAUCAAAACUUAGAAUAGAAGAAAAAGUGUUCCCUCGGGACCCAUCCUCUUCUCCUUCGCUUGUGUGACUAUCAUGAGAAGAAUUCCAUUCCAAGAAGUCAAAUAACAAGAAAAAGAAACGAGGUCAAGAUCCGUUGUUACCAGUACCGACGAAAUGGAGAAAGUGUCCUCCGGGAACGCAAUCUACUACAUUAGUUGGUGUAGCCAAAGAAGAGGAUAUCCCCUUUUUUGACUCAUUGGUCUUUAGACCAGACCCAUACCAUAGCUACAAACACUUUUGAGUCGGAGGAGACUGGCCAGAUCGCCUUCUCGAGGCUCUCUGGGCUUAUCGGACGUCAAUCUGUAUAGCCACUGGUCCCCUUCUCCUUAGUCGUUGGCAUGGACGCCAUUCUUCCCAGUGAACUCGACGAUUCCUUCCCUGCGCGUUCUGCUCGACGACGAUAUGACUGAUAAUCAGAAGCGAGAGGCUCUCGAAACUAGUCCUACUUGAUUCGAUCGAUGGGAGAAAAAAAGGUUACGAGCGGCAGAGCACGCACAAGUCUAUCAACGUCAACUCAGCCACGCUUUGGACCGAUCCUACGAAUAAGAGGCAUUAACAAAGCAUUUAUGAGACACCAUACUUUCAAUAGGAAAAGGCCAGCUCGAAGAUCAACGGGAUCUUUCUCCAAGCUAAGUUUCUACCCCCGAGGGAACCGGCCACGAUGCGUGGGGGUAUCGGUGCUGAUAAACUCAUCUCCGCUCAUCUUACCUGGAAAUGGAAAUAAAUUCUGGUAGAUUACCUACCUCAUUUGAGAUGAAGGAAUUUCCUACUUAAGAUUCAUAUGCCUAUUUUGUUGUUGAUGUGGAGGAAUUUGUACUAGCCUACUCGAUAUGUUCCUUGCCUGGUUCGCUAUAGGAAGUGCUUUCAGCAAAUGAGGAGGGGAAUAUUCAUAGGUAUGAAUCUUCCGUCAAUGGUUAAGGUUGAAGUGAAGGAAAACCUUCUUUGAAUUUUGACGCCUAAUUAUUUAGCUCUAGUAUUGAGAAAGAAACCAUUCAUACGACCAGGUCGCAGGAAUGCUUCUUCGGCUUACAAUUCCGAGUCAAGAACCGUAACUCGAGCACUUAGCCCUAGCUCUUGCUCUUUCCUUCCUUGCAAUGGGCUGCCUGUGUGCCUACUAAUAUUUACCUCAAUGGUGCGCUAACUUUAGAAUUAGGAUUUGCCAAAUUCAUAUUAGGGGGGCUAUGCAGCAAUUCGACCACUAUUACUGCACUAGAUAUGUCAGGCUUAUCCUAAAGAAAUUAUGGCUUCGCUUCUCUUCUUCCUGGUGAUGGAUAUAGUCUCGAUGGCUUUGCCCAAGUAUGGCAUAAAAGUAAAAUAGGAUAUCCUUCAAAAGGGAAUUUCAUGUGUGAGCACCUUGCCUCUUUUAGGGAAGGCUAUUUACCAAGUGAGUCUGCGCAGCAUGCUAUGAAACAUAAGAAUCAUUUGGAAUCCCAUUUGCACCCGGAUUCAGCUUCUUUCGAACUAGCAAAUGCACUUUCAGAGCCAACAACGGAUCGGCUUGGCUCAUUCCCCAUCUGGGGAAGAAAGAGUACCUAGAUCUGCAUCUACUAAGUAUGCCCUGAAAUUCAUGUUAUGAUUCGGUCUUUCCCAAAGCUAGGGCUUCUUUUCCCAUCCCUAUCCUCCGCGUCAACCUGUACCGGACCCAGAGUCAAAACUAAAAAGAGAAUGAAGUCUCGAAAACUCUUAGUUAAUAAAUAUUCGUGUGCCUACUUUGCUUAUCCUUCUCUGCCCCAUUUUAGAUAGUUGGGUAGAGCGAGGGAUAUCGGGGAAGGAAGAAAAACCUCCACUUGUUUUACGGAUUCACAUACUCGUUGGUAUGUUCAUCAAGUUCUCGAUUACUACUUAUGGUGCCCACUGACUCCCUUUAAUGGUACGCAGUCCCUGCCAAUUUAUCAAAAGAAAAUGCUAUCCACUGAGGGCCAAGCGGAGGAAGUGCAGAAAUCGCGUAUCCGUCUUAUCCUCGCUGGAGUACAGUGGCUAUAGAAAGAAAGGAAGAGUUCGAUUGCUUGGAGAAGGUAUUCUUCUUGGUCGACGGGACCUCCCCUCUUCUUACCCAGAAAAGGAAACGAGUCACUUCUUGCGGAACAGUAGAUCCGUUUGUCUUGAUCUACCUAAGCAGGAUUGAGUACGAUGAUGCUCCCUACCUAUGUGUACCUCAUACUUUUCGGGCUAGAAAUGCCAUAUAGUUAAUGGAACUAUCCAUUUUGGUCGAUCUUGAUUAGUAGAUUGCCAACUUCUUCUUCUUCUGAUAGGAAUCUUCCCUUUAUUAGGUGGCUAUAGAAUAACGAAACAAGUAAAGUAGGUUAUUCUUUACUAAGUUGGUUCCUCGACUCGACUGGUAAUGCAGAAAUCACCUGGGCUUGCAAGCUAUGUGAUGUGACAUACCUGGCUCAGCUCAAUCCUAUGACGAAUACCUUCUGCGCCUAUGAUGAAUACCUUCCUUUCCUUAGCGGAACAAAAACUCCUAUCUCCUGCUAAAGCUGGAUGCGCACCGGCACACGGGGCAAAGAGGACUAAGGAGAAGGGAUGCCAUACUAAUAGACUGGGCAAGCAAAGCAAGGCAAGCGUUGAUGACUCUCGAUUGAAAGGUUAAGAAAAGGAUGCGCAUGGCACGUGGAGCUAGCGACUUCGCGUAUUACUUAUUGAUCGAAAGUAGGGCUUACAGCAACCAAUGAAUACAUACCGGGAAGGGCUGAGAGCUACCUACUCCUUACAGGGCUGCGUUUACCCAUUCCUUGCCUAGAAGAAAAAGAAUAACCAUCUUCCCUCUUCUCCUCCCUUCACACUCGACUAGAGGGCGGGAUUCUUUCAUCCAAUUGAUGGCACUUUACUAAGACUGGAAAAACGGGUAAGAAACCCCGUAAAAUUGAUUCAACUUGACUGUCAUAAUUAAGAAAGUGAAGAGAUAGGGGUCAUGGAUUCCAUACGCCCGCUAGACCCAUUCUUAAAGAAAUGCGUAAGGCUUUGGGCUUUCACCGUAGGUUAGGUUCCUCAUCUCUCUCAGAUGUAGUAGUUCCAGUUGCUCCGGUUGUCUCAAUUCAUUCGAUUGUGAUAAGGCAAGAAAGCUAAUAGUUGAACAGGUGGUAUAGUCACCAGUACGGUAAUGAUGCUCGGCAUGUGGAAGUUCUCGUUUCUCAACGUGCCAUUUGGUUCUAACGAAUUGAACUACAAACGGGCUUUCCUUUAUCCUCCUUGUACGCCAACCUACUGACAAAACAGGAUUUCUAGUUGCCUCCUCCGGUGAAAACGAACAGUAAACAUAUUAUUAGACCUAGGAAAACCAAAACUCGUCGAACAGAAGAACCGAGUACUAUAGAAUCUAAAACACACAUAUGCGAGCUAUUAAACAUACUGUUCCUAUUUCUAAAUAAAAACAUAUUACCGCAGCGCUAAGAAAAGGGUUUGAAAGCUCUAAGUGGUACGAUAAGCGGAAUGAAUCAAACGAAGUGCAUCAUGAGGGUUGGGGAUUUAGCAUACGCUCUACUAUCAAUUAUAGGUUCACAUAUGCCCCAAGAAAGAGGUGCAGAGGUGGAAUUCAAUAGAUUUAAGCAACUUCAGUAUGCGGGUAGCGAUGCUUUUUGGAAUCCAAGAGAACUUUGAAUCGGAGGAACGAUCAACACAACUGGCAUGGCUUUGUUGAAUCAGGAUUUGAUGACAGGAACGUUGUUGAAAUAACUUCUUUACCCCCCGUAAAAUCCUUUAUGCCUGAUUUCAGUACUAACAAUAAAUGGCUAAAAACAUCCUAUUUUUUACUGUAAAAUAUGGAAAAUCAUAUGGGAAACGAAUAACGAAUAGAAGUAGCCUAGCCUUUUCUUUCAGUCUCGGUCUCUACAUUCCCUUGUUCUUACUGUAGCUAGCACUUGUUUUUGCAGUCAAGGAGCCAGGAAGCGGGCGGGCCUUCAAUCACAUUUUAGCUUGACGUUCUUCUCCUUCUUGGGGGUCGACUUGUAGUAGCAGGCGUACAGGACGAGGCCGAACAGCGCAUCGAGGCCAUUGGCGAUCUGCAGUGCACGAACGAAGACAAGAGCCGACACGGUUAGAGAGACACUCUCAAGUUAUAUAAGAUUUGGUUGGAAUCUGAAGAUGGAGAUAUUACUGAUCGUGACGUAGAGGUUGAAUUUGAUGAGAGCGUAGGACGUCCAGCAGACGCCGUUGAGGAAGCUCACCAGCGACAGGAAGAAGGGCAUGUACUCGACGCUCUUGGUCUUGAUCACUUUACCCUGCACGCAACCCACAAUACACAUUAAUUCCUCCCUGCAAAAAUAUAUAUUCAUUAAUUCCAAGCAGAGGAUGCAACAGCUCGAGCGUUCAAAAAAAAUAUAUAUUACACAGACAUAGGUAAUUAACAAGAUUGAUUCUAUGUUCUAUGUAAAAUGUAAAUAAAUUCCACAGGUAAUAUUGGUGAACUCUACACCUGGACCACAUGACCCACGAGAAGAAACCGACAUACAGGAUCCCUUUUCUGUUUCAACGUGAUCAUCUCACAGAGUUGGCAAGGGAAGAUCAAAAAAAGCACAGACUGGUACAGGGAACACAUGUACUAUCUCCAUCCAAGAACACAUGAUUCGAAAUCUAGCACACCUGAAACUUGCAUCCCCUAGGUGAACACAUAUGUUUAUGAUGAAGCUGAACAUGAAAGAUUUCAUUAGAUGAAAUAUUCCUCCCGUUCCAGACCCGUCAAUCAACAGCCAACGAGUUUGGCGAGAACAACAGAACAAGUUUGGUUGGCUAAUCAAUUGUACAACAUAACUACCUGUAUUGAAUGCAACUGCAAGUAACCAAGGAUACCGCAUCGAUAAUCAGAGGACACGUAGGGGCUACGGUAUCUUUUUAGGUAGAAACGAACAAUAGGCCUUUUGACGGAACAUAGAGCAACAUGGUCUUGGGAUGUGCCACACGAACACCAUGACAGUUUAGCCCAAAAGGUAGCACGUUGGUUUUUACUGGUAAAAAGGGGGAAAGAAGAGAUUUGACACGAUGGUUAAAACAGGACCAUUGAUGCAUCUUUUAGAGAUGGAUUUGGUUCCAAAAUUGGCUUCCGCAUCCAUGCUACCAGAACAAAUAGCAACUAAGGUAUGCUAAUAGUGGUACAUAAUGAAUGCCUCAACUAUAACCUAAUGAGUCACUUGCCCUGAGUAAGCUGCAAGAUCCUUCACAGAUCACUAUGUCUAGAUCAUGCAAAAGAUUUGAAAGAUGAUGGCAACCCAUCAUUAAUGAGUAAUCAGAAAAGAACCUGGAGACUGGAGAAGAUGAAUAUGGCUAAUCUGUUUUUAAAUAGAAGUUCCAGAAGAAUUAAUAUCGACUUUUUUAUCUUAAACAGUAGAACCCCUGAAUCACCAAUCCAUUCUGAACUGCAAAGGCAACGUGUCACUGACAGCUGGGUCCAAAAAAUCCUUGACUGACCCAACAGUAAGUGACCAUACACGACAACUUAACCUAUGAAACCCUCAUCCACACAACACCAACAACAUCAUCGCCGCCACCAACCGAAGGGGAACGCACGCCUAUUCCCCAACAAUAUCACUAACAUCUACCAAUAUAGAUCUAAAAAGACAUCUAUGCACGUGGAGCGAGAUUGAUGGGUACGUACCAUGAUGGCGAGCGGGGAGGCGUACAUUGCUGAGCCGAAUAUGACGCAGAGGAUGCCGUAGAACACCCAGAGCAUGCAGUUGAGCAGCGUCGCUAGGUACGGGUCCGACUUGAACUCCUCAAGUCCUUGUUCUUGAUGAUCCGCCAGAACGUCGGCCUGCACAUGUACAAGCAAAAAGCAAGCGCCCCCUCAUCAGAAUCAAACCCUAAUUACCAACCACCUUCCAUAGAGAGUAGACUAGACAAGCGGAUGAGGGGGAUGGCGGCGGUGGCUUACACAGGGUAGAGGAAGAGGCCGAAGGAGAUGACAUUGCCGAUGAUGUUGCGGGCCGCGUCCGGAGAAAUCAUCUUUCUUUGCUCGCCGCGAGCGGGUGGGGACUUGGGAUUGGUUUGGAUUGGACGGCGCACGCGGCGAAAGGGAGGGAGAGAGAGAGCCAAAGCAAUUGAGAUUUGGGAGUCGGUUGAGGUCGAGGGAUUAGCUUAUAUAGAUAGACGCGGCGGGGUAGCGGUGUUUAUCCGGUCUCGUGUUAGAUCCUAUGAUUUGGUUAGUUAGCCUACGAGAACAAGUCACAAGUUUCGAGUUUUACUAUGCAUCCAGUUCGUUGCUAUCUCUAUCUUUAUCUACAUGGAUAUUAACACGCACUAUUCUUGAGAGUCAAGACACCGUUUUGCUUUAAAGAGCAAAAGAAAUCCCAGAUAAUUACUAAUGCACUGUUGAGUACACAGAUUCUUUUCCUGUUCGUACUGGAGUAUAGUAAGGAAAAACUGCUUGACCGAAUCAAGGUCAAGAUAACUAGUGUGAUUCCUACACUGGGAGAAUCGUGGAUAUGUAAGGAAUAGAGAAAUUCCACCCGCCUAAGUAAAGAACUGUUACAAAUAAAGAGGAAACUAAUAAGGAUAAGUAAGAAACAAGAAAAAAGAAACCAUAUUUAAUACCGGAAUAUUCGGUUUGAUAACCUGCAACUAAUUUCCCCUCUGGGUAAUCUUUCACAUUCGGCCAAAGAAGAAAUUCUAAAAACUAGAAAGCCUAUAGGCUGACACCAAAGAUUCCAUAAAAAACCAUAUUUUGGCUGUGCUUGAACUAUAUCAACUGUACUUGAACUGUUAGAUAAUCAUAGUCGAUAAUAACAUCACAGCUCCCACCGCUAUUGCAAAACCGUACAUGAAACCUUAGCUUCAUACGGCUCCUCUAUGAUUAGAAAAAAGGACUGUUUCGGUAUUAUCCCCCUGGUUUAUCAGUUGCAGGUGAAUCCUGUGAAACAUCUCUCUCGAGGCUAGUAACAACACUUGGAAAUGAAAAAUGAGCUUAGCGGUUGUACCAGGUCAGGACCAUAAACACCACGAGCCGGUUAAGCAACAGAAGCUGUGGGCGAAAGCACACUCGUCAUUCUCAGACCUGCGGUCGAGGUACAUGCGAACAAGUUCCCAUUCUCUAUGUUUCAUGGCCUAUCAAUGAAAGUCGGUAUCAGGCUGGCUUGCAUUGCGGGUCGUCUCCUUAUAUACCUAAAUCCUCGUUUCACUCAUCUAUAAAGGUCUACCCUUCGAAAGGUAGGUUGAGUUCCCCCGUAUGUAACCAGCCACACUCUACUCGCAGGUCAAAUAUUGGCGUAGACAACAGAGAAUGUGCUAGGUAGGAAACCGGAGGAACUCUUACUAUACGAGAAUCUUCAAUUCAAUAUGACAACCGAUCAGAAGGGAUUGGACGAUGCCAAUGCAUUGCCCUCCUUCUCAAUACCAGAACUAUCUGACCGAGCUCCAUCAACACAGAAAGCAGAAGGGACAGCAGAUACGGAUAGACUGGAUCCAGAAAGGGAUUUCAGCCAGUCCUUGCCUAUUGCUGGGCUGGUUGUUUUGUCACGGUCCGAUUAGUAGAAGAUGAGUGAGUAAGACGAGGCCCCCGAAGAGUAAUGUAGAGCUAUACUGCUCUUGUUUUUCCUUCCGCCCUGCUUAGGAGAACUUUGUCUAGAACCCACUUUAGCUAGCUUUCGAGGAUACCAUUACAGAUGAGUGAAGCGAGUAUACCUUUUCCGGACCUCCCGAGGUAGCGCGGUAGCGGAAGCCCUUUCUAGUUCAAGCAGUUCCAAUUCCUAUUCCGCUUCACCGCUUACACCACACUCUAUUGGUUCACCUUGUGGUGCCUUUCGAUCAAGGUCUACUUUGGUUGAUCCAAUUUGUUCUACAGCGCGUUAUCCGCAUCGAAGUUAGCCAGAUUCCUACCGCUUCUUGAUAUUAUGGAUUUUGCAAUCCCUGAACGCUAGUGCUUCUACAACCAACGGAUACUAUUUAACAGAAAUAAUAAGUAGAAAUGGACAAACGAGUGUGGCUACAUAAAGUGAGGAAAAAAACAUGGUGGUACCAGCAUUGCGUAUCACUCACUAUGCUUUAUGUAAUAUGGCCUACGUCGUCUCUCUUCCAGAACCUCACAAUCAUCAGUGUCUGAAGUUUCAUGAUGAAUAUUGGUUUCAAAUUUUAUUGCUUACGUGAGAAAAUAUCAAUUUGGAACUCGAAUUUGUAUUUGAGUUAUGAUGAGGAGUGAGGUAGAUUCGCAUUGUUGAAGAAAGCAAAGAAAAAGGAUGCUGCUAUGGCUUGCUUGUGGCUCUUUCUUCUAUUGGCUAGUCUCAGGCAUGAUAGUUUCAAUUUCUUUUGGAAAGCAAGUGCGGCUCAGUCAUAAGUGUUAGUAAUAGCAUGAAGUAAGUUGUCGGUAGCCGGCAUUAGAUAGAAGGAAAAGCUUCUCAAAAGCAUCCUGAAAUAUCAUAGAAUGGCGAUCGAGAUCACCUUCACGGGAAUCAUCCUUUGCAAAUUGGGGGAAGGGAACCAAUCAAGUCACCAACAAGUUCCCGAAACUUGGUUUAGUAUUAAGGUUCUUCUCUUCCAGCGUUUACUAUUCAAGUUCUUCUCUUCCAGCCCCCUGGCCCCUCUCUGAUAAGUAAAGUUUUCAAAACGAAAAGAAAAUGACAAAUCUGGUUCGAUGGCUCUUCUCCACUACUCGCUUUACUACUUUCUAUUUUUUCAUAUGUAUUAAGUUUCCCUUAAUAUAUAAUUUUAUAUUACUUUCGAUUUUUAUAUUUUUAUUCCUUUGGCGUUUUAUAUUAAUAGUAAUAGCCGUUUUCAAUCUUUUUUGUUCGUGCUUCAUCGGCUCCUCCUUUUUGAUCACUCUCCCGCCGGAGAUUCAAGACCCCCAGGCUCUAGCUCAUUUAGCAGGGCUAAACUUCUAUCUGAGUCUUUACGAGCAGGAUCCGGGAUGGGUUACGUUCAUUUAGAAUGAGCUAAAUCACAAUACCCCCUGGAAGACAUACCUGGGCGGCUUAAGCUCUUCCUAAUGGAAGAAAAGCUCUCUUCUAUGCGACAAGAUGUCAUUCAGGAAUUUGUGGCGCUUUAUCAAAGAGUAGGGCCUUAUCUACCGAUCGAGCCCUACUUGGUCGAUGAAGCGCUUCAUUCCUAUCUUUUCCAUAUUCACGCAACUGAUUCUUUCACUGUUCUCCAAGCGUCUUAUCAAGAUCUGCGGGAGAAUGAGGGAGGAUCAGUUUUCCUUGAAAAUGUUGUUUCCCACAACCGGGAUUUCCUUGAGGCGGAAAGCUCCGCAAGGAGGUGCCUGGAAGUGGAACAGAGGAUCCGGUGGGAAGAAAUCCCCAAGAGCAAGGCAAGUCUCGAAAAGGCGGAGCACGAGCAUGCUCUCGACUUGUUUAAGUCGGGGGAUCUUAGAAGGGAAUUAGAAAAAAAAGAGCGGGGUAGCUCAGUAAUUCUGAUUCUUUUCUCUUCCAGCAUUUACUAUUCUCUUUCUUCUCUUCCAGCCCCCCGGCCCCUCUUUGAUAAGGAAAGUUUUCAUUUCUAAAAAACAACAAAUGACAAAUCUGGUUCGAUGGAUCUUCUCUACUAACUACAAGGAUAUUGGGACUCUCUAUUUCAUCUUCGGUGCCAUUGCAGGAGUGAUGGGCACAUGCUUCUCCGUACUGAUUCAUAUGGAAUUAGCCCGACCCGGCAAUCAAAUUCUUGGUGGGAAUCAUCAACUUUAUAAUGUUUUAAUAACGGCUCACGCUUUUUAAUGAUCUUUUUUAUGGUUAUGCCGGCGAUGAUAGGUGGAUUUGGUAAUUGGUUUGUUCCGAUUCUGAUAGAUGCACCUGACAUGGCAUUUCCACGAUUAAAUAAUAUAUCAUUCUGGUUGUUUCCACCAAGUCUCUUGCUCCUAUUAAGCUCAGCCUUAGUAGAAGUGGGCGGCGGCACUGGGUUGACAGUCUAUCCGCCCUUAAGUGGUAUUACCAGCCAUUCUGGAGGAGUAGUUGAUUUAGCAAUUUUUAGUCUUCAUCUAUCAGGUAUUUCAUCAAUUUUAGGUUCUAUCAAUUUUAUAACAACUAUCUUCAACAUGCGUGGACUUGGAAUGACUAUGCAUAGAUUACCACUUUUUGUGUGGUCCGUUCUAGUGACAGCAUUCCUACUUUUAUUAUCACUUCCGGUACUGGCGGGGGCAAUUACAAUGUUAUUAACCGAUCGAAACUUUAAUACAACCUUUUUUGAUCCUGCGGGAGGGGGAGACCCAAUAUUAUACCAGCAUCUCUUUUGGUUCUUUGGUCAUCCAGAGGUGUAUAUUCUCAUUCUGCGUGGAUUUGGUAUUAUUAGUCAUAUCGUAUCGACCUUUUCAAGAAAACCGGUCUUCGGGUAUCUAGGCAUGGUUCAUGCCAUGAUAAGUAUAGGUGUUCUUGGAUUUCUAGUUUGGGCUCAUCAUAUGCUUACUGUGGGCUUAGACGUUGAUGCGCGUGCCUACUUCACCGCAGCUACCAUGAUCAUAGCUGUGCCCACAGGAAUCAAAAUCUUUAGUUGGACCGCAACCAUGUGGGGAGGUUCGAUACAAUACAAAACACCCAUGUUAUUUGCUGUAGGGUUCAUCUUUUUGUUCACCAUAGGAGGGCUCACUCGAAUAGUUCUAGCAAACUCUCGGCUACAAAUUGCUCUACAUGAUACCUAUUAUGUGGUUGCACAUUUCCAUUAUGUACUUUCUAUGGGAGCCGUUUUUGCUUUAUUUGCUGGAUUUUACUAUUGGGUGGGUAAAAUCUUUGGUCGGACAUAUCCUGAAACUUUAGGCCAAAUCCAUUUUUGGAUCACUUUUUUCGGGGUUAAUCUGACCUUCUUUCCCAUGCAUUUCUUAGGGCUUUCGGGUAUGCCGCGGUGUAUUCCAGAUUAUCCAGAUGCUUACGCCGGAUGGAAUGCUCUGAGCAGUUUCGGUUCUUAUAUAUCCGUAGUUGGGAUUCGUCGUUUCUUCGUAGUUGUCGCAAUCACUUCAAGCAGUGGAAAGAACAAAAAAUGUGCGGAAAGUCCUUGGGCUGUUGUACAGAAUCCAACCACACUAGAAUGGUUGGUACAAAGCCCUCCCGCCUUUCAUACUUUUGGAGAACUUCCUGCGGCAGAAGAGACAGAAAACCUCUCCUAACUAUGAAGGAAGUUUCAUAGAGAUAGGUGUGGGGACGGGGACAACAAUUGCUUUAGCUGUUUUUUCAACUAAAGCGGGGCUUCUUUCUAAGCCUAAUCCCUUCACUUUUGAAACAUAAGGAGUUUUUGUGUAGUGAUCUCUGUUCAUGGAGAUCACGAGGCCACUGAUACCCUAUGUGGAUAAGUGGGAUAGAAGAGUGGGAAAGCGGGCUUCUAUCACAUAGUUUAUCUUUCAGGGUACAUAGGACGGCCCUCUCGUCAUUACCUUUUGUGCUUACCCGUAGCUAGUUGUGCCUGAAGUCAUGGAUGAUGCUAUUCCCACUGAGAGAUGUGCUGCAAAAUGGAAGCUGUGUUAGUCCUCGGCUAAAAUCAUCUUCCUUUAUUAAAGACCAUAUAUAUCCAUAUGUAGAUAGAAGAGGGGAUAUAGUCGUUCAAAGCUAAGGUGAGUCUGUUCCAGCUAAUUCCUUGGAUUCCACUUUCCUGUCAGUCCAUGUAAAAAGGAGUCCAGCCCACAAGGAGAGGGAAUCCACAAAAAUAUUUGUUUUAGAUGAUUUCUACUAUGUUUCAAGUGAUCAAAGAAUAGUAUAGUAUCUUUAGACAGAACUGAAAUAGCAGAUGCAGAUUCGAAUGUUAAGGUUAUUAAAGCUUAAAAGAAAAAGCAGUCAUAGGUUAGGUGACUAAGAAAAGAAUGUGGAAAGGGUCAUAGAUAGGAUUGGUAUAUUAGUUUCAGCUAUAACAGAGAUUUCUCAGCAUGUUUCUAUCUGGUUGGUAUCCGCUCGUACCAUUCAUUGUGAGUUCUUUUAGGGGUUGCUCAACUCUCGGCUAUUUUCACCAUCUAGAUGAUUGCAUCUUCCCGUUCUCACAAUUUCUCAAAGGUUAUUGUAUCGAUACUAUGGAAUUUUUAGUGAAAAAACAAUAGGGUUCAAUUCGAUUCAUUUUGGAAACUCUAGCGGGGCCAUCCCCAAUUCCUCUCAGCUGUCAUAAUUGAAUAAAAGGGAUCAUAUAGCUUUCCAAUCCAGCAACAUACAUCUAUCACCUAAGCAUAACUGCCAACAUCAGUAUGCAGAAAGAAUCUGUUUAUAACGGUUUAGAGUCGGAAGCAAGGCAAGUCACAGGCCAGCUUUCCUGCUUAAAGCAAACUGUCUGGAAAAGGAAACAUUUGUGGCACCUAAAUUGGUGAAAGCAAACAGAUUGGGGAAACAUGGCAAGCUAAUAGGAAGGAAGCCGAUCAAUCGAGUACGAACCUACACCGUGGCCGUUGUUUGAAAGUCAACCGUACCGUUGUUGGAAAGAAUCGAAGCCGAGGACGCUACUACCCGGAACUCAAUACGAUUCAACCAAAGCCUUUGCUUUGCAAAAGAUACCCGUUCAGCUGUUCCUUUACCGGCAACAACUAUGGAAUAACAACCUUCGCUUUGCUUUCGAUAGUCUCUCGCAUUAGCAAAUCUCAAAAUAUAGUAGAUCCCGGGGCGUACCUAAUGGUUUCAUUGAUUUGAAUGGAUUGACCCGUUGUACCGUUGUAGGAAUCCUCAUCCGAUGUGCGAAUCCCGUGGAGGAAGGGGGGAAACAAAUCAAAUUAUUUGAUUUUGAUAGGAGCAGUGCGGUAUUGAGGGUUUCUCUAUCUAUUCACUCAUGAAGUUAAGACAAGUGAGGAUUGAUUUCAGUUAUUCAUAUAAGAAAUAAGAGGAAGACUGUCUUCUCGGGGAAGACAUGCUUUCCCGCUCUCGGCACAUCUGUGCUAGGGAUACCUUCUUGCGUUGAGAUGCCAUCAACUCUUUCCUGGGGAAUCAGGUCAAUACGUUGGCUAUGGAAAAGCAAGCUAUAGCAGAUCGUUGAGUAUAGAGAAAAAGGAAUGGAGUUUCAUUAGCUCUCUGCACACAUCCAGUAUAAUACCUUUGCGAGCCCCUAAGGAAAGGGGUGUCGUGUUCUCUUUACAAUGGGGGUGAUCCAAGUUUCCAAAAGACAAGGUUGGUUGUAUCUUUUUCUAUUGGCAAUCCCCAAUCCGUUGCUUGUUCGUUAUGAACAAAAGAAGCCGAUACCAGAAGAGGUGUUUAUCCAGCGGAGGUUCGUAUCUCUUCCAUGUGAGACCAGUGACCUCAGAUCAUCCUGGACUUAUGUGCUGGAAUAGCUUCGUUAUGAGUUGAAGCAGCCUCAGCUACUAUUCCUACUAAGGAGGAGUCGCCUUUUUCAAUUCCCUCCCUUUCGCAAUCCCAUGUUGAUGUAACGACUGUAGAGUAUUGGCAAGGCUGUAACAUUACAUGCAGGUCCUAGCCUACGUCCGUUGGUGGUUGACUACCGGGAAAGGGCAGAAUAGCAACAGUGAGGAAGCAUACCACCCAAAGCAAGACGUGAAAACCUCCUUCGUAUCCAAAAGCCCCUUUUAGUCUGUCUGGCCUUAGGCGAAAUGAUACAUAAUCGUAUCUUCUCCGCUGGAUCGAAUGAAAGUAAAUGGUGGUUGGAUCCCACUAAGGAAUUGGCACGCCCGUGGAGCUUACAAACAAGCAAGCCAGUAAAAAGUUAAGGAAUUCACAAUAUCGAAAAAGAGUUGGUUGGCUUCAGGAGUCACUCAAUUGGAUUCGAUCGGGGACUGGAAUGAAACUUCUCAGAAACGAUAGCAGAUUUGGUACCAUAGCUGAGGCGAAUGCUCGUUGACAUGAUCCAAAAUUGAAUGAAUGUUGCAAGAUAGAUUUAUUUAGAAUAGUAGUCUUAGACUGGUGCUCUCUGGAUCACCCCUACGAUGAAACAAAGCCCCUAUUAUGUCCCCCAGAUUUGCACAUUCUUCAUCCCGUUUUGCCAUUGUGCAUUAAGUAAUCCAACGUUUGUGGAGGAAGCUGCAAUGCACCACAUGUUAGCUUAUAGGCCAGAUUUGGGUCCUGCAUUCUUCACUACCUUAACUACUAUAUUUAUUGAGGUGAAGGUCUUACUUAGUAGGCAAAUUCGAGCUGUUGUUUUAAUUCAGAGACCAGACGACUUUGAUACUGCUGCUUCUAUGGCCUUGACGCUGACAUAAGCGCAUUUAUAUUAUGAGUUAUUAGGCGAGGCUGCCCCUAGAACCAUCUUAUUAUUUUUAGCGUAGCAGUUGCUUAAAAUUGGAGAAAAACAACCAAUUGUGCCUAUGUUUCAGACAAUCCCAUGCUUGCCCCGGAUCCAGAACUGUGAUUAGCAAGCACUACUGUCAGGUUCUUGACAGUUUCCUCUCGACUUUCAAAACACCUAUACUCAUACUCUCAAUCAGUGCACAUUUCUCUCAGGGUAUCCAAUCGAUGGGAUACUGGUGCUGGGGAGGGCACUAAACUUACAGGAAUGCUUCUCUUGAAUGAAUUCAUUGGUUCGAAUUCUUUUCUAUCUAAAAAUAAAGUGGAAUAUGGUAGUUUUCUGGGUGAAAUGGGCAACUGGAUCAACAAACAUGAGUGGAGCCAUAGCCUUGUAUGAGUAACGGUGCAACUGCCUAUCUUAUCCAUCUCGAGCCCUAAGCAAUGCGAUUUUCCUUUACUUUGCCACUAGCUAUAUCAUUGUCUAAAUGUUGAAGAACUAUUGUGAUUUCAUUUCGAUCGGAGGUUACACAUGGAGGCUCUGGGUCAAGAGGGGAAAGCAUGGCUGAACAUAGCAGCACUUCCCACUCACUACCACCUAUGUCGCAAGCGCCUUCCUCCGUCUAUCUGUUGUCGCUUCCGGGCACACCAUCAAUUGAUUCAUCUUUGAAUAAUAAUGGGUUUCAGUGGCGGACAAUAGCAAGCUACUGACCCUCUAGAAUAUGGGUGCAUUCAGCAUCGGAUUGACAAGUUCUGCUGAUAGCGGAUCCUGAGACGCAACAAGGGCGGGGACAAUACCUAUAGUGGGGAGGGGACCCAAGCAUCACAAUAUCACGAUGUUUUCUUUUCAUUGAUCAAACCGCUUCGCUUGCACGGAUCUAGAAAGAAUAACAAGAGCUGAACUACCGGUAUACGGAGUGGCUUCGACAUGUCUAAGCAAGGGGAUGAGUCGGCAUCUUGUAGAGGAUCUAUCAAGAGUGGCAAAAAGAGAUGCAUUAUUCAUGGCAAGUAGGCGGUUCCUUUUCCCUAUUACCUCAUUGACUUCCCGUUUGGAGCUUGCAACCAUUAUUCUAGGGAGCACGAGCACAUAUGAAGGGGAGAAGACGACUGGUGAGGGUGGAUUUCAGUCGAAAGAGCUUCUGCAGUCACCAUUGCGUAUCCGUAUCGUGUUCCUCUAUUCACAGGUUCUCAUGCCCUUACUAAAAAGCUCUAUAACAUGGUCCCUCAUAAUGAAUGUCAUUCCUUUUCGCCUAUAUAAAAAUCCUGCAGAAUCACAUUCGCUCUUGGGAAAUAGGCAUUGUCGAGCUUUAUUUUCAGACAAGUUCAUCUCUGUAGUGGCCCAAUCCAACAAAAUAACAUCUCGCAGGUGAUCCACCGAGCGAAUCCUGAGGCUGUGGUGCUCAUAGUACCCGAACCCUUGGAUCUCGCUUUGCAAUGGAACCUCUUCUGUGGACUCAGCUUAAGUAAAAGAUGGAGGUUUCGGCGAUGUCUGGUUGGACGGACCCCCUAUUCAGAAUACGCGUGCGUCCCCACGUACGCGCGUGAUAAACCAUAAACACAAAGGAGUGAUAUGACCCUCUAAGAAGAUGAGGAAUCCACUUGUUAAAAGAAGAAAGAAUCAGCUAAACCACUGGAAUAGAGAGAUUCGCCUCAUGGAAUAUAAGGAAAACAUGCACAAGAAAUAUGAGGAAUGCACUAAAAAAGAAACUAAACAGAUCCAAAAUAUAAGGAAUGACCGGCUUCGACUUCUAUUCAGAUGCACAAUCCAUUGAAAUUAUUCCACUUUACCGAUGCAUUCAUCUGGUUUUGGAUGCAUUCAUCAUGUUUUCAGUAUCCAUUCCCUAUGGUGUCCAAAGGGAUUGCCUUAUGAAUCGAAAAUUCCGAUCAAUCGAAAAACAAAUGCAGCAGGACACACUUUUGAAGAUAAAACGAGUGUGCAGCUGUGAUGCACACCGGGGGAAUUCCAAAAAGACUGGCUUCCCCUUCUAGAAAGAGAAUACGCGUGUGUCCUCACGUAUGCGCGUAAAAAAUGAAGAAAAGAAAGGUGUGGAUUGCUGCGAGAAAAUAGCUUGCACGAAAGAGCUCGAAAUUGAGUAAGUUAAGUUGACCCAAUUAACCGAUUUUAGAGUCUUGAAAAAGCAAUCGAAUUAAGUUGUAUAUAGUCUAACUCAAAUACUUGAUUCAUGAUUAGAAAUCUCAAUCUUAAAUUAGCUUAUAUAAUGUUCUUUACUUUUGAUGCAAUGACAGAUUCUCUUUCGAUAACAUAGCACAGCCAUUGGGCGAGACCACGUGAACAUGACUACUUAGUAACGUCGUUGAAACCGGCCAACCUGCCGUCGUAAGAGAGAUAUUUUAGCAUUGUUGCAACCAGUUAUCAAUCCAAUCCUUCGCAAACCAACUAAGCUAUAAAGCUUUUUUUGUUGAAGUGGCAGACACAAGAUAAAUAAUGUGAAACCGGACCUCUCUUACUACAGUGGGAGGUGUAGGCCUUAUUUGCAGCAUCAGGUGCAACAUUAUUCCCCCCUAGAGAGCCAGCGGGUCCCCACGCUGGUGCAUUCGGGAAGCUGUAUGCAUUCGGUGCCCUCAAGCGGGGAUUAAGAUUACCCAAAUCAGCAUAACAAAAUGGGAGCUCAAAGACAAACUCCAGAAUAGCUGAGUUGACAUCAAUACAGACCAUGCAAUGCUUAAAUUGCCUUUGCUCAUUGCUGCUAACCUGACUCCAACAAUUAGACAAUUGUUGCAACUCGUGUCAUCCGUGAGGGUAACUUGAGUAGUAAUUUUACUGAACUACAACAACAACCAUGAACUCACAAAAGAAGUACUCCAUCAUGGUAGCAGUCCAUGAAUCCCAUUCAGCACCAGAGCUCAACAUACACAAGACUAAACUGCCAAUACUCUAACCACCAGCUACAGGUGGCUCACGAAUGAAUAGUUCCAGGCGAGUAGCUUCAGGUGGUGGUCGUAUCUCAUCUCCAUCCACGAACCAAGGUACUAGCCAGUGCCAGACUGUACAUGUAAAGGAAGAGACGCUGAAGACUGCCUUUUAUUCAUGGAAGAUAGAUAAACAAGAUUCAUUCCAUCGUAAGACAGAACAAAAUACUACUAGCCAAAGCCUACUUCGGCACAUGAAGGAAGUGAGCAACAGCCCUUGGGCAUGAGGCGGGUAAGAUAUGCCUAAUCUAUUGGGCCGAUAAAUACUUCUUUCCCAUGGGUACGAUAUUAGAAAUCUUUGUUGCGAACAGAAAAGAGAGAGACAUAAUAGAUUUGGUAGGCGGAGGAAUGGAAGGGCCAGGCUCACAUCUUAUGAACGGAGGAAGCGAAAUGCUGCAGUCAAGAGAAAUCAUUAACACUUAUUCACAGCUCAAAGCCAUAACCAUAGGGGCCUAGUCUACGAGAGAUUGAUCCGACAAGCAACUCCGGGAUGUGAGGCGUUUAAGCCAUAGUUGAAAUAGAAAGUACCGGUAAAUGACUUGCCGGGGAUCCGCUGAAAUACGAGAAGAUCCCGACGUUUUGCAGUGCAUGCGCUUGGUCAUUGGCAUGAGGAGUGCGGCACGGGAGAGCGUGAUGUUGCCAAACUAGGAUGGGCCCCGUUCCUGAUAGCAGCUUCCCUGGAACUAGCUGCCAUUGUAUCGGUUGGUGCCAUUUCUUCUCUUGGAGGCACGGCAAUAGAUUAAGAUUAGGCGGUAAGCGAAGGAACUGUAGGGCUUAGGGCUGCGGGUGAGCGCAACUUCAAUAGGUCGAGGGGAGGAAGAGAAGAAAAAGCAGCUAUUUCACCUGGUGUCAUAAUAACCACAGUUUUCGGGUUUUAAGGCAUAAGCGCAGGAGAGAUCUUCUUUCAUUUAAGAAGAAGCCACCGUAAAGAAGAGGAAACAAGGCGUUUAAGGGACACUGACUCCCAUUAUUUUCUCCAUGCCUGCUUUGGCUAAAUCGACGGAGGCUUAGCUUAUUAUGUGUCAGGCGUUUAGCUAGCUUAGAGAAUAAAUAAAUCUAUCCCUAAAGGGGGAGCGGUACCACUAUUUUAGGUUAGAGGAAGGUUGAAGAGAGAAUAGCUAAAAUAGCCAGUCGGGUAGCCAAGUGCGGGUGGCUAUGGUCAAAGUGAAUAUGUCUUGUCGAUCAACUGUUUAGUAUACCCAGUUCUGUAGAAUUAUUUUGUGCGUGGAACUCCGAACGACCCUUAUACUGUUUUGCUUUCUGCUACUUCUUGUUCUGCUUUGCCUAGAGAAUUUCACGUCUGUGGAAUGCCCUAUAGCUAUAUUUAGGUAUAUUACUCCUCUAGCUAUAUUUAGCUAGUUCACCAUUGUAUACGACCAAGGUUUACACCUGAGAGUCAUAGUGAAUCCUUGCAUUCGUGAAACUGACCAGAUGAGAACGAAACUGGUGGGAACAAUCAACUAUACGACAACUGCGAAGUUCAAGUUGGCUUCUGAAAAUCAACUAUGCUGAAAUAGAUUCUCUUUUGAGAGCCCUACAUAUACCGAUCAAACAUUCCAUUUCAGACUUGUCUGCUUUACUAUCUAAUAAGUUUGAUAGAAAUCAAGGCGGGUAUAGCUUCCUUUGAUCCAUACCGUAAUAUUCAAGCCGACUUUGUCAACUUAUUCCCCUUUUUCAGGUUGAAUUGACAAUGCUGUACUUUAUUCAACCAUAGGAAUCAGAAUUUCGUAGGUAGAGGGGGCCAAGGUGCCAGAAACAUGGAUUUCAUGGAAACAAGGUAAUCCAUAGUUGGUAGCAGAUGUUCCAUGGGAUCAGUUAUCCUCCGUCUUGUCUCUGCAUUCGAGGAAUGCUUGUAGCUAUGCUAGGCGUGAGAAGAACUCUACAAUACGAUUUCUACGAUUGGUACCACAUUGGAAUUCAUUCUCGGAACUCUCCUCUAGAGAAUGGCCUAGCUAAAGAGAGUGAUAGAUCCAUCGCGUCGUGUGGAAACUAAAGCUAGGUGCCGCCAUUCGUCCUCAGCCGUAUUCUCAUUCUGGGAAAAGUUAUGGCUCGUUCUGGGAAACGAUCAGUAGUAGUGGUGGAUGGCAGGUAUGGAAGGAUCCCGGCAAGUUCCUAUCUGAGAUUACCACCGGCCCUUCCCUGAGCUGACUUCUUUGCUAGUAGUGAAGUGCGUUUUCACUUAGCUGGAAAAGUCCAUAAUCCGUUUUGACCUCGGGAGCCUGCCCACGGAUCUGAUCAAAGUAUGAUUCCCUAGUGCCAAAAGUCCUAAAGCCUAUGGCGCCAAGCAUGGGGAGUCCGCGGAGAAGAAAAACUCUAUUUCGCUAUGGGCCAAAACUAGUGUUUUUUCGGAUUUCUAGUCUAGUUUAAGUGCAGGGCUAGAGAGUUCUCUUCCAGUAUCUUAGCUGACUGUCCGCUUGCUUGACUCGAACAAAUAGCUUUUGUUUCCACAAGGCAGAUCCCAUUCCUCGAAUGCAAAGGACAAGAAAGACGGAUUCUGGCUGGAAGAAAGGGUUCUCGUAUUGGUUCUUCUGGUGCGCUACUUCCUUGUGCUGUGCCAGAUUGGAAUUGGUAUCGGAAUCCUGGUUGGUAGAAGGAAGCUCGGGUAUUGCUUAUUGUUGAAAGCACUCGUUUGUUUCGGCUCGUGAGUUGAAAUCACUCGCUUGUUCCGGCUCGUGAUGUGUCUGACGCAUGCAUAGAAUCAAGAUCUAUUGAGACCAGGAUGUUUGUUUCUUGCUCGAAACAAGAGAUACGCUCCGGCUUAUUUGCAUUCAACUGGAGAACCUCACUUAUCAACUGCCCUGGAUUGGAUCUACUUACGAUUUGAGAAACUGGCUCCAGAACCCAUGUUUUUGAUGCAGAAUCGGUGGUUCCUUCUCUUUUUCGUGAUUUCAUCCAUAAAUCAAUGGAAAGAGCACUUUAUUCAGUGAAUUGACACGUUCCUCAUGCUUUUACAGUAGUAGUAGUCUCGGUAGCAGAAGUAGAUCCGAGUGUAGAUACCGGGAUCAUAUCACCACUAUUGACUAUUUCAAUUCAUUCACAUCUGCUCGUAUCAAUCAAAGUUUCCUAUCAAGCAAUCCCAGCAGCAAUCAAGUUGGCACCCACUAUAUAAGAUGCACUAUUUCCUGAUCUUGUCCCAAACCCAACUCGACACUUUUAGACCUGGCCUGGAUCCCUCCCUUCUCCGACAAUAUAUGCAACCUUAAAGAAAAGAGACCACUCUCAGAACGACCCUUCGGAAAGCCCCACAACAAGCUAUCCCAGAAGAAAUUGUAUAACUUGGCCAAAGUAUUCACUUCCAAUUCCCUUUGCAAUAAGAUCACAGUAGAUACUGUUUAGAAGGUUCACUCUCUCGUCUACAAAAAAUAGAUGUGUGCUUACUUCUUGGAGAUUAACUCCUGCGGGUAAGUGCACACCCUCAGUAGUAUCUCUAUAGACUUUAUAGAGUAUUUCCAAUUGAUAAAUGAUUUGUUCUUUAAGAACAUCUUUGGAUAUAUCAGUUACUUGUGUUUCAACAUUAAUAGCAUUUAUGUGAUGGAUCAUCGCCCUAACGGCGACAAGAAUAGCUAUCGACAAUGACAAACCCAAUGAUACAAUAUACUCAAAUAUAAUCGUUUCCAUAAAAAUCUGCCAUCAUUUUUUUAGUCAUACUUGUCCCUUAGCGGACUCACUCUUGUCUUGCUUCAUCUAAGGAGUGAUAAGUGCCAGGAGUCUGCCUCUAGCAUCAAUACAUGUCCUAGUUACGAACAAAGAAGCGGUGUUGUCUCCUUAGCGUUAGCGGCCUUAUGCCUAUUCCAGUAUACGCCCGUGUCAAUAUGUCUAGACUUACCUAUACCCAUGCUUCCUUCUUCUUUGACUAGCUUGCUUCCCCUAUCAAAUAGAAGGGGAAUGACUGCGUGCUUGGCCAUCGUUAGUAAGCCCACGUAGGAUAGGACCAUCAUCGAGCAAAUGUUCCUUCAAAGGCGCGGAGCGUGCUAUGGCAGAUUUUCAUCCCGCAAGAGGAUGCGCCUAACUAAAACGCCGUAAGGCAGUGCAGCUCAAUCCGUUGCUUUGCUUGUUGGAUCCACUUUUGGAAAGUUUCUUUGUUCGUAGCAUUAGUAGUUACUCACUGCAUUAGUAGUUACUCACUGGGUGGGUGCACCAACGGCUUUCUAGGAAUUUGAGUUGAAGAUUCUUUCGUGAAAUAAAAGAACGGCAGCGGCAGGUUGAUGAGGGAAAGGAAACCAGAUCUUUUUUCUAUGGUAUGGCCUGGGUGGCCUAAGUGAAAUCCCGAGAUAUGAAGGAGCCGAUCAAUCUACCCGCCCGAGGUAAGCUUGCUCCUCACUUGAGUUGAAGCUGCCUCCGCUCCCUGUCGUCAUACGGAUUGAUUUACUUUAUCUUGACAUGCGCUACACUUAUAUUUGCUAGAGAUAUCAAUCGAAAUAGGAGCCUUCUGAAAAUAGAAAUCGAUAUAUCCAUGGUAUUGAAUGGCCAAGAAUUGAAUGGGAUUGUGGCACCCAGUGAUACACUACGCCAUGUUACGAACAAAGAAAUGAUAGAAUUUCAUUAUGGCAUGGCGCUAUAGGCCAUCGAUUCGGUUAUAGGAGUAGACGCGGGCAAUGGCAAAGAGGAACAUUUGGAUGGACGACCUCCAAGACACGAGUCACUACUUUAGAACUACGUUAUUCCCUGGCGUGAGGUACACAUCCGGGGUUGAAGAAGGGACGCAUAUCAAAUAAAUGUGAUCUAGAUCCCUUUAACAGAAUAGCAGCAUCUUUGAAUUCCGAGCCGAGACUAUUAUGAUUACCUACCGAAUUGGAGGAAUCAAAGAUCCUUACUUGAGGAACUUAACUGGCACUCUACUGAUUGGACUUUACCGACUUCAAAAACCAGAAAAGAUUCUAUACCGAGCUUACCUAUCAACCAGACGGACUUGAACAACUGACCUGUAUGCUAUUGUUAUUGUCGGGCCUCCAGACCAUACCAAUUCACCGAGUUAGAAACCGGACCAGAGCUAUUAACCGACUUGACGUGCUUUCCUGACUAACAGACCGGACAGACCAAUCCAACGAACUGACUUUGCUAGCUUAUCGAGCCGAGGAGACAAGACGGAUCCAUAUAAGGAUACCAGCAACCCGAAGAGAAGAACCCCGGUUUAUUAGAGAGAUCCGUUCUAUUUCACUAGUUGGGUUUCUGUCUCGGCCUGGCAUCUUUGGACAAGAAUCAUAAGUAUAAGUAGCAGCUUCCUAUUCCUUAGUACUUUCCUGUAGUGUAGUUUCUCAAACCAGUGCUUUUCCUGGAAUGGAUAGAAUUCCUCAACUCUAGGAAAACCUGGUAUGAAAAAUUCCGUAUAAUAUGCAAAAUUACGUUUCCGUAUAAAAUAAAUAAGUAGACUAGCUCUGGACCGGAAAUCGAAACCCUGGAAAGAAAAGACAGGACAGGUAUGAAUCACUAAACCUGAGAGCUUCCUUGUCUUCUCCCAAAGCCAACUCUGGAUUUUCCUCCUUCCCGCAAAGUCAGAGUGAUGCUAUCUCUCCUCUCCCCGGCCCUCUGGGAUGAAGAAUGUCCAACAUCCUCUUCUUGGAUACCAGAUUCCAUCCUUAUCCACCUGGCUAGAAGCUGGCUAGAAGAUCGAAUUUCUUGGAAUGAGUAUAUUUUAGGUGUUUACGUAACUCAUCCAGUCCAGAAAUAGCUUGACCUGUACAAUUUCGAACGAAUCAAGAUAUCCUAUCGUUCUGGUAGCUAUAGUAGCUAUCUGUUCUUCCACUAGGAGAAGGUUUGAUUGGGAUUGUUUAAGCAAUUCCCGUCAUAAAAACAAUGGAUUCUGGCUAGUUUUAUCGAGAGCAUAGGUGAAUAAUAGGCUUGUCACUCUGCGAAUUGAGCUAGUUCCUAUUUUGAUUUGCCAGCUACUUGUUUCAUUGUGGCACAUUUGAGCCGCUGAUCCUACUCUGGAAAGUGAAAUACCCACAUGAAUAGCAGGUCGAAUUCUGGCAUGGAAUAGAUCCGCGGAUAAGAAGAUUUGUCCAUCUUGGAGAUGACAUUAGUUGGAAUAUAGGCGGAAACCACUCCAGUUGGGCAUACUCUCUUCGCCUAAAAGAAAAUUGUAUUGAGUGGCUCUUUCUAAAAGGCAUGAAUGCCAAUCAAAUCAACCCUAUCCUGAUGGAGAAUAGAGAUCCACCCACCCACCUUCUAUAUUCUCCCAUCCCCGAGGGAAGACCACGCACGGCCGAGAAAGAUGUGUCUCGUAUUCAGCAGCUCGCCUAAGUCCUAACGUUAAUGGAAAGAGUAAGAUAAGAAAGCUUAAGCGUGGUAGCCCAUAGAACAAAUAUGAGAAGUGAUGUUUUGAAAGCUUCUUAUUGAGUCUAAUACUAUCCUUUUGAAAUUCUUGGUCCUCAGAUCAGAUACCAUAACCAGCAUCUACAUGCUCAUGCUGCAAACUAUCACAUAGGUCCUAUUUCAGGUUCAUUUACUUUCUCAAAUAAGUAACUUUGUCUAAUGUUCCCCGAGCGAUUAGUUAAAACAACCACCCCCUGAUCCGAAAGGAAUGGGUGUUCCCGAGGCUUAUUCAAAGGGCUUUCUAGUGAGUUAAUGGGGAAUGAGGGUAUCACCCAUAACCAGUUUGAAGAUGCAAAAAUUAUGUUCUUGUCAAGGAGGGGGAUUAGCUACACAACCAAGGAAGGCCUUUUUAGAUUAUUAAUAUUCUGACUGCUUUUCACUCUUGUCUAGAUCUUGCUAUUGCUUAGAGGGCAGGCCGCAGGACAAAGCAAGAGCUUGCAUGCGAGGGGCGCAGCGAAUGUUUGCUUCAAAGGAGCCUGUGAGCCAGCGAUAAUUAGACCCGUUAAUUAGUAGGGACAACUUGAAGUAGGGACAACUUGAAUACUCCACCUGUGUCUAAUCAUCCACUCGACCAGCCAAUGAAACGAAUUGAGAUGAAAGUGAUCGAAAGUUAUCUCCCGUAGAAGGAGCUAUGUUUGCGAAGGAUCGAAGAGAGCGUUGAGGGCGCUAGCAACAGCGUGUUUGUUUCAACACAAGAAGUGUCGAUCCAAGCUUUAAGAACUCAAUCGUCCGUCCGACCGAAUCACUCGUUUAUGGCUCUGAUUCCAAGUCAGGGUUUAAAACAGCGGUGACCCAGCUAGUUGAAUAGUUUUUACUUGGAACACCAGACAUGAGAGCCAGCUACAAAGACAGCUAAUGAUAUCAAAGUUGACGAAACAAGAGAGUUUCAUUCAAUUCUUUUCAGAGUGUACGCCUAUGAUCAAUAGUUCCUUAUGUAAAGGAUAUUUCCCUUCUCAUAUUCUAUUCGAGAGUUAUCAGUAUUUAGCAAAGCUGUUCCUAUCUAACGGAGGGCUAUUGGAUCAAAUGAAAAAACAUUGUUGAGAAAUAGUAGCCACCCGAAGUAGAGGGAAUCCAACCUUGCCCAAUCGAUGCUCAAGUGGCCCAAAGAAGCAAUCUGAAAAGGGAAGAGCUUGUUCUGAAGGAACCGCACUCAAAGGUAAUGUUUACUUUAUCAAAUCAUUCUUACUCCUUGGUUACCCCUGAUGAAACGAUCCUAUUCAUUUGACCAUUCACUAGUUUGUAAAUUGCGCCUACUUCAUGCACAUAACUCCACUCUACUGGAGGCUUGGCAUGCUCGAAAAGAAAAAAACGGAGUCAAUCUUUUCAAAUUCCUUGCGAACAAUACCGAAGACUUGCGGUGUGUAGUUGCUUGUGUGAGAUUUCUCAAGAUUGUAGAAAGGGGUUUUUAAAACAGGUUCCUUCCGUCUGAGAGGCUUUGCAAUCCAACUCAGUCUCCUUUGUGUGCGCACACACGCAAGCCAAGUUUCACUUUGAAUACCCCUGCCUUCCUCUCCUUUCAGUAAGUUUGGUAUUCUGUCUUGUGAGGUAGGAAAAGCCAUCAUGUUUAGGAGAUCAACAAAGAGUGAAUUGGUACAUAUGGACAUCGUGAAAAUAAGGAACUAGGGGAGUUACAGCAUAGUGAAUGUAAAGCUUACCUACCCGCCUAUCCUGCAUUGCUGACCUACCUGUACGAAUGUGCUUAAACGGAGAAUGAGGCGCCCUACCAAAUAUCCUGCUUGGGGCUCCCUACAAAUAGAAUUUAGGGAAUCCCUGCAGUGAACGAUGACAUUAUAUGGGCAAGAGCUUUACUUGUCCAUCACGGACUACUUUUCUCUCCGUUCAAUAGUGAGUUGCCUGAUAGAUAUCCUUCUAUGCUUCUUAUCUCUUAUCCUUUGCUGCGCGCCUUGCUAUUCUUUAUUAUAUAUCGUAUCAUUUGUUCCAUUCUCAAUGGUUGGCCAGAGGCCAGGAUGCUUUAGUUUAUCGGAUCGAUCGCUGUGGUCAAGUGCGCUGGUCUCUUUCCCAAGUCACAGGGGUACGGAUACCAGAAGUAGAUCCAGCAGGAGGUGGUAGCCAUUAUUAUUGAGAAAUAUAAAGAAAGCCGCUUCGUUCCCUUGUUUACUGAACUCUUUUUGGGAGAUAGGUCUACCGUUGCAAACUCAUUUUCUUGUAAAUUCAUUGUCUAAAAUAACUCGUAAAUUCAUUGUGCCAGAAUUGAUCAUCUAACUAGAACUAGUACUAGAUAUGAGCGUUAUUUCUGCGGGUUGCUAGUAGUUUGUUUCAUUAUCCCUCCCCGUCGUCCUCGAUGAUGAACCUUACAGAUAGGUCCCCAUUACGCACCUGUCUCUCUGCCCUGACCCAGUUUACUGCUCGAAAAUAGUAGCGGGAACUGUUUCCAUGAUGCUUAAGACUUUCAUACACGACCCAAAGCUUCUCUGGGUCAUUGAGCUCCUCUUCCUUGUGCUGGAGGGCCGAGGCAGCGAGAUCCUCGACGCUUUCCUCCGCGAAGUGGUAGCUCAAGACCGAGGUAGCAUCGAGGUCUCUUAACAGAGCGCCGAUGUGCUGGUGGUAAUUAAGGACUAGGGCUAGCCGUUCUUCUUCCCCCAUUGUAAGCGGUCGUCCUUCGGGCAGAUUUACACGAGCCUGACCUCCCUGCGGGAGAUACGGGGCUACGGCGCGGGACAGGUCGUCAUCGCCUAAAUGCAUCAGAUUAGUAGAUGCUUGAGCCCUUGCUUGCUCCCCGCCUUCCGUCAAGCCCCCGGGGGUUUGACUUGUGGACGCGACUUGUUUCUCACGCCUAUUGGCACCCCCCUGGAGAAGCGCAUCCCAGAAGCUAUCCUCCAGUGGUGUAGCCCUAGCCCCUGACCCCGACGGAUCCUCAUUUUGCGCGGGGUCGUUACCCGGUGAGCAUUCUGUAGGAGUAAUGUUAGACCCCAGCACCGCGCUACAACAAAAGCCGUAAAAAACUUGCACAGCCCAGACCGGGCAACGCGGACAUAAAGCGCGAACCAACAUCCGUGAUACGAAAACCGAAAUAAGAAUGAGGAAGAAAAACAUAUCCAGAUGAAUUUGAUUUAAAUUUAAACCCAAAAAUAACUUCCCAAACAAUUUGGAACAAACAAGUUCCAUACGAGACAUAAUUAACAACAUGGAAUGUCAGAGAAAUUCAAAUUAUGUAAGUUUGAUAAAACAAAGUCCCUCGUAGAGUCCACGGGGAGCCUACUUCUAUUUUUUCUGUAGUCAAACUAAGACUGGAGCUUGAAGCCACUACUCUAGAACCGGAAGAAGCCUAACUUUUGCAUUUUUAGUAUUUUUUCUUACUGUCAUUUCCGUUUAAUUACAAUACGAAAAUCUUCGAUUGGUAGAAGUGAGUCCAGAUCUCCCUCUUUUCCACUAAACCAUUUAAUUUCUAUAUGAAAAUAAGAGAUGCUUCUAGGGACAAUCAAGAUCACUAGGAAAGAGCUGAGUUAAAGUGGCACUCACUUGAUUAAAGGGUUUUGUGUGUACUGACUGAUCUAAGUGCAGAACCAUUCAAGAAACGUAAUUGAAAGAAAGAAAGAGCGCUAUUCUUCUCUAGUUAGGUACUGCCAUCAAUGAGUUUGCUAAGAAAGACCCCGGUGGAAUAUUUGGCCUGCUUACUAACUUAUAGGCUUUAGAGGGGACCCUUUCUCGCCCAGCCCUACCUACAGGGAUUGUAGGAUUUCGUUUGCAACUCUUUUUCCUAGAAAUCUCAAUCCAGCGAGUCACUACUCUUUUUCUCAAACAAGAAGCUGACAAAGAGAUCCAUCCAUUUGAUUUUCCCAAGAGACUAGUUUGAUUCCACCAAAGUCUCUCUUAGCGCAUAAGUAGAAAUUCAUUAUGAUUAGCAUGAAAACCAUUUUGCAAGAUAUCAAGAAAUUCUUUAAAUAAGUCAUCAUUCAUUAGCGCGUAAGAGCAUUCAUUCUAUCAACAAUAUUUCUCGAACUGGCGCACUUCCCUGUAGAGAGGAAAGUAGGAGAUUUCUCGUAAGGAUUAUACGUGAUUUUCCCAUUAUGUGAGCGUGCAUUUCCUCAAUCAUUAAGAAUUGGGCUUUGGGAAGAAAAACUAGUUCUAUGUCAAUUCUACAGCCAGAGGAAGAAUCAAGUCUAUCUCACUCAUAUAACUGCCAGUGGCACUAUUUCUUUUCAGGACAAACCUUUUAUGGUAUUUUCACUCCGAUUGCGGGAGGGAAGCAGGGCUAUAGAAAUCAGUUCAGAAAAGGACUGAUUGAUAGACUUAAUUUUACGGAGAAGAAAGGAAUAUUCACAGCAUUCAUCACUUCUAUAUUUUACUAUGAUUUUUCGAGCGUGUAUAGAGCCUAUCUAGCUCUAUUUCCUAGUUUCUCCUUUAAGUUGUGAGGAUUGAGUUUGCUUUGAUUCUGGUUCAGGGCAAGGGCUACUUUCUUGAGUUCGUAUAAGCAUGGAUCUAAUCUUACGUGGAUUGGUUAUCGAGAUGAGAAGACCGACACUUUAAAGCGGGUAACGUAAAGGAUAGUCGAAGUAGAGAUGCCAGGCCGGGUCUUAUACUAGUAGCUUCAACCCAGUAGGUUAUUUUGACUGGCCCUUUAGUUGGCAACUCGACUCCAACCCGAUCUGGAAGAGGAUUUAUUUUUUGCGAACUCAUAACUUAGCUAAAUGGGGAGAACGAAGAGGCGUGGAAAAUUGGGGGACGGACUCCUCAAUACCGGAUGAAGUUGGCUUACUUAAGUCCUUGGAGCUUCCCCCGCGGUAGAAGAAUCUAUCUUAAGGAUAUCGUCGGCAUCACAACGAAGACACACAUUCCGCACUACUUGCUCAUCCCACGACUUCCCAUCAAAUUUUCGUAGAUCCCUCACAAUCGAGUUAGGCCGAUUAGGGAAUUUCUCUCUCUUCGAACCUUGGGAUCCAGUAGUCCACCCAAACUUGCUGUGCUUAAACCAUCUCCAAUGCGCCAGAUCAGACCCGCCCAAAGAGUUUCCCUUGCAGCACAAACACCCUCCUCCAUGUGAUCGAAGCCUGAGGCGGAACCUUUGCCCUUAGACAAUAUCUAUUCGGGUAGUCACGCCCUUGAAGCACCUGAGCACAUAGAAAAUCAACGGCAGUCAACAGACUUCAUCUCAACUGAGUGUGCCGGUCCCAGGUUCUCCAGUGGAGUCGAUAUGUGUGAGUUGAGUCUAGCAGGGGCAGGGGAGUGAGAAUAGUCGACAGUUGAAUAGCUUGGCCAGAGAAAGAGGGAAUGAAUGACCGGUCUCGUUCUGGAUCUCUUUCCUUGCGCCCUAGUCCAUUCCAUCUAUCUUGACUGCAACUUGGAUUCUUUCUUGACUGCUAUUUGGAUUCGUAGUCCCUCAAAUCUCUAAGCAGGUGGCUAGAAAACCUUCCGGAAUAGGAGGAAUAUCUGAUAGUUUCUCAUCAGGAAUGGAAUUCGGUUUCCAAUCUGGUCACACAUGAAUCUUGCCCUAAAGCAAUUUCUUGAUUAGGAGCAGUAGGUGGCCCAUAGAAAGGAAUGUCUGCCUAUCCAUAGCCGGGCAAAUUGCUGCAUAUUCAAGUCACCCAAUUCUCUUCUCUUGCACUAUGUCUAUUGGAAUGGACCCUUGAUUCUCCAGCAGAUCCUCCUGGUAUGGAAGGAUAUCAUCCACAAAACAGAUUGCUGAAAAUGCCAUCCAAGUUCACAAAGGAGCGGUCUUCCUAAUAUCUCUUUUGUUUGUGGGAAUCUCUAGUGAGACCUUUUGAUUUCCGGGGUUUCCUACUGUCUUUUGACUUUGUCGUACUCUGCAUAAAAUCUAGUAUGGUGGUCCAGUUAUUUCUAGAAUAUUUCACAGGAUGAUCGUGUGCGGCUCCUAUCCAGCUAACCAAAUGGAUCAGUACCUGUUUGCGAAUUUCUCUUUCCCAAAGAGGACACAACGAUUCGAAAUUCAGGAAAUCUCCGAAUUCUCAAUGUGCAUUUUCUGGUCCUUUCUUAUGGACAAUUCCGUUUUCCCAUUGGCAUAAAGACUUGUUUGACUAUGAUCCACGAACCAAUUCACAUACUCAUCGGAUCUAUCCUUCGAAGAGAGUUGAUCCACUAUUUGCAGGACUUCCGCACCCUCGAUAGAAUGAAUGAAAUGACUGAGCAUAAAAUCCUAUAUAGCAAGGAUAGAUUAUACGGAAUAGAAGAGUCGGUUCUAAGCUAAUAAAAGUAUGAAUUCCCAUAGCAAUAGCAAAGAAAAAGGAAGCCCAUAUCUGAUAUAUUGCUGAGGCAUCUUGGGAAAGAAGUGUCUCUCGCAUCCGCCGGCUAUGAAUUCAAUAAGAAAAUCCAUGUGACUCAUGCAGAUCAAUACGGAAAUGGCAAGGCAUUCAACUUGACCCAUUCAUUCUCGACCAUACGCCCUAAGCUCCUAAAUCUCUGACCUGCCUCCCUUAUACUAAGAAGAGAAGUAUUUGCUUGCUUGCUGGUUGAAGUCUGCUCGUCGCAUUCUAGUCGUGCGUGAUAGAAUAGGCCCACAUAAAGAGAAAGCGGAGACCUUCCCAAGGUUACUCAUCUAGAUCUGGAUAAUCACUAGCUAUAUUAUUUCCUGCUCCUAAAUUCUCGUAAAUAGAGGAUAGGCCCGGCACCCCACAGUCACGGCACCUCUAAGAAGACACCUAUUCCCGGCGCACUCCAUGUGAAAGACACCUAUUCUCGGCACUAUUCCAUAGCACACACACUUAUACUUAAGUAGGCAUAGCUCCGUUAAGAGCUCAUCGAACUUGACUUCUAGAGUGAGACCUGUGAUAGAAGGGGUAAAGGUGAAUUUUGGUCCUCUUUCUCUCGGAAAUAUACGCCACAUGCCUGUGAUCGAUCUCUCUCUUUCUAGGUAUCGGUGAAGUCCGUCAUGGAAUUUAAGUGGUAGAGUGGUAAGUGGGCGUACGGUCUAUGGAUUUCCUAUCAGUGGCAUUAUUCCUUCUCUAGAUAGAUGGCUAUUGAGCUUCUCAUUCGUGAGAGUCAUGCGCCGGAUCAAGGGCUCUCUCAUCUCCUAUUUGGAAAUGUAUAGGUUGUGUAAGUGGCCAGUGCCCGCGGGUAAAGGCUGAUCAUCAAAAGUCAUAUAAUCCAUCUAAGUGCCGGUAUUGCCCAGUGCUUGUCUGGAGUUGUCAUGAUACCCGGAUACUCACCUCACUAUACGCCAAUUCAGGGAAAGGUCAUGCUGGGAAGCUUCAUUGAAAGAUAGUCUCAACACUCUCGAUGAGAAACGACAACCCAGCUAACAAAGGUUUAUGCAUAUGUUGGUCCACAUGCAGAGGAAGUCAAGGUUUCCAGAUGUGCUCAUCCCUGCUUGCUGAUAUGCAAAUCGAUUGGAAUUGGCAAAUCAUAGAGUUUGUCGCUGACAAGAGCUGUUUUGGCCAUGGUGAUCCUCCUCUCAAUACCCAUUCCUGCGAAUUCCCAAUCCAAUUAUAUUAGUAUAAUGUGUAGAAGAAAAAGGGGAAUCCAUGAGAAAGCCCAUAUUGUUCGUGGCAAUGGAACAUUCAUUUCCAGUUUUGUGAAUGGAGAUCACUGACGAGCACUCUUGCGCAAAUCAAGAGUAAAGGUAGGAGCUAUGAAGCUGUCCCGGGUAGGAAAGGAUCCCUUUGAGUUCAUAUUGCUGCAGGAGAAAGAGAAGGGCACAAAGCUUCUAUAUACCACUGGAUUCCACCAGACUGUUCUGUGGAAAACACGGCACCCUAUCCCUUCCCUGACGGGAACCUGGAUACCAUAGCAUAGGAACCUCCCCUUCCCUGACAGGAACCUGGAUACCAUAGCAUAGGAACCUCGAAAAUACGUAUUAUAGGUUGGUUGUAUACACACUCAUCCUUUAAGAAGAUAAGAGAGCCCCGCGGACAUUUCCUUCCUCGGAACCAGGAAACUGAUACUGCCUCGAUUCUGCUUCCGUCUAUCAUGUCCAAUCUUACUUUCGUGCCGAUGAAGGGCAGUCCGGAAGGUGGAGUUAGCACCGGGCCUAUUCUUAGAAGCUGAAGUAGGAGUAGGAGCACUCUUCUUCCUCAAGCGUAGCCAUAUUAGUUGGAUCCGGCAUCCUUUUCGACUGGAGAUACCCUCACAUUACCGGCUUCCCGGCAUACUGGCAAGUUUACUUGACUCACCCAUUCUUGAGAUUGGCCUAGCCACUACUUUGUUUGAUUUCCUUGUCACUGUAGUAAGCAAGUGGCACCUAUUGAUCUACUUCCCUCUAGCAUCACUCAUCCUUACGGCACGAGUCCAUCCAUCCCUCGACCGAAGAGAGUCUUCCUCCUCACGGAACUAGGGUUUGAUUUCAUAGACAAGACUUUCGAGCGCGACGUUGCGCACAUCCUCUUGCUUGGUAUCUUUUCUAGUGUGCAUCACAUUCAUUUUCCUUUCCAGGAAUUUUCCUUUCAUGUAGAUAUGAUAAUCUUCGUGGAAUCAACCUAAUAUAGGAUCUGCCAGUAGUACUUUCGCGGGAUUUGAAAGCAGGCAAACUUAUGAUGCGAGUCUAGUUAGAAUAGAACCAGUGCACUCUGAAAUCCGAACCAACCAAUAUGCUUCGCUUUCCUCUGCUUGUAUAGACUCCGUUCGUGCUAGGACAUCCAUAGCCAAUAGUAAUAGUAGCUAGUAGCUUCGCCCCCCCCUUGCCCCCGGAAAGGUUCUCAUUCCUCACUGGAUCUAGUUGACUUGCUGCUACAUCAAUCAAUCUAUCUAUAUGUUCCGGACGGAAGAGAGAGUUUCCUACAUUGCCAUUCCCAUGAACUGAACAUCGGGUACCAACGAUCUGGAAUCCCGUGCUGAAACCUACAGAUAUGCACCUGUGCGGACCAACCUGGCAAUCCUCCUGUCUAUUCUUUCUAUCUGGACUAGCGCUUCCCACUGGAGCUUACUACUUGACUAGAGCACUGGAACUUGUUAGUUUCAUUAGUCAGUUUCCUAGCAUAGCAAAGUGAGUUUCCCAUCAAUGGAUAAUCAUCCUGUUGUUUCCAUGAACAUCAGGUACAUAUAUGAACCUGUCAACGGAGCGGAACAUAUGAUAUGAACCAAGUAGAUUCAUCUCUUUGCUCGUAACGUUAGUAGUUACUCGCUCAUUAGUAGUGAACUAUGAUCAUUUGUGAGGAAUAUGUUUUCAACUCUAUGUAUGUCAAUUCGAGAGUAGAGCAAUCUAUGUCAACCAAGAGCAGAACUCUCUCUAUUUCUGGCACAGGCUUUCUUUCAAUCAAGAAGAAGAUUAUUUCAGAUUUUAUCACUAUCCGGACUGCUAUCUACUAUCUACCUACCUAUCUACCCGGGCUCGUUGUGAGGCGGGACCCAACCCUCCUCUUCACUCCACUACUUCAAUAGAAAUGGAUCCAUCAUCUGCUACCCAUGAGUAAUAACAUUACGAAUCUACCACUAAUCCCGAGGGCAAGUAUGAAAAAGAGAGUCAAGCAAGGUUGUAUUCGUAUGUUCCAUUUGAGUAAGCCUCUGAUGCCCUGCGCAUCUAGUUAGUACUUACGGAGCUUAAAAAUCCCUUAUUUUAAGCUCUUUUUCCAUUCGAUUCCUUCAAUGCUUCACCGUACUGACUCAAACCUUCGGACCAAAACCUGCAAGGAUACAGGUACUCUUUCGCGUAUCUAUAGUACGCGCCAACUACUACCUAAGCACUCGAAUAUUCGUAUUUCAUUUCGAAUGAAUCUAUAAAACAAAUAGAAAAUGUUCAUGAUCCAUUGACAAAAAGCAAGACGCCGAUCAAGGCACUCAUUCCUUUCGCUUAUUACGUUCUCUGUUAGAACUGUUUAUAGACAUAGCCCUUUAAAGGCGAUAUUUACUGGACCUGCACCCUUUCCUUUGGGCAACGAAGAGUGCAUUGUCCAUCCAGUAUUUGUUUGCUGGUUCUCUAUGCUUUCUUUUGACUGGAAACCUAGGCUAUUCUCAGUGCUCUUACUUCAAGGAUAAAACAAACUAUCUAUUAUAAAAAUCCUUAUCACUACAAGCUCCAAUACCACGGGGUAGCGACAGAAAUGUGAAUUAGUACCCGUAUCUGCUGAUACCUGAAUUGCUUCCACUUUAGAAUCAGCUAGGCGAGAGCCCUGUUGUCCUACUGAAAUGGAUUCUAAUAAAUUCACAAGCACACGGAUAAUGAAUGGAAGCAGAUAGAACCUAUUCAAUCAAAAAACAUAUUCUAACGCAUGUAUUUAGAUAAGAAAAGCGAGGUUUCAAUGGCUUGGAAGGGAAUCUAUCAUUUGUCGGUCUAACGGGGGUUAUAAGAUGGAUAAUCUCACCAAUGCUCUCUGACACAACAUACCUGCUAUCCAAAGACCCCACCUAUAAUGUCAAGAUAGCUCUGUCAACCAACGUUGUUUUAUAGAUCCAACCUUACCAGAUGGUGUUUCUCUUAUCUUCUCCUGAAUGGGUUACCUAACCCUAGCUAUACAGGUGGGGCACAAGAGACGGUACCAAGAGCUGGAGAAGCACCUGGCCCUGUACCUAUGCUGAUUGAGUUCGAGAGCACCGGUAUUUAUUGCAUUAGGACAGGUCUUGCAUUGCUAGAGCUUUUAGGAAGACGAGUAGCUCUCGAGUAUGUUUCUGUUUCAGCCACUCCAAAUGAGAACGUUUCACCAUGCUCCACCAACUAUUCCAAACUGGCAUCCUUUCCUAAACUCAAUGAACUAAUUGAGAAUUCUUCCCUGCCUGGGUGUGCCCUUAAUGAAUUAUCCGUUGGCGGCUAUAGCGAGAUCUGGGUUAGAGUCUAUCUCCCCAUCCCUCCGGCGAGGUAGCAAUGAGCUAUCAAACGCCAAUAGAGGACAAAUCCUGUUGUCCGUUUAUUUCAGCACCACAAUCUUUGUUCGUUCCUACAACAUCUAAAUCAGCACUGGGAGCGGUUCCAGAUGCACUUUCAGGUGAAGUCACAUCAGACGUUUUCGAGGAUGUUCUGGCACAUUGCUGGGGUAUUGAAACCCGUGAAACCGUGGCUACUGCCAUUACAAUCUGAUCGAAGGGAUGGCAUUAGGUAGACAACAACCUCUCUUGAGCGCCGCCUUGAUGGCUUUGUGAAUGAAAUUCGAGUAGAUGUUGUUUCAUCCCGCGUAUGUCUAGAAUCUUGUUAGGAUUCGUCUAUUCCAGGUCAGGAAAGAGCUUCUGUAAACUAUCGUGAUAAGCAUAGCCUUCGCCCCGCAGAGUACUAUAUCAAUGGUUCACCAGGAUAAAUUCAUUAAUGGCUUAGGGCCGGUCUUCAGUAAGUCAAUCAUCAUCGGGUGGAGGGGAAGGCCCUACGUCAAGGUCAAUGGAUUCACCUACCCCAGUCUCAGAACUUUCUAGACUUUCUUACCUGUGUUCUUCUAAACUAAGAGAAGGGCGUGCAUCUACAGCAAUGGUAUUAUCUUCCUUUUUCUUUUUGCAUCUUUGAAUCCUGGUGUGUUGGUUAGUACCGAAGCCUCUUGGCUAGUACAGAGUUGUGGUUUGAUAUAGCUACUAGAGAACCUGGAGGCACUCUCUGAAAAUAAGUAUUCUUCAUAUGACAUGUGAAUAGACAACUCCUGGUAUGCUCAUUUCAUUCCUCUUGGACCUAGAUCUUCACUUUCAGAAGUGCAGAAUUGAUGUAUCAAAGGCAUUUCAAAGGAACAGAGGGUCCAUCUUUGAAGUGAGAGACAAUUGGUUUCAACUAUGUCGUAGGGGUUGUAUUCUUAGACCUGCCGGGAGGGAGGAACCACCGUCCUAGGUAUUGAGCAUGUGAAUCAUGUUAUUUUGUAGGAAUAGAGAUUCUCAGCCAUCAUAUCUUGUUCACCCUUGGCCAUGUCUCCUUCCGAGAAUGAGUUGGUUUGGGGAGAUCAUUAGGUUACUGAGAUCGAAGUAGUGAGGCUGCUUGAGUGCCAUCGAAACCCAUUUGAAAUUGCAAUGACAUAUUGAAGUAGUAGUUCAUUCAACACCCGAUUAGGUAUCUGGAAAUAGUUCCUUAGCACUUUUCUAGUUCAUUAAUAGAAUCUAAAUGAGAUUGAAUGGAAAUGUUGGUAAACGAGGGGUGCAUCAUACUUUUCAAUAGAUGUUGGGGUUCCUAAACCAUAAGGAUACUCUUUUCAUAGAACAAGGCCUGCCAAUCGAUCACCUAGGCUAUAAUCCAAGGGAUAGCUUAACAUGCAUCUCCUAGAUGGAAGUUUGCGACAAUAACUUUGAGCUACUAUAGUCUUUGAUCCUUGAUCUGAAGAGGUAGGCAGCUAUGAUAAAGAAGCCAAGGGAUGAAGUGAUUGUGGUUGGCGUGCCACAUGGAAACUAGAUAGGUGGAAGCUAUUUUAGACGACCUUGCGGGUCAUCCUAACAUUGAAAUGAAGCUAUUCGAGUAGACAAUGAAUAAAGCUAUGAAUGGGGGUAGCUUUACGAGGCAUAAUGCCGGUGUGCACUUUUCUUUUCUCAAACCGUGGUUGAUCCUCUCUAAAUCUGAGGUCAAUAUUUCUUUGCAAUGAACGUUUAUUAGGUCUGGAAAACCUUGUUAGGUGCACUCGUAGGUGAGCUCAAUGUGAGGAUUCAUGCGUUCUUUCUUCUCAAGAAGACGGAAUGAUUGCUCGGUAUGAUAUAGAUUCUUAGCCAGGGGUUUGGUAGCUUAUGCCCCCUAGUUUGCAACGUAGAGCAGAAAUGGUUGAAACGGCUCCCAUUGUGUGUGGGAAUUAUUUCAAAUGUGCAUGGCCUCUCAUAUCUUGAAUCGCUUAUCUGAUUGUUCGGGAGCUAUUGACUUGGUCAUCAUUUGAUUCCACUUCCCCGCCUUUAGUUGGAAGGUUCCAUUUGUCAUAAAUUACUUGUCAAAGAUGGGAUAUCUUGGCUGCCGUGAAUGAUAUUGAGCUACCGGAUCUCGGGACCAUGGUGAAUUAUCUACCAUGCAAUGGGGUCUGCUUUGUAAAACAAGUAAAGUGCACGAAGACGUGUCGAAGGGAAGGAAUAGAACUUGUUUGGCUGUUCAACCCGCGUCGGUUGUUGAUAUUGGAUGAGAUAGCUCGAGAAGGGAACAAAGAAUUCCAACUGGCUGUGGCGAGCGCUCUCCUACUGUUAGUGGCUUAGCUCCGGGGCUCGACUCCUCGAUGGAAUAAAGAUAGAGCUAUUAACCCAUACGCCCUCUUAUUUAAGGUUUCAUAGUUUAGGAAACUACAAUUCUUGUUUGUAUUAGAAUGCAUAGUUGUUUGAAACUAAAGGAAAGGAAUGCUGAUUCGAAUAGGGAUAGGUGAUAUCUUUGAUAGGUCCCCGGUUGUUAGAUUGAGGGAAAACCUAGUGUUCGAUUAAGGAUUCCCCUGAUCAAAAGCGGAUUUCGUUGAGAAGAUGUCAUGGUUGUCGGGGAUCCAAAGUAGUUUCUCUUUCUCACCAGCAAAGCAUAGAAUAUGGAACAAAGAAUGGUGUAUAAUACCCGUAUUCCAAUAAUAAAUCACUUAAUAUGCUGCCCAUGUUGAAAAACCUCUUACUUGUACGAGCUAUGGUACAGGCGUACCUCUCAAGUUGUGCCCCGAGGCCAGUUCAUCAUCUUGAUCUUUUGGUUAGUACGAACGAUGAAGCAGCAGAUACCGGGGUUCUUGCUUGCCUUGUCUUUGACUGCGACUUGCCUAGGUAUCCACCUUAGGCGCCGCUCUCUUGUUUCACUCACAAUUCCGUAGUUGACUGAGCAAUUUCGUCAUUUCCAAAAGUGCACUUCGUUUUUCACUGGCUCGGGCGUACCCCGACCGAAGGGAGUGAAAUCGAUGCCUUUUAUUUCCCAUGCAAAUUCAUAUGGCACUUCCCACAAGCAAGGGAUGAGUAGGAGAAGGAAAGAUUUAUGAAUAUCUAUUGCUUCGAGACUCCACUCACCAUGUCAGUAAACCUUAUAACAGUUAUGGCAGGCAGGAGGUGAUAAGAAAGUAAUUGUAAACAGCCAUCCAAUUGAUAAUAUUUCCUACGGAAAGAUCUGGGCUUGCAUACCUUUUCGAGUAACCUAUAAUGAAUGCAUUCUUAUUUACUACCAUUAUAACCAUUGGUAAGCCGAUCUAUCGUCAAGGGUCCCUAUCGCCAAUUCUCGCCAUUAGAAAUAGGCCUUAGAAUCGCAUCCUUUUUUCUCUUAGUAGAAGUCCCAUAUCUGUCUCAUCGAUCUGGAUAUAACGCAUUGCUCGAGCAAAACAUCUUCCUUUUGCGGAAGGAUCGGCAGGUAUGAGGGACACAUAUUUGUAGCCCUCGGACAGAGGCUCAUUAGGAAAGAAUUGACACUUUUGGCCUUCAUCGUCAGGCCUAGGCCUUAGGUUUACCUUGCUCUAGCGUAGUCAUAUCCAAAUUCAAGAUCAAUCGGAGAAGCUGGCCCUUCGCCUCGAGGAAAUCCCUCUGGAGAUUCAACAUACCCGAAACUGGAAGAUACUAAAGACUAAAGUCAAUGGCAUUCGAUUGGAUAAUCUACUUCGACUUCUCUAUGAUGCUUUUAUUCUGAGUAUAGAAACGGCAUCGGCAUAGGAAAUCGUACAUCAACACCUCAAACGGAUGUUAUAGAAGAGCUACCCACUGGCAUACUCCCUUUUUGCCAAGGAGUUCAGCUUUCACAGAGCUAGAGGAGAGAAACGUCCAACGCUGGCAAGUCGUCACUUUCGUCUUCUUUAGUGCGCUCUAGCCCAAAGACUUCUGCUUAUCCAUAUUCAUGGAAUUGUUAUUCGUUGAGUUUAGAAAUAUCAGGAUACCGAGGGCUUCCUUCUCACGCCUAGCAAAGAUCGAGUUAUGUUCGCACUUCACUUAAUGAGCCUAUUUCUCAGUUUUUAUACCCGUUUAGAUAGAUGGGCUCUAAGGGAGAAGUGGCACACUUUCUCGAGCUAUCUAAGCAUCCAGGGAAGUGAUUCCACAAGCUAGAGAGAUUCUCCUAUUUUCUUUUUCAGAGUUGAGCUCAGGCUAAGGCCAAGCAUGGAUCAAUGUUUGUCAAAUCAUUCUCUGUUGAGUUGAGUCCUCGCCGAAGGUGCCGUGCCGUAUAGUACUUCUCCGGUUAUAGGUGAUAGAUGCAUGGCUUCCGCUCAUGAGGAACGAGUGAGACCGGCGCUCAAUCAAUCAACCACCAGUAGAAGAUAAAGUAAACAAAGGGGUUCUUCAAUGAGAGGCGCAUGAGAUUCUGUAUUGGCCAACUCUUUCUAACUAUCACUAGGCCGGAUACUCUGAUUCUCUGUGGAUGAUUUCCUUCUCUCUCGUUCAAUGCUCUUUGGUCUCGAGGAUCGCCAUUUGGUGGGGUUGGGGUCACACCCGAAGUCGUAUUGGAGAAUUGAGCGGAACUACUUCGAUGUGCACUCUUUUAUUGGGUCAGGAAGCCCUGUUUUUGAAGCAGCAAGACCUCUUCGUCAUCAUUAUUGGGGUAUGGGCCCUAAAUCAUUGGAAAAGACGGUUUUCUUUAGGGAAUUUAAACGAUAUCGCCUCCUUCUGUACUAAAAAGGGAAUGGAUGAGUUCACUUAAGAAGCAGGCCUGGCCGGUACUAAAACAGAGAAGUCCGCUCAGGUUUCAUCUCAUCUAAGCAGCAACCAAGCGAUGAUUCUGGAAUCGUGCCAUUCUUGAUAGUUGGACUUCUCUCCAUACAUAGAAAUGAACUGCUCAUGAGCUAGCUAUCCCCGAUAUGUUCUCGUACUAGACUUCACACAUGUCGUCAUCGUAUAAUCGGAGAAUCAACACUGAUGUCUACCUUUGGAAAACUAAAUAGAUGAUUUUCGAUACUAGGAUGACUACUCCCGAGGCCUGUUUUAACUAAAGAAUUUACAGGUGGCCCGGUCGGUAAACUAUUCCCGAGAGAGGAUAAGCAGAAACAUCAAUCUGUAUUUUCGUAUCAUAUUCCAGCAGCUCCAAUGCCUUAGAGCAGGAUCUUAUCUUCCUAGAAAGAAAUGAGUGUUGCACACAGAUAGCCAGCUACUCCUUAUGAAUGGGAUGCAUGCAUAUUUCAAUUCAUGAACUGAAGCUCGUAGAAAUCCUUCCUGUCCGCCUAGUUACCUAUCCGGACUUGUUUCGUAGAAAUCCUACCUUGCUUUUAGGCGGAGAAAGACUAUUUUUUAGUUUCUUCGGUGCAAAAGUGCCGUAGGCAAGUCCGUUUCAUAUAGCUGCAAAAGUUAGCAAGUCCUUUUUUCCUAAGGAAACUCGAUUUCCAAUGAAAAAAGUGCAGAUCACUAUGGGUCAAAAGUAGUGUUUUUCUAGUUUACCACAAAAAUGCAUGUUUUGAGAGCUAUAUUUUUCGAUCAAUUCCUAAUCACUUAGCUGUAAAAGUAGGAUUUUUUCAUCUCCCGAAACCCAGGCCCUCUCCCCAAAACUCCACACCAAGCCUUUAGAUACGCAAAUAUGAGCUUGCCUUGGCUUUAUUGCCCUUAUCGGAUGGAAGUUACGGAUGAGAGAUGACGUAUCUUACGUAUCGAAUCUCAAGUAACAGAUGAGAAUUGACGUAUUCAAAGUGGAAAGAACGAAUACCGAUUCUCGUGGAUGAACGGAGGAAAUGGGAACUUGGUCUUUGCACUCUUCUUUCGGGGGGGUUAUCCCAUGACAUUAAUAAGAGGUGAGUAAUUACUAAAAGGUGAGUAAAAGAAUUCACAGAAAUUACUUUAUAAUAUCUAUGGCCAAUACCCCAGUUGGUCCUAUACAUAUCAUUUACCUAUUUGCGAUUUCUCUUUCCCAAAGUGGACACAAUGAUUCGAAAUUCAGGAAAUCUCCGAAUUCUCAGUGUGCAUUUUCUGGUCCUUUCUUAUGGACAAUUCCGUUUUCCCAUUGGCAUAAAGACUUGUUUGACUACGAUCCACGAACCAAUUCACAUAGUCAUCAGAUCUAUGCUUCGAAGAGAGUUGAUCCGCUAUUUGGAGGACUUCCGCACCCUCGAUAGAAUGAAUGAAAUGACUGAGCAUAAAAUCCUAUAUAGCAAGGAUAGAUUAUACGGAAUAGAAGAGUCGGUUCUAAGCUAAUCAAAGUAUGAAUUCCCAUAGCAAUAGCAAAGAAAAAGGAAGCCCAUAUCUGAUAUACUGCUGAGGCAUCUUGGGAAAGAGGUGUGUCUCGCAUCCGUCGGCUAUGAAUUCAAUGAGAAAAUCCAUGUGACACACGCAGAUUAAUACGGAAAUGGCAAGGCAUUCAACUUGACCCAUUCAUUCUCGAUCAUACGCCCUUAGCUCCCAACUCUCUAACCUGCCUCCCUUAUACUAAGAAGAGAAGUAUUUGCUUGCUUGCUGGUUGAAGUCUGCUCGUCGCAUUCUAGUCGUGCGUGAUAGAAUAGGCCCACAUAAAGAGAAAGCGGAGACCUUCCCAAGGUUACUCAUCUAGAUCUGGAUAAUCACUAGCUAUAUUAUUUCCUGCUCCUAAAUUCUCGUAAAUAGAGGAUAGGCCCGGCACCCCACAGUCACGGCACCUCUAAGAAGACACCUAUUCCCGGCGCACUCCAUGUGAAAGACACCUAUUCUCGGCACUAUUCCAUAGCACACACACUUAUACUUAAGUAGGCAUAGCUCCGUUAAGAGCUCAUCGAACUUGACUUCUAGAGUGAGACCUGUGAUAGAAGGGGUAAAGGUGAAUUUCAAUCCUCUUUCUCUCGGAAAUAUACACCACAUGCCUGUGAUCGAUCUCUCACUUUCUAGGUAUCGGUGAAGUCCGUCAUGGAAUUUAAGUGGUAGAGUGGUAAGUGGGCGUACGGUCUAUCGAUUUCCUAUCAGUGGCAUUAGUUCCUUCUCUAGAUAGAUGGCUAUUGAGCUUCUCAUUCGUGAGAGUCAUGCGCCAGAUCAAGGGCUCUCUCAUAUCCUAUUUGGAAAUGUAUAGGUUCUGUAAGUGGCCAGUGCCCGCGGGUAAAGGCUGAUCAUCAAAAGUCAUCUAAUCCAUCUAAGUGCCGAUAUUGCCCAGUGCUUGUCUGGAGUUGUCAUGAUACCCGGAUACUCACCUCACUAUAUGCCAAUUCAGGGAAAGGUCAUGCUGGGAAGCUUCCUUGAAAGAUAGUCUCAACACUCUUGAUGAGAAACCAGAACCCAGCCAAUGAAGGUUUAUGCAUAUAUUGGUCCGCAUCCAGAGGAAGUCAAGGUUUNNNNNNNNNNNNNNNNNNNNNNNNNNNNNNNNNNNNNNNNNNNNNNNNNNNNNNNNNNNNNNNNNNNNNNNNNNNNNNNNNNNNNNNNNNNNNNNNNNNNNNNNNNNNNNNNNNNNNNNNNNNNNNNNNNNNNNNNNNNNNNNNNNNNNNNNNNNNNNNNNNNNNNNNNNNNNNNNNNNNNNNNNNNNNNNNNNNNNNNNNNNNNNNNNNNNNNNNNNNNNNNNNNNNNNNNNNNNNNNNNNNNNNNNNNNNNNNNNNNNNNNNNNNNNNNNNNNNNNNNNNNNNNNNNNNNNNNNNNNNNNNNNNNNNNNNNNNNNNNNNNNNNNNNNNNNNNNNNNNNNNNNNNNNNNNNNNNNNNNNNNNNNNNNNNNNNNNNNNNNNNNNNNNNNNNNNNNNNNNNNNNNNNNNNNNNNNNNNNNNNNNNNNNNNNNNNNNNNNNNNNNNNNNNNNNNNNNNNNNNNGAGAAAGAGAAGGGCACAGAGCUUCUAUAUACCACUGGAUUCCACCAGACUGUUGUGUGGAAAACACGGCACCCUAUCCCUUCCCUGACGGGAACCUGGAUACCAUAGCAUAGGAACCCCCCCUUCCCUGACGGGAACCUGGGUACCAUAGCUAGGAACCUCGAAAAUACGUAUUAUAGGUUGGUUGUAUACACACUCAUCCUUUAAGAAGAUAAGAGAGCCCCGCGGACAUUUCCUUCCUCGAAACCAGGAAACUGAUACUGCCUCGAUUCUGCUUCCGUCUAUCAUGUCCAAUCUUACUUUCGUGCCGAUGAAGGGUAGUCCGGAAGGUGGAGUUAGCACCGGGGCUAUUCUUAGAAGCUGAAGUAGGAGUAGGAGCACUCUUCUUCCUCAAGCGUAGCCGUAUUAGUUGGAUCCGGCAUCCUUUUCGACUGGAGAUACCCUCGCAUUACCGGCUUCCCGGCAUACUGGCAAGUUUACUUGACUCACCCAUUCUUGAGACUGGCCUGGCCACUACUUUGUUUGAUUUCCUUGUCACUGUAGUAAGAAAGCGGCACCUAUUGACCAACUUCCCUCUAGCAUCACUCAUCCUUACGGCACUAGUCCAUCCAUCCCUCGACCGAAGAGAGUCUUCCUCCUCAAGGAACUAGGGUUUGAUUUCAUAGACAAGACUUUCGAGCGCAACGUUGCGCACAUCCUCUUGAUUGGUAUCUUUUCUAGUGUGCAUCACAUUCAUUUUCCUUUCCAUGAAUUUUCCUGUCAUGUAGAUAUGAUAAUCUUCGUGGCAUCAACCUCAUAUAGGAGCUGCCAGUAGUACAUUCGCGGGAUUUGAAAGCAGGCAAACUUAUGAUGCGAGUCUAGUUAGAAUAGAACCAGUGCACCCUGAAAUCCGAACCAACCAAUAAGCUUCGCUUUCCUCUGCUCGUAUAGACUCCGUUCGUGUUAGGACAUCCAUAGCCAAUAGUAAUAGUAGCUAGUAGCUUUGCCCCCCUUGCCCCCGGAAAGGUUCUCAUUCCUCACUGGAUCUAGUUGACUUGCUGCUACAGCAAUCAAUCUAUCUAUAUGUUCCGGACGGAAGAGAGAGUUUCCUACAUUCCCAUUCCCAUGAACUGAACAUCGGGUACCAACGAUCUGGAAUCCUGUGCUGAAACCUACAGAUAUACACCUGUGCGGACCAACCUAGCAAUCCUCCUGUCUAUUCUUUCUAUCUGGACUAGCGCUUCCCACUGGAGCUUACUACUUGACUAGAGCACUUGAACUUGUUAGUUUCAUUAGUCAGUUUCCUAGCAUAGCAAAGUGAGUUUCCCAUCAACGGAUUAUCAUCCUGUUGUUUCCAUGAACAUCAGGUACAUAUAUGAACCUGUCAACGAAGCGGAACAUAUGAUAUGAACCAAGUAGAUUCAUCUUUUUGCUCGUAACGUUAGUAGUUACUCGCUCAUUAGUAGUGAACUAUGAUAAUUUGUGAGGAGUAUGUUUUCAACUCUAUGUAUGUCAAUUCGAGAGUAGAGCGAUCUAUGUCAACCAAGAGCAGAACUCUCUCUAUUUCCGGCACAGGCUUUCUUUCAAUCAAGAAGAAGAUUAUUUCAGAUUUUAUCACUAUCCGUACUGCUAUCUACUAUCUACCUAUCUAUCGACCCGGGCUCGUUGUGAGGCGGGACCCAACCCUCCUCUUCACUCCACUGCUUCAACAGAAAUGGAUCCAUCAUCUGCUACCCAUGAGUAAAGAAACCAUAUUUUUUGCAUUGCCUGAAAGAAAGUAGUAUAUUAGCGAGUCUCGCAGGUGACCUAGCCGGGUGGGUACGAUUAAUCUCACAACCAUGCUGAAUUUGAAAGCAUUUCAAUCUAUCGAAAAUCAAGUCAACCAUGGUUGGUAUUAACUGGUGGUUUACCUGACUUGUUGUUCAAAACCUUGAGCGAAUCAAACCUCUAAUGCAUUUUCCAUACCUUCUUGGACCUGGCUCCUCUCUUAUCUCUUUUCCUUCUCUUUAGUGGAUGUGGUGGCAUGUGCUUCAUCCCUCCUUUUAGGGUUAAUGCUAUCAAUGGUGAAUCGAUCAUUCGCUAUCCUUUUUUCUGGGAUCUGCUCUUUUCAGUGGAAGGUUUGAGGGAAGGUAAGAUUAGUGGGUCAAUAACCUGCUUAGCUUUCCAAGUAAGGCAGUGAAGUUCCAUAUUUCUGUAUCUUUCUUAUCCCGGGAUCUGCUGCUCUGUUCCCUUAGAUGCAAUAGUUUACUGAUCCGGUUUUCCCUAAUUUCAAUAGUGAGGAGGAUGUGCAAUAAAAAUACUAUAUUCUAGUAUCUGACCAAAGGGAAGAAUGAAAGUAAAUAGAGAUAGAGGUUUCCGAAGUAGGGCCUAUUAAAAGUACAGUGCCUUCUUGUUCUUGUUCUUCUGAUCGAUUGAUACAAUUGGAUUAAAGGGAAGAGAACACCAAAACUACUAGCCAAAAGCACUUUCACCUGGCUAGCACUUAGCAAGGUUAGUUUAGUUUGCUUGGAAGGGGAGCAUUCCAAAUGCAUAACUCGAAAUGACACUAAAGACUAAAGCUAGAACAUCUAUAGUGACAGACGAGGGUGAAUCGUAACUAGAAGAAGGCCUCCGAACUGCUUCAAAUCAAGAAAUUGUGGGGAGCUUUUGGUCAAGUCUGGGAAGGGACUCCCAUCCCAGAGUGUGAAAGCUCUCGGGAGAAGGGAAUCGACAACACAACUGGAGCUGCCCUUUCUUUGGUUUAGUAAGAAGCUUCCUCAAGUAUGUCGAUUUGUAGUACGGUCAGUUCACUCAAAUCCACUGACUUCAUGCAUGGGGACUCGACCAUCAAUCCUUUCUUGUGACGAGCUGUGACUGGGUGCUCUGAAACCUCCUUAAAAGGAGGGGUGGUUGGGUAAGGUAAUUGAAGUAACUAGCUAGUAUUAAGAUUAGGCAUAAGCAUAAUAAACUGAUGCAUCCGAAGACGGUGAAUCUAGAAUAGAGGCCGGGUGGGGAAGCAAAAGAUGCAAGAGAGCCUUUUUCUGGGAAGGAAGGGACGGCCGAGAACGAUGUCCUUUCUCGUGCCUAAUGCCUAAUGCCUAAGAGAGAGCGCCCCUCUGUCUGCUACUUUACACUACUCCUUGAACGUGUCCUCUCGGCUCUCCUCAAAACUAUUCCGAAGUUUUGAAUUCCAUUUCUAUGGAUAGGUUCUAAGCAUAUGAGAGAAAGGCGGAUGAGAGGCAGUGACCCUAAGUUCCAAAUCUUGCCCUGAAUAAGUAAGGUUUCGGGGAAGUUAGAAGCCUUUCGGGCUGAAUAGGGGCGGUGAGAGGGUGUACCGUAGUAAAGGAGGUGGGCUUAGAGCCAACAAGCAAAGUAAGGCAAAGCUUUAUCACGAAGAGGGCAGAUGAAUGAAUUGGUUCUAGGGUAUGCCUUCCGAGGUAUGCCGAGCAAUAAGGGCAAGGAAGGCUGCGGGAAGAGUUUCAUGACUAGGCCAGAGGACUCCUGUCCAUAAGGCUAGGAAGGCAGGAGCAAAUAUAUUGAACUAGCCCACGCAUCUGCUCCGCUCUCAAUCCACCAAUAACUCCCAUCUCCCAGCAUCUCAUUCCCCCACCCCGUCGUCGAGAGCAGCCAGCCCUUCUCAAUAGAAUCCAUGUGCCAUUGCCUGAAUAUCAAUCUGCCCCUCCUGUCCGAAAAGAAGCAUGUCCGAAUAAAGGUACGAAGGUAAACCUUAGAGUCAAAGCAUUUUUAUCUAUUAAGGACUUACUGAAAAAGGCUCAAAAAAACAGAAUCAGUUGGAGGAAACUAAGGACCAGGUUCACAUUAUCAGUGAGCGCGGAUAAGAACGUUUCCUGGAAUUCCACAUCCCAUAUUGACUCUACCAUCCCUAACGUUGGCCACUAAGUCCAAUCUGACCUAUCUCAAAUAAGAUCUUUUAGGAUCAAUUGGUUAGGCAUCCCUCUUCUUUGUUUGCAUAAGGCCACUAGCCAUCUAGUGUUCGCUAUCCUUCAUCUUUCGAUUAGCGAGAUGAUCUUAAAAACUACAGGCCUGAAAUUUGCCUUUCUUAAGACCACGUUGAACAUAUUUUCAAAAUGUUCCAUCAUUGGGUAUAAGUAGAAUCUUCAUAGCCCAAAAAAACACAGUCAAAGUCAAACGUUUAUCGGUGGCACAGGGUUGUGUUUAAAGAAAUGGAGUUUUGUUGUUCGCCACAUGAAACUCUGCACUUAGGGAUCAGCCUGACAAAUAUGCUCUUCGAGCUUUGAAACCGUCUUCUUUGUGGACUCGGUUGUAGGCUAUAUAUCCAUGGCUUGUUGAGAUCCCCUUCCUCCUUCCUUUCUCACUCGAAAAAGCAGUAGUUGUCAAUCGAUGACUAGUUAUCAAUCAAUCUGAUGAAGGUAACAAUAUCCUCCUUGAAAUCCAUAUAAUCAUUCCCUGGAAAAUCAACAAGAUUCUCCCUCCUCUUAUGGCUCAAAGGCUCAACCUGGCUAGUAAGUCGGCAUAGGAGAGGAGCACUCAUUCAUCUUGUGGUGGGCUGGCUUACUACUCCCCGAUAUUAGCUCUCAGUACUUAAGCAAUUCUGAAAUCAGUUUGUUGCCCUGCAAAGUCUUUGACCUUGGGUAUAUGAGUAGGAGACUUAGGACAGUAGCAUCGAUAGGCAGUAGGGCAAGCUGCCGGAUUGACAGACAGUUAUUAGGAUAGUGGGUAAGCUACUUAGGCUAGGGAAUAGGUACACAUAGGUCAGAUACGCGGGCAAGUCUCAAUAACCAAAGUAGGAGUUGAUGAGUGACUUUCUUCUUCUCUAUUCCUUCUUACUGGACUGGACGGAUUCCUUUCUGUAAACUGAGUUAAUGGAGUCAAGAAAGAAGCUAGUACAAUAGGCAUCCUUAUUUAGUAAAAUAAGUCACUCGUAGGCAAGACUUUCUCUCGAGAGUCAGAGCUUCGAGACAACUUUCGCAGAUGUUCAACCUUGCGAGGCGUAUGAGCCAGAUUUUUAGUACUCUUCCGACCUGUUAGAGGCCACCCUAAUAAGCGGAGAUUGCCGGGAAAACGUUGCUCAACAAGACAGUAACCAACUCGAAAAAGGAGACCCUGGCAUAACAAGUGGUGAUCUCUGUACUAGAAUAGAAGCCCUGCUAAUUGUGAAGAACCCACAGCCGGAGCGUUAGCAACUGGAUUUUACCACACUCCGUUAUACCCUCCCUUGGGGGAUGGCUUGGUGCUAAUGUAGGACUUUCGGAGACCUUCCGCUUGUUGUUUUGGUCCAGCCUGAGUGGCCAUAACUUCUACUGUGAUUUAGUUUGGAGCGGUCUUGCUCUUGUUGUUCCGUUGUUGCGCGUCCUAUUCUGAUAUUUAGGACCAAGAGGUACUGGAUUCUCUUUCGGAUAGGCCCUGAAAGGAGAAGAAAGGCUGAAAUGCCAACGGACAUCUAUCUAUUCUCUAAUUCACCCGAUCCCUAUCCGCUUUCCAAAAAGGAAGAAUGCAUGAACCACGACAGAAGAGAAAGGACGGAUCACCUGCCGAUCUUUUACAAAACUAUGACAGAAAGGGUAUAAAGAUUGACCGGUACAAAAGCCAUCUCCAUCAAUCUACGCUCAUUAAGGAGAGGGUUCCUUAGAGAAUAAAAUGGGGAGCGAACGAAAAAGAUGUAUGGCUGAGGGGAGGAGAGAAAGAACGCAUGCAUGGAAAGGAAACGCUAAUAAAGGCAGUCAUUCAGGCGAUGCCAACCUAUAGCUUGAGUUGUUUUCAGUUAUCAAAGCGUACUUGUCAGAAGCUAGUGUUGAUGUCUGCGCAAUUCUGGUGGAGCGUGGCAGAAGAACCAACUUGAAUCGCGGAGAAGAGGUAGCUCCGGCAUGUAAACUUGUUGAACCAUUCAACUAUACUGUAUAUCGAUUGGCCACAUCAACGCAUUUCACCUUGGAACUUGUACUUGGAAUAGAGCCAGCCUUGAGAUCCGCCAUAUCUUCCUUCAAGUCAGAGAGUUGAGAUAGAACAGCUUCGCCUUUGACCGGUUUGCUGCUUUCCUUUAUACACAAGCCCCUAUUAUUAAGGUAUGGAGGUUUUUUCUGGAAUGACCAAAGAACAAGAGAAGUUCAAUGAGGUGCAAACGCAAGAAUUAAAGCAACGAGGACAAGUUCUAGGAUAGGAUCCCGAAGGAUGGCAUGCCUAUUCAGCAACGUGCAGAAAGGAUGGCUUCACGCAAGAAUCUUGAUGAACCAGGUAUGUCUUCUACUAACAGAUAUGCUAUUUGCAAUUCCAUUGAUUCUGCUACUCUAGUAAAAUAUGUUGUAGAUAGUGGUCUAGUGUUGGGCAGUACACAGGAGGAAAUUGACAGGUCUAUAAAUUCUAUUAAGGAAAGAGAAUUUGCUCAAGCAUUGCUUUAUGAAGCUGCUCAGAAAAACAAGUUAGUUGCUCAUGAGAAGGAGCAGUCUUCCAGUGUCGAGUUAAGCUCUGAUUCAGAGAAUGAGGAUAUUACUCAGAUUGUUGAAGAGUUAGAUAAUCACAGUACUUGUAUACCAGUUGGUGACAAGAACACUACGAGCAGAGCUAAGAGGAGGCAUAACAAAAAAACAGAUACCGCCAUGAAGACACUAAUCUUGAAUGUGAGGGGCUUGGCCAGGUAGAAGGGGGCAACCUUCUGAAGUGAUAGAGUGGGUGGACAUAGUUUGUGUGCAAGAAACUAAGAGAAAACAGUUCUCAGAUAAAGAGUUAAUGGCAAUUGGUGGCAGAAAGCUUUUCAAGUGGUUUUGCAAGCCAGCCAGUGGCAGUAAAGGUGGAAUGCUUAUUGGAGUCAAUCUGGAUGUCAUGGAUGCAGACCUCAUUGGGGAGGGUCAAUUUCUCCAUGGUGUUUGAGUAUAGAGGCUUUGUGAUAAUUGUGCUUGGGUCGAUGUUUAUGGUCCAACCAAACAGUCUUUAAGAGCUAUGUUUUUGUCAGAGCUCACUAACUUUGUGCAGAGUGUUGAUCUACCUUUGCGGGACAUGAUCAGAUUUGGUCAUGAAACAAUGGCAGAAUACAUAUUAAUAGGAUGGAAGCUUUUAAUGCUUUCAUAUCUAAAACUGAACUACAGGAACUAAGAAGGGUUGGUGGCCUGGACUAACAAACAAGACAGGCCAGUGAGAGAAGUUUUGGAUACAGUUCUGGUUUCUUCAACUUAUGAGGAUUUAUUUCCUAAGUUUUACUAUCCCUCUUGCAAGCUGGGUCAGAUCAUUGUCCUUUACUUCUAGAAAAUGGGGAAGAUAGGGGCUGCCAAUAAGUUUUGUUUUGAACCAUCCGCAAGAAGGGUUUAGAGAUAUGCUGUUACAGAAAUGGCCUACAAGAACUGUUGCAAAUGUUCCAUUCUAGACUAUUGGCAACAAGUGUCUCAGGGCUUCAGGAAGUUCUUGAGAGGGUGGAAGGCAAAUGAUGCUACUGACAAUAGAAGAAGUAAAUCCAAUCUAAUUACUGCUAUAUGUCUGUCAUUGAUAGCAAAGCUGAAACUACAGAGCUAAAUCCUAAUGAAUGGAGACUAAGAUAUGAAUUGGAAGCUCAAUUGGUCCAAAUUUGUGAGAUGGAAGAGUUAUAUUGGCACAAAAGAGGAGGUGAACAGUAGAGUGGCUGCUAAAGGGACACUGCUUAUUUCCAUAAAAAACAAAUGGGAUGAAAAGAAAGAAUAGCAUUUCUAUCAAGGAAGAUGGUGAGAAAUCUAUACAUUCUUCAAAAGAGCUAAGAGAGCAUAUCACUUCAUACUAGAAAGUGGAUUUGGGAGAGUAGAGUGAAGCAAUGUUCACUUACGGCAUGAUAUCUGGGAUAUCACUGUGUGCUUAUCUAAUGAAGAAGCUGAUGCCCUCAUUCAACCUUUUAGUAUGGAGGAAAUAGAUAAGGUGGUGAAAUGCAAAUCAGGAACAGAAUACCGAGUAAAGGUGGAUACAGAGAAAGCAGAUAGAAAGCUUUUUCCUUUCCUUCACGGAGCAGAGUAGAUACUGGGAUAAGCUGGAUACACAAAUAUGGAACAGAACACUACACGAGGGAAUCGAAGGAUUCUAGUUUCCCACUACUUGACCCCAAGUCCAAGAAAAAGGAAGCUAUUCCCUUCAUUGAGCAGAGAGAAAUCUUUAACUGAACUUCUCAUCCUGCCUACCAACCCAUCUUUUUAUCAAAAGCAUGGAAACUAUCUAAUCGAAGAUAGAAUUCACGCCUGUGAAAAGUAAGCAAUUUCAUCAUUUUCCUUCGCAACACAACUCACUCAAUUGUAGAGAUACCGAACAGUUUGAGUGAUCGAUCGACCUUGUCGCACGAUAAUCCCAUUCUCUCUCUUCCAUCCUGCCUUCUGAACCGAACCCUGGAGAAAGUCUUCUUCAACAGAACAGAGCAGCAAUUCUAGAAACUUCCAUUUUCCAUUGAUCUGGGCGAUGCUUCUUACUCUACCUUUCAAUUCCUUUGCCUUUCUUCUUCUGACCGAUCCAAUGGUUCGGACUAGGAUGCGUAAACCCCGAAGAGAGGAUCUCGCGCUUAAUAUAAAAUUUUUUAGUUUAGGCAUUUAGCUUAGCUUAAAAUAGAUAUGUAACAUGAUGUACUUACACGUGCAACCACUCCGUCUUCUAGACCGGGGUCAUAAUUGAACCCACAACAAACCUCAGAUGAUGUGACUUCUCCACCCUCUAGGCAAUUCAAAACUGGUCCCAUUAGCUCGAAUUUACUAAUGUUAGAAAGGAAGACGAAGGUGCCAAAAUAAAGCAUUUUUUUCAAGCGCUGUCGUGUCCUUGAGCUUCAAAGUCUCCAAAAGAGCCCUCUUGAUCGAGAAGAGUAAGCAUUGCCUGGUGAGGCAGAGCGGAAGCAUAGGUUUUUGGAUCCUAGCGAAGGAGUUUCAAGCACGGAUUAUGCUUCUAAAGAGCACUAUUUGGCUUGGCCCCUUCCUGCCAAAGAUUUGAGAUAACUAAAGCGACUCGCAGUCAAAACUGGUGGAGCCAACGCUAAAGAGGAAAUGUGUAGAUAGUAGGUGAGCGCCUAGCCCCUUAGUCUUUCGGAUUGGAAGAUUCAUUGGUUUCAUCCAAAGGCUUCUGUCUCGUCUUCCUCAAAUUGUUGAUCGAGGAUUGGAAAUCAAAGACAUUGCUAAAGCAGACGCCUACCGAACGGGAGUUCUUCUACCUGCUAGAACGACAUCUGCUCGAACUUUUGUUUCUUAGAAAAGAAAAUAUGAACUCACAAUGUGCAACAGAAAUGUACCCACCGGUUGAGAAACCACCAUAGUUGGAUGAUUGCUCGCGCUAGUAAGACAGCUUUGACUCUUCUUGAUCGUGAUCUGGUGAUCGGUCACACCCUCUUUAGAGGUUCUAGGCCCUGCCUAUUGAGUCAUCUACCACAGAAACAGAGUCUCGUGAUGAUCCUGGUACAAAAGGUUCGUCAGGCCCGCAUUCAGAGACUUCUUCCUCAGACUCAUAUCCAUAAAGAUAUUCUCUCGCUUUCUAGCUGUACCCUUCUUCACACCCGCCACGGAGGUUAGAGAUUUCCCGUUAUCAACAUUGUGCAGGCAGGACUCUAUUUUUAUAAUGCUCAGAGCCAACCAAACAGUUUGCUACGUCCCUCGAGAAAAUAAAAACUUCAUUGGAAAUUAAGGACCAACUUAGUCAGUCGAUAGAACAUUGGAAUCAUAAACUGAUCUACGGGUGGGUUCAAAUAGUAACCCCGUCUCUGGGAAUUUGAAAUUAGCAUAAGCAGCAAGAGCGCAAAGC
rnacentral:lncRNA from 1 species